UAUAAUUCCACAUCAAUUGAUAUCUGGUUUUUCAAAGUUGGAGGUACUCAGGUUGCUUUCACGCGGUCGCUGGAGCGUAAUAGAAGGUAACGUUCUAUGUGAUGAUGCUGAACCUUUGAUGAAGGAAUUGCUGGGUUUGAAGCAUUUAAAUGUUUUAAGCUGGACCUUCCGAAGUUCACUUGCUGUCCAAAAGUUUUUGAAAUAUCCAAAGCUGGUGAGCAUCACUCAAUCUGUAAUGGUUUGCCAAUGUGAAAGUCCACCGUUCAAUGUCUUACAUCUAGCAUACAUGGAGAAUCUUCAGGAGUUACGCAUUUCAGACAGUAAUUUGGAAGAGAUGAAGACUGACAGCACAGAAGAGGUAAAGAAACUUUUUCAAAGUGGUUUCCGCAGUCUCGACAGAGUUGUCAUAUGGAGUUGCCAAAAAAUGAAAGACUUAACGUGGCUAGUUUUUGUUCAAAUUCUCAAGCAGCUGCGUAUAGUCUUUUGUACAGAAAUGGAAGAAAUAAUUAGUGUUGAUAAAUUGAGAGAUAUUUCGAAGAUAAUCGGGUCAGAGCAUAACUUUUUUGCACAACUCGAAUCUCUAACCAUAAAGUGGGGAAGAAAUUUAAAGAGCGUUUACCCGAAUCCCCUGCCCUUUCCAAAGCUGAAGAAAAUUGAAGUACGUGAAUGCCCACAGCUGAAGAAGCUCCCACUCAAUUCCAGCAGCGCGAAGGAACGUCGAGUUGUCAUCGAGGGGUCGAAAAAAUGGUGGGAAGAGCUACAAUGGGAGGACCAAGCCACCCAAAAUGCUUUCUCUUCCGGUGUCGUACUUGGGGAUGAUUUUCAUUAAUAUGUUUGAAUAUGUAUUUCUUUUCUUUUUCUUUUUUUUUUUAAUUUUCAUUAGAUUUAAUUGCAUCUUGUUGUUGUUGUCUGGUGUGUCAAUCGUUAUCUAUUUUCAGUUAAUAAAAUUUCAGCAGUGGAUUCUUGGUUUUAGAAUCCUCCCACUGGAAAGAAUUUCUCCUUUGGCUUGAAUGCGACCUUUUUACUCGUCGACAAAAUUGUAUUUGUCGCUUAAGUCUUGUUUGUUUUAAAAUGCUGGCAUAUUUAUAGAGUGGGAACUCAGAUGCUGAACUCAUAGUAAAUAUUUAUUUAAUUUGUUAUAAUUAUAUUUGGUGAGAUAUUUAUUCAAUAAUUGCCCUAUCACUUUGUGCAUGAUCACAGAAUUUUGUACUUCCGUCUGUGAAAUAACUUUUGGAAAAGGAAAUUAAUUUUUUUAAGUAACGGUAAAUAUUUUAAAUUUUUAUUUUAAAUUUUAUUUUAAAUAAUAUAGUAUGUAAUGUGUCAUUUAUUUAGUGAUUGAUAAUUUAAUAUAGGAUUUAAAUAAAUUAAUUAUGCUAUUUUAUUAUUUAAUUAAUAAAUAUUAUAUAAUUUAAAAUAGAUUUUUGAGAUAAAAAUUAUAAAAGUAAAAUUCUACUCAACAGACUAAAUUUAAAAUGAUGUGAUUGGCAGGUAAGACUUAAGAAUUAGACAAAAUUUCUCAUUCAACAGCUUGUAGAAAAUUUAUACACUAGGCCUUAGCUAAACUUGGACUUGUCGUAUGUUUGAAGUAUUCGACGAUAAUCAUAUCUGCAUUUUGUGAAAUAAUUAAGAUUUUUUAUUUUUGGUUUGUUUAGGGCUUUUCAUCGGUCUUCGUCUUGGUCUUUGUCCUGGUCUUGGCGUCUUGCUAUCAAAUCAAGUGUUCUCUUCUCCCAUCCUCUAAUGAAAGUGCAGGGCCUCAAUUAUUUGUGCUGAGCUGUUUGUUACUGCUAUCACUUUAGAGGUUGAUGCUAAUGUCCAAAGGUCACAUUUAAUUUGCUUGAAUGCGACCUUUAUUUUGGUUGACAAAGAUUAUUUGGUUGCAAAGAUUAUAAUUAACAACAAGCUAAUAUCUAUAUAGUAGAGAGAGAAAUAACAAAUUCAAUGUUGGUAAAAUUUUAUCUUCCCUUCACUGCUCUCCUUUGCUGCAAUCAAGCUACAGUUGUAAAGUGUUUGAUAAACACUAAUUGUUGUGUCUUGAAAGAUAUGUUGAUAUAAUUUUUCACUUGUAUAAUAGAGAAUCUAUUAUGUUAUUAUUAAUAAUUUCGUCAAAAUUAUUAUUUAAAAUUUUAUAUUUAAUAAAUAUUAUUAACUUUUGUUUUAUAGUUACAAUUUUUUUUUUUUUUACAACAACUGUUGCUUAAAAAUUAUAACACUUCAAUUCCAAACAUACCUUAAGUCUAUAAGGCAUAAGUUUUCACUCUUCAGAAAGGUGUUUGAUGGAAAUGUAAAGAAGUUCGAUGAAAUGUCUCACCUACACAACCAAGCCACUUAACAUUGCAGUCUUAUAAUACGAAUUCCUGCCUUCUCUUCCAUUUUCACAAACAUAAUUCUUUCUUUCUCACUUUAUUUUCUUCCUUGAAAUUUUUGUUAACAAAAAUGGGUAACAUCAUUCUCAUGCGUGCUUCUUAUCACCAGACUCAAUUCUUGCAGUUUUAUUUUAUUUUAUUUUAUUUUUCCUUCGUGGAGAUGCUAAAAUAUAUAUGAGAUCUAAAAAGCUAAUCUUGAUGAGUUGCAGAAUCCAAUGCAGAAUUUGAAAGUUACAAAAGAUUAUAAAUACUAUUUUAACUUGUAAGCUUCCAUUGCUAUACAGUGAGGUAUGUCUAGAUAUCAUUUUGGUCUUUUAUAUAUUGGGUUCCAGUGAAAGACUUUUGUUCUAGUUGAAUUUAAUUUUGUCUUUGUAUUUACAGACAAACUAUUAGGGACAUUUAUCAUACAUAUUUGGCUAGUUCGCCGUGGAAAAAUAAUAAUAGUUGAAAAGACAUAGGGUACUUUUUAUUUUCCUUUAUAUUACUAAUAGAUUUCCCACGCGCAACAGACGAAGUCAUUGCUGCUUCAAUAAUUGCCCUAUCACUGUGUUCAUCAUCACAAAUUUCUUUAUUACGUUUGUGAAAUAACCUUAGCAUAACAAAAUUACUCCUCCUUUUUAACUAAUAAUAGAUAUCUCAAAUUUUAUUUUCAGAAUAUGGUAUGUAAUGUAAGUGAUUGAUAGUUCUUUAUAAAAUAUAUAAAUAAAUUAAUAGUGUUUUCUUAGUGUCUAAUAUAUAUAAAUCACUUGCUCCAUAUAUUGCACUAUUGAUAUGGGCUAAAGUUUUAUACUAUGAGACCCAAUUUCUAUAAUUUACACUAUAAGUUACAAGUAUUUAGGAAAAUACUAUUGCAAAUCAGAAGGUAUUAUCUAUUUUAUACCUAAAGCAUUUCACUAUUUAAGACUAGUAAAACUUCUAUAUUAUUAUAAUAUUUGAAUCAAACACCAAUAAGCGAGUAAAUCAGGUGGAAUGAGAAUGUUCUAACUUAACCAAGGUCCUCGGUUUGAAACUUAGAAAUGCAACUACAUUAAAUACUUAUUGGGAGAGAUUUGCCGCUUUAGUGGUCCUAUCCCGCUUGAAUCUAGAUUAGUCGGGGAUCUAAUGUGGUCUUUGGAUACUAGAUGAUUUAAAAUACCGAUAAUAUUGGAACCAAACUAAUUUACAAUUAUGAAGAUGUUAUAAUUUAAUAGAGGCAUAGUAACAAACUAUUAAUAGAGCGUAUAAAAUUUAAUGUAUAAACAAAAUUCUAUAAUUUACACUAUAAGUUGCAAGUAUUUAGGUCAAUACUAUUGCAAAUCAGAAGAUAUUAUCUAUUUUAUGCCGAAAAUAUUUCCACUAUUUAAGGAUAGUAAAACUUCUAUAUAAUUAUAAUAUUGGAACCAAACACCAACAAGCGAGUAAAUCAACUAGAAUGGAAAUGUUCUAACGUCAAGGUCCUCGGUUCAAAACUUAGAAAUGCAACUACAUUAAAUAUUUAUUGGGAGAGAUUUGCCGCUCUAGUAGUUCUAUCCGGGUCGAAUCUGGAUUAGUCGGGAAUCUAAUGUGGUCUUUGGAUACUAGAUGAUUUAAUGUACCAAUAAUAUUGGAACCAAACUAAUUUACAAUUAUGAGGAGGUUAUAAUUUAAUAGAGGCGUAGUAACAAACUAUUAAUAGAGUGUAUCAAAUUUAAUAUUGGAAUCCGAUGAUUGGUUGCAACAUAAGAUAUUUGUAAGCUUAGUUAAAGGUUCAUUAAAAAUUAUAGAGAUAUAUAAUUUCGCAGUCGAUGAAGCCGUGCAUGAGGUUAAGGCAAGUGAUGGAAUGACUUGCGUUACAAAAGAGGUAUGUGAAGUUGCACUAUAAAAAUAAAAUAAAUUUGUAUUUUCAAGUAGUGAAGGUGUAGUUAGUUUAUUUGCGGUAGCAGUUUCACAGCUGACAGAUGAACAAAGAGUGGUUGCUUGUCAAAUGGGCUUUGGUAGUUUGCGACAACUGAACCUUGGCAAGCUAAAAAGGAAACUUUGUGGCUAGUUAAUUGAGAUGAUUGAUACUUUGAGGUACAUUUUAGAGUUGAAUGGUAUUAGCUUUCAAACAAGAUCAUCAAAGAAACUCUACCAACUAGGAAAUUUAAACUUAAUCUAUGCUCCGCAAAUUCGAAUAUUCUCUAAUAUGAAACUACUUUUAUGUGUUUUAUUAUUCCUAGCUUUUACCGACUUGGUAACGUUGUUAUGGAAGCACGACAACUAUUAUGUCCGUGUAAUUUUUAUUGUAUCUUUUGUUAUGUCAUGAUAUCGAAGCUUAGUUUUAUGACUCUAACUACUAAGAACUGCAAUUGCAGCAUCUUUUGAAUAUUACAUAUGUGCUUGUAGUAUCUCGACGGAUUAAAACCUGCUAUUUAAGUUCUUCUACCCCCUCCCCCCCUUCAUUCUUUCAUUUAUACUUGCUGCACUAUUUACUUCGCACUCUGUAAAGCCAGAUGAAAGCUUGUUCAUUUAUGUUCACUUGCAAUUCAAAAGCACAGUUUAUUUCAACUGUCAAAUUGACAACUUGCACGUAUAGAUUUCAGUCGAAACAAGGUUAUUGGUCGAUCAAGAAAUUGAAUCCAUAUGGCCGUUCCAGCGUUAUUCAACUACCUAAUAUCAAAUAUAUAAAUUAAUUCAACCCACUUCUGUGUCAAAGGCAUGGAACAAAUUAUGAAAGAUUUUUCAGCUAUCAUAAAUUCGAACGAGUGUAGUUUGUAUCCUUUCGAACUUAGACAGAUUUUCCUUCCAUUAACCUUAUAGUGUUAGUAAUCCUAUUACUUGUUUUUAAAGCUUGAAUAGUAUACCGAAAUUUUUGGUUUUUGCAACAUAAACUUGUAUGUAAUGUACAUUUUAUAGUUCUUUACAAAUUAAUUGCUGCUAAAAUAAUUGUUUCGACUACUAUAUUUAUUGUUAUAAUAGAUAAACAUUUUCUUGCAACUCAAACAGUUCCAAUGGCAUGAUCUGCAUCCCCCGUUUGCCUCUUGGGCUACGAACCUGCUUAACAGCUGCACCAUCUUGCUCCUUUUCAUCAAACGGCAACUUCGCUGCAGACAAAAAGAGGGGGUACACUGCCCAGGGGCACCAUAAACGCAGCCCAAAAAGAUGAUUUUGUCUUUCCAUGUCUUAGUAUUUUAACCAAAAAUAAUAAUAAUAAUUCUUUACAUCAUCAAUGAUUGCACUUGUAAGCCAGGCAAUAGUUUUUUUAUUAAAUAAAAAAUUAAUGUUAAAUUUUUUUUUUUUUUUUUUUUUUUUUUAUCUAGCUAUCAUUGACUUAAUAUUUUGAAUCUUCAUCCAAAGUUAAGGCACAAAACUUUUAUUCUAAAUAAAUAUUCUCAAUAUAAAUUUAUCACUUAAAUAAUAAAUAAUAAGAUUUAACAUUAAUUCUGUCGUUACUGAAAUGAAUUGUAAAUUUUAUAUGACGUGUAAACGUAUCAUUAUGUUCUUGAUAUUUGACAUAUGAAUUAUAAAGCAACAAAUGUAUCAUAUUUUUAUUUCGGUAUUGUGCUUCUCCAUAUUUGCUUAAUUCUUUUCGUUGUACUCAUUGCUUCUCUUCCUCUUUUCGUCAACGACAAUGGGUAACCUAAUCUCAACCUUCUUACCAGCAGACUUAUUUGAUCGAAUUUCAAACUGCGUUGGUGAACAAGCAAAAUAUGUAUGGGGUCUCGAAAAAAAUCUUCGGAUCUUGGAGACUGAAUUGCACAAAUUGACUCGAGCAAGGGCCGAUCUGAAGACCAGGGUUGAGGUCGAACAACAACGACCUCGAACCAGACGAACGAACCAGGUCGCAGGGUGGCUUGAAGAUGUGCAAAAUCUGGAAACUGAAUUUGCCGAGCUGGAACGAGUCAGAGCUCAAGAAAUGGAUAGAUUGUGCCUUGGAGGCCUCUGUUCCAAAAACUUCGUUUUAAGCUACAAUUACGGGACUAAGGUGGUCGAGUUGACGGAUCGAGUGAUCAAUUUAAAGAAAGACGGAGAAAAAAUUGAAGUCGUUGUUGAGAAGGCGCCGGAUGGUGCAGCAAUUGAAUUACCUCUUGAUCACACAGUUGUUGGUCAAGAACUAUUACUUGGUCAAGUUUGGAGAUGUAUCACUGAUCAGGAAAAUAACAGGGGAAUUAUCGGCUUGUAUGGUAUAGGGGGAGUCGGCAAAACUACCCUUUUAAAACAAGUCAACAACAACUUCUGCCAUCAACAGCAUAAUUUUGAUGUUGUUAUCUGGGCGGCUGUGUCAACACUUCAAGAUGACAUUGGAAAAAGGAUUGGCUUUUCAGAAGACAGAAACUGGAAGGAAAAAAGUCUUCAAGACAAGGCUGUGGACAUCGCUAGCAUUCUAAGCGGAAAGAAGUUUGUGUUGUUAUUAGAUGAUAUAUGGGAGCCCAUUGAUUUAACACAGCUGGGUGUCCCUCUUCAAAAUCUAAAUGAUGGGUCCAAAAUAGUCUUGACAACUCGUUCAGCUGGGGUUUGCGAUCAAAUGGACGCUGAAAAGGUGGAAGUGUCUAGUUUGGCACAUGAUGAAGCCUGGAAAUUAUUUCAGGAGAUGAUCGAAAGAUCCACUCUUGACAGUCAUACCAGUAUUCCAGGGCUAGCCGAAACCCUGGCAAGAGAGUGUGGUGGGUUGCCGCUAGCGCUUAAAACAGUGGGUCGAGCCAUGAAAAGCCAAAGGAAAGUUGGAGAUUGGAAACGUGCAAUUCACAAAAUGACAACAUCAGCUUCUAAAUUCUCAGGUAUGAAAGAAGAGGUGUUUUCGCGUUUAAAGUUCAGCUAUGAUAGUUUGUCUACGGACGAACUUCGUUCCUGUCUCCUGUAUUGUUGUUUAUAUCCUGAAGACUACGAAAUUCCUAAAAGGGAAUUGAUUGAUUACUGGAUUAGUGAAGGAUUUGUGUAUGAUUUUGAUGAUGGAUGCGAUUUUAUUGAUGACCUUCUUCAAGCAUGCUUAUUGGAGGAAGAAGGCGAUGAUCAUGUAAAGAUGCACGAUAUGAUUCGUGAGAUGUCAUUAUGGAUAGCGUGCACGGUAGACAAGGAGGAGCAGAGCUUUUUGGUUCGCGCUGGAGUUAAAUUGACCGAAGCACCAAAGGUUGAAGAAUGGGAAGGUGCCAAACGGGUAUCUCUGAUGGCAACUGGAAUUGAAUGCCUAUCGGAAAUUCCCACGUGUCGACGUCUGAUAACUUUACUUCUGGAUGAAAAUCGGAUUGAGGAGAUUACUGAUGGCUUCUUUCAAUCUAUGUCGACUCUUAGAGUAUUAAGUCUACGAAGAAAUACUUCCCUAAGUAAACUACCUUCGGGGAUUUCAAGUUUGGUUUCAUUGCAUCAUCUUGAUCUAUCAUGGACUGAGAUAACUGGGUUGCCGCAAGAGCUGAAGGCGUUGGAGAAGUUGAGAUAUUUGAACUUGGAGAAUGUAUUUGAGUUGUCUGUAAUUCCACAUCAAUUGAUAUCUGGCUUUUCAAAGUUGGAGGUACUCAGGUUGUUUGGGUCCGUUGGUAGGGGUGUAACAGAAGAAGAAGAAGAAGGUAACGUUCUAUGUGAUGAUGCUGAACCUUUGAUGAAGGAAUUGCUGGGUUUGAAGCAUUUAAAUGUUUUAAGCUGGUCCUUCCGAAGUUCACUUGCUGUCCAAAAGUUUUUGAAAUAUCCAAAGCUGGUUAGCAUCACUCAAUCUGUAUGGGUUGAAUGUGGCAUGUAUACAAGGCCACCGUUCAAUGUCUUACAUCUAGCAUAUAUGGAGAAUCUUCAGGAGUUGCGUCUUUCUCAGAGUGAUUUGGAGGAGAUGAAGAUUGACAGCACAGAAGAGGUGAAGAAGCUUUUUCAAAGUGGUUUCCGCAGUCUCAACACAGUUGAUGUAUUUUAUUGCCAAAAAGCGAAGGACUUAACGUGGCUUGUUUUUGUUCAAAACCUCAAGGAGCUAUUUAUACAGUUUUGUAUUGAUGUGGAAGAAAUAAUCAGCGUUGAUAAAUUGGGAUAUAUUUCAGAGAUAAUCGGGUCAGAGCAUAACUUUUUCGCACAACUCGAAUCUCUAACCAUAUGGAUGGGAAUAAAUUUAAAGAGCGUUUACCCGAAUCCCCUGCCCUUUCCAAAGCUGAAGAAAAUUGAAGUACGUGUAUGCCCACAGCUGAAGAAGCUCCCACUCAAUUCCAGCAGCGCGAAGGAACGUCGAGUUGUCAUCCGGGGAGAGAAAGAAUGGUGGGAAGAGCUACAAUGGGAGGAUCAAGCCACCCAAAAUGCUUUCUCUUCCGGUGUCAUACUUACUGAGGAUCCUGUUUAUUAAUAUGUUUGAAUAUGUAUUUCUUUUUUUUUUUUUUUAAUUUUCAUUAGAUUUAAUUGCAUCUUGUUCUUGUUGUCUGGUGUGUCAAUCGUUCCCUACUUUCAGUUAAUAAAAUUUCAGCAGUGGAUUCUUGGUUUAUUAAUGUUUAUAUAACUGAAUUGUUCAGCAGAUGUACUCUGCAUAUGUACUCUGCACAACUAACACAGAAAUAAAUAUAUGUAAGGGGGUACAGGACUGACUCUGCUUCUGGCUUCUAAGGAGAAAGAGGGGAAAAUAAACAUUUUAUCUUCCCUUAACUGCUCUCCUUUGGUUUGAAAUAUGUGACCUUUAUACUCGUCGAUAAAAUUGUAUUUGUCGCUUUAAGUCUUGUUUGUUUUAAAUCCUAGCAUAUGUAAUUAUGUAUGGAGUGGGAACUGAGAUGAUGAUGAAAGAUAAGUAAACAUUAAUUGAAUCUGUUAUAAUUUUAAUAUUAAUUUAACAAGAAAGUGAUAUUAAUUUGCCUGGCCCAUAUGAAAAACAAUUAUAAUUAAAGCUUUUUCUUUUUCUUUAAUUAGUAAUAGAUUUCGGAUAUAAAGCAGACAAAUUUAAUUUCUGCUUCAAUAACUACCCUAUCACUGUGUGCGUGAUCACAUAAUUUUGGACUACCGCUUGUGGAAUAACUUUAGAAAAAGAAAAUUAAUUUUUUUAAGUAACGAUAAAUAUUUUAAAUUUUAUUUUAACUAAAUUUGAAAUGAUGUGAUUGGCAGGUAAGACUUAAGAAUUAGACAAAUUUUCUCAUUCCACAGCUUGUAGAAAAUUGAUACCCCAGGCCUUAUCUAAACUUGGACUUAUCGCCUGCGGUAAAGCAUGAGUCAUGUUUCCAUGUAUGUUUGAAAUAUUGGACGAUAAUCACAACGGCAUUUUGUGAAAUAAUUAAAGUUUUUUUUUCUUCUCCUAUCUUCCAAUGAAAGUGCAGGACCUCAAUUAUUUUAAUAGAGAUGUAGUAAUAAAUUAUUAAUGAAACAUAUCAAAUCCAAUGUAUAGAUAAUAAUAAAAUAAAUAUACAUGGUUUCAAAAAAGCUAGUACAUGUUUCUAUAUAAAAAAAAUUAUCUUAAAAGUUUUUGAACUUUUGUGUUCUCUUUAAUAUUUUUCUCUUAUUUUGUUAUCGUAAUAUAUGGGUACAAGUUCACUUAAUGUAACAUAACAUACUUUUUUUGCUACACACACACACACACACACACACACAAUGUCAUAAUUAUUUUUUUUUAAAAAAAUCAAAUGCCACAACUUAUAUCUUAAUUACCUAAGCCCUAAAGUAACAACAAAAUGAAAGGAGUGGGCCUUUUGACACCCCCUCUAAGAUCCUCCUUUAAAUUCCUUAUAACUCUUUAAUUAAAAUUACUUAAAUAAUUAAAGAUAAAUUAAUUCCAUUUUUAUUUUAGUUGAAAAUUUAAUUAAUACUUAAAUAAAAUUAUUCUUUUAACAUUUUUUCCACCCACCUCAUUUCAUAUAUAUAUAAUUUUUAGAAACUUUUAAUAAUUUAUAAUUCUUUUAAGGUGAAAUUUAAUGAGAAGAUUAUUAAUUUUAAUUUAUAGAUUAGUAUUUUAUAAAUUAAACCAAGGUACUUUGAUAAAUAAAAAUUAAAACAAGUUUUAUAAGGAUUUUGGAGUGUAGGAAUUCAGAAUAUAGAUUUUCAUGUGGACGUUGAAUAUGCUGAAGCUGAAGCUAUGAAUUUUAGAAUAAAAAUGGCAAUAGACUUUGGUUUAACGCCAUUAAUUGUUGAAUCAGUUUCGAAGACUAUUUUAAACUUGGCGAAAGGUUUUGAAAGAAGUAUGAAAGAAAUAUCAUGGUUAAUUUUCGAGAUUCGAAAUUGUAUGGUUGUGAAAGACUACUUCAAAAUCAAUCUUAUAUUGAGAAAUAGUAGUGAGACCACUCAUAAAUUAGAUAAAUAUGAUGUUAACAAUUCGGGCUGUGUAAUUUGGUUGGAGGAAAUUUCAACUCAUGUAAGUCUUUUUCCUUUCAGUGAUUAAUUGAAGCUUUCCAUUUCCAAAGAGAGAUAGAGAGAGAGAGAGCUCAACUCAAAUGAAAGUAUGAAACAAAGAGUAAAUCCUGAUAGCAGAAAAAUGAGCCAUGAGUAGAAUUAUUCGCACCUUUGAAAGCCCUCAUAAAAGUCUUUAUUCAAUAUGUCCUGCUAAAUCAUUCAAAAAAUAAUAUUAUUUCUAAGGGCAGAGCUAUUUGCACUCUAAAAAUUAUUGUCAACACUUUAUUAUUAUACACACUCAUUUAUUAAUUUGAAAAAAUGAAUUAUACUUUGUACACUCCUUAAAGUACUAAAAAUGUACUCAUUUAAUCCUUUUUAAAUUAAUUUACUCUAACACACUCAUGAAAACGCCUUACAUACUCAAAAAAUUUCUCUAAACACUCUUUUAUUAUUAAAAUUUAAUUAUUUGGUUGUAUAAUAUAUUUCUCCAAUAAACGAAGAAUGAUACAGGAGCAACUAAAAAAACCCAUCAAAAUAUUUCACCAAUGAAAAGAUCGUGAGAAAUAAACAUUAUAAUCCGAACAAAUAAAUCAAUUAGCCAAUAUAUCAUUUAGCCAAAUCAAAGAUGUUGCUUGCGCUUCGUAGUUCUGAGCUUAGAAUCAAGUAGAGAAGUGAAGAUGAAAUUUUUAAUUGCUGAGAAUAUGAUUUUGAGGUUGAUGGAGGACUUGAAAGAGAGGGACAAGAAAGAAUGAUUCAGAGUAGGUGCUUGGCAAAAGGGACCCUUAUGACGAUAUUCUUCAGUACAGCUAUGAUGCCACUUCCACCUCCAAUUGAAUGCCAGAAAAUUCAGAGUUUGUCAAAAGAGGAUGGUAAAUUAAGUUGUUUUUUUUUUUUUUUUAAAUCUGGAUUUGGUUGAACAUUUUUAUGUCGCAAAAAUGUCUGCUGGGUUGUAAUGCCUCAGUUGCAGACUAGUUUGUAAGAGUCUGAAUAAUUGUCCAUGUUACUCUGGUAUUGUGGAAUGACAUGUAUUUUUUGGCCAAAAGAAAAAAUCAAGCAACCGAUGUAAACUUGUUUAAUAUCAUCGUAAUAUAACUGAAAAAGAAGUAAUUAUAGUCAUACAAAAAAAAUUAAUAACUGUCAUGUCCUUAAUAGUAAUUUAAACCAUAGAUAUUAUUGUAAUAAUUUUUUUAAUAAAAUUAAAAGUGUUUAGUGUAAUUUUUAGAGUGUACAUAACCUCACCCUAUUUCUAAACCCACGUAGGUUGAUUCCAAAAACACCCUUGGCUUGCACACCAACCGCAUUUUCACAUUUUCUUCGUCUUGCGGAACUUGAAACCCAAAUCUGAUGGCUUCAACUUUCGACUAAUCAUGAUCUCCACUAGAACUUAUAAUUUUAAAAGCUAUUUCCAUAAUAUUUUCAUUAGAAUUUCUUAUAACAACAUCCAACAUUGGUUAUUGAUAUUUUAAGGUUUCAUCUUAAAUAAUAUUAACAAAAUAAUUAAAUUUUUAUCAAAUUUUAAGGAAAUACAUUGUGCUUUGAUAAACAAGGAAUGUCAACUAAAUAUCGUCAAAAUAAAUAAUAAAUUUUUAAGUCGACUUUUGGUUUCACAUAAUUGUAAUUAUGGAGAUUAGUUAUUCGAAUAAAAUUUAAUUUUCUUUUGUUUAUUAUUGUAAAUUUCAAUAGGGACAAAUGCAUGAUUAUAAAAGAAGGGUUUGAGGUUUUUUAGGGGUACCAAUAGGACCACUCAUGAGCCAUAACAAAAAAUUAAGCCCAUGCGAGGCCCACCUAAUCCAUUUUUACAUUUAACCUGAAGAAUCAGACGACAAUAAACAAUAGACCUAAAUAAAAAGAUGAUAUAAAAGUAAGAAUAAUAUUAAGAUCCUAAUUUUUUAGUCUUAACUUCUUAAGUCUUAAAGUCACACGUUAUUCAUUUAUUAGACGAUAGAUUUCAUAACUUGUAAAAUUAUUUAACCACCAUCUAAUAAAUGAUUGUCAUAUCUUUUGAAACUUAAAUUUUGGAAUGCUUAGCAUUGAGCUGAAUCUAAAUUAUUUCAUUUUCCAUUAUUGUUAUUUUAUUUUAAUUUUUUUUUUCACAAUCGGAUUUUGCUUUGAGACAAUAGAAAGCCUUUUCGCUUUAAGCAUGUAUAGUAAUUUGAAAAAAAAAAACAUAUCCAUAAAUUAUCCAUGAGUUUCUGAGAACCAAUUAACUUCAAAAUCUCUUCCAGCGCUAGGAGGAACAUCGUCAAUAACUUUUUCAUGGCCUUUUGGGUAAUAAAUCCCAGUUCUUUCAUGAGGAACCCAACCACAAUUCCCUUCAUUUUCUCCCACAUUAUUAUUCAUCUGCUGGCUCCUCAUCACAUUUCCUUCUUCUGCAUUGGAUUUCAAUGUUGUUUCUCUCAUCAUAUCAUGAGAACUUGUUUUCUUUUGAAAGGAUUUCCUCAUCAUUGGCCUAUAUGUUUCAAAAAGACUCAACAAAUUAAUAAUGCAAAAACAAAGAGUAAAAUAUUCAAACACUCAAAUGAAUGAAAGUAAUCUCUUUUUAUUAUUGCGUGGACAGUGGCGAAAUCAGGAUUUUGGAUCGACAGAUGUCAUCAAUAAUAGAGAAACAACAAAUUUUAAGUAGGUUAUACCACAAGAAUAUAAACAUAUGGGGGCUACAAAAUAAAAUUAUCAGACACAGAGACAAAUUUAAUUGAAGACUUUCAUAUUUCUUGAUAAUUUUUUUUAACCUGAGGCCCCUGUGGAGACAUAUUGGUUCAGUUAAUAAAACAUUUAAUUCUAUGUACUUAACCAACCACUCAUAAUUAGUAAAUAAAUAAUUUGAAACUAUUAGGCCUAUUUCGAACGAACUGUUUCAUAACAAAAUUAAUUUAGAUAAAGUGAAAAGAUUUAUUUACAAACAUACCAUGCAAUAAUGAAGUGCGAUUGUCAAAAUGAAAUGAUGAAAUAGCAAAGUAGAUAGAUAAUGAAAGCAUUACUUGAAAAACAUGGAGUUAAAGGUGGGAGCUCCUCUAGCAAAUGAUACUGUCAUCUUUUUGUUCUUUUUUCUCUCACUUUCUCUCUUUCCAAACAAUGUGGGUGGAAUGAAUUGAAUUAUGAUUUUGAUAGAGAGCUCUUUAUAUAGUGAAGUUAAAUAAGAGAAUAUUGUUAUCCAUUUCUCUCAUCUCUAGGGAGAUCAUUUAUUGUUCCCGUGCACGUCAUUUUCUGUUUGGAUAAAUAUUAAAUUAUAAUACUCUUUCUUGAUCAUUGGGGAGCACUCAUUGCAGAGCAUGGCCUUCUUUUGUUCCCUUUUGUUUUGUUUUUGUUUUUUAGUCAUCUAAGUUAUGGGACAUGGCUUGCGGACUCAGCUUUUAAAAACUUUCCCUAGAUAAGUAGUUGAAUCUAGGGGAGGUACUUUUUAGUCAUAACGAGAUUACACGAUAUAAAAUGAGAUAUAGAGGCGGAUUCACCUCAUGAUUAGUGGGACACAGAGAAUAAUAAAAAAAAAUAUUUGAGUUAUUAAUUAAUUCUGUUGAAUAUAUUAAAAUAGGCAAGUUAAAUUUAUAAAAAUAGUCUCAUAAAUUUAAAAUUUAUAAAAUUUUAAUUUUGAGAAUUGCAAAAAACCACACUUUAAUUAAAAUAUAAAAGGUUAUGAGGUAACCCAUAUAGGUGGUUUACUAUUAUUUAAUUUAGUUUUUAUUAAAUCUAUAAAAAUGAUUUAUAUAAACUCAUCAAGCUAUAAAAUUUGAGUUUUCGCAUUGUGUUGUUAUAUAAUUUAGCCAUCGAUAAAUCAUUUUUAUGAAUCCACCACUGAUAACAUAAAUAUAAAAAAAUUAAGUGCUCGAUUUACCUCACGCAAAUAUGACAUAAUAUUUUCGUUAACUGUCAUAAGAAACUUAAAAAUGGUAGUCAAUUAAAUAAACUAUGACCAUUGACAAAAAAUUAAUGAAAUUGUAACAGAUAUACAAAAAGAUUUUAAAAUCAUUUUGCCCUUAAGUUGAUAUAAGAUGAGUCGUUAAUAAUUGCAUGUGCAAACAUCGUAUAUUCUUUAUAAUUAAUUGUGCAGAUUUUGAUGACCAUUUGGGUGUAUUGGGGUUAUGAAUUUUGUGAGUUUUUUCCACUUUUGUAAAUUCUUAUUUGUUAGUAAAAUUACAUUCCAGUUUUUGCCCAUGCACAUAGGCAAUACGCCGAACCACGUAAAUUAUUGUGUCCUAUUUUCUUUCCAUUUGUUUAUCACCACAUUUAUAUUUCUCCAGAAGUUGUAGUAUUAGUAAUUGCUCAACCCGUGUUUCCGUAACACCCAUAAUAUUUUCAUUAGAAUUUCUUAUAACAACUUCCAACAUUGGUUAUUGAUAUUUUAAGGUUUCAUCUUAAAUAAUAAUAACAAAAUAAUUAAAAUUUUUAUCAAAAUUUAACGAAAUAUAUUGUGCUUUGAUAAACAAGGAAUGUCAACUAAAUAUAGUCAAAAUAAAUAAUAAAUUGUUAAGUCGAGUUUUGGUUUCACAUGAUUGUAAUUAUGGAGACUAGUUAUUUGAAUAAAAUUUAAUUUCUUCUGUUUAUCAUUGUAAACUUGAAUAGGGACAAAUGCAUGACUAUAAAAGAAGGGUUUGAUAAGGAUUUUUUGGGGGUACCGAUAGGACCACUCAUGAGCCAUAACAAAACUAAGCCCAUGCGACGCCCACCUAAUCCAUUUGUACAUUUAGCUUGAAGAAUAAGACGAUAAUAAACAAUAGGCCUAAAUAAUAAGAUGAUAUAAAAGUAAGAAUAAUGUUAAGAUACCAAUUUUUUAGUCUUAACUUCUUAAGUCUUAAUGUCACACGUCAUUCAUUUAUUAGACGAUAGAUUUCAUAACUUGUAAAAUUAUUUAACUACCAUCUAAUAAAUGAUUGUUAUAUUUGUUGAAACUUAAAUUUUGAAAUGUUUAACAUUGAGCUGAAUCUAAACGAUUUCAUUUUCCAUUAUUGUUAUUUAUUUUAAUUUUUUUUUCCCAAUCGGAUUUUGCUUUGAGAAAAUAGAAAGCCUUUUGGCUUUAAGCAUGUAUAGUAAAUUGAAAAAAAAAUUAUCCAUAAAUUAUCCAUGAGUUUCUGAAAACCAAUUAACUUCAAAAUCUCUUCCAGCACUAGGAGGAACAUCUUCAAUAACUUUUUCGUGGCCUUUUGGGUAAUAAAUCCCAGUUCUUUCAUGAGGAACCCAACAACAAUUUCCUUCAUUUUCUCCCACAUUAUUAUUCAUUUGCUGGCUCCUCAUCACAUUUCCUUCUUCCGCAUUGGAUUUCAAUGCUGUUUCUCUCAUCAUAUCAUUAGAACUUGCUUUCUUUUGAAAGGAUUUCCUCAUUAUUGGCCUAUAUGUUUCAAAAGACUUAACAAAUUAAUAAUGCAAAAACAAAGAGUAAAAUAUUCAAACACUCAAAUGAAUGAAAGUAAUCUCUUUUUAUUAUUGCGUGGACAGUGGCGAAAUCAGGAUUUUGCUUCGACAAAUGUCAUCAAUAAAAGAGAAACAACAAAUUUAAGUAGGCUAUAACACAAAAUAAUAAUAAUAAUAAUAAGAGGGCUACAAAAUAAAACUGUCAAGUCACAAGAGAAUAUUGUUAUCCAUUUCUCUCAUCUCUAGGGAGAUCAUUUGUUGUUCCUGUGUACGUCAUUUUCUGUUUGGAUAAAUAUUAAAUUAUAAUACUCUUUCUUGAUCAUUGGGGAGCACUCAUUGCAGAGCAUGGCCUUCUUUUGUUCCCUUUUGUUUUGUUUUUGUUUUUUAGUCAUCUAAGUUAUGGGACAUGGCUUGCGGACUCAGCUUUUAAAAACUUUCCCUAGAUAAGUAGUUGAAUCUAGGGGAGGUACUUUUUAGUCAUAACGAGAUUACACGAUAUAAAAUGAGAUAUAGAGGCGGAUUCACCUCAUGAUUAGUGGGACACAGAGAAUAAUAAAAAAAAAUAUUUGAGUUAUUAAUUAAUUCUGUUGAAUAUAUUAAAAUAGGCAAGUUAAAUUUAUAAAAAUAGUCUCAUAAAUUUAAAAUUUAUAAAAUUUUAAUUUUGAGAAUUGCAAAAACCACACUUUAAUUAAAAUAUAAAAGGUUAUGAGGUAACCCAUAUAGGUGGUUUACUAUUAUUUAAUUUAGUUUUUAUUAAACCUAUAAAAUUUGAGUUUUCGCAUCAUGUCGUCAUAUAAUAUAGUCAUCGAUAAAUCAUUUUCUUGAAUCCACCAUUGAUGACAUAAAUAUAAAAAAAUUAAGUACUCGAUUUACCUCACCCGUUAACUGUCAUAAGAAACUUAAAAAUGGUAGCCAAUUAAAUAAACUAUGACCAUUGACAAAAAAAAAUUAAUGACAUUGUAACAUAUAUACAAAGAGAUUUUAAAAUAAUUUUGCCCUUAAGUUGAUAUAAGAUGAGUCGUUAAUAAUUGCACGCGCAAACAUGGUAUAUUCUUUAUAAUUAAUCGUGCAGAUUUUGAUGAACAAUGCACCAAAGCCACAUGGUAAAAAUCUCCCUUAUGUUUUUGUUUUGAGAAAGUUGCUGAAUCAAUGUCAUGACGCUAAUUUUCAAAGCAUGAAAACAGAAUGAAAUUAAAGAAACCAUAGUGAUGUAUCUUGUUUGCAUACUGGAAUGAAAUGUUGAUUUAGGCAAAUUUAGGAUGUAAAGUGUAAACUAAGGUUCACAUAAAAAUAAUAAUAAUAAUAAUAAUAAUAAUAAUAAUAAUAAUAAUAAUAAUAAUAAUAAUAUUAUUAUUAUUAUUAUUAUUAUUAUUAUUAUUAUUAUUAUUUUAAUCCAUUAAGAGAAAAAGGUUGUAUGCUCAUCAACCCAUUGCAAACUUUUGGCUUAAGAUUAAUAUGAGUAAUACAACACAGCUAUAUCAUAUCCCUAAACUUGAAAAUUAUUUAAAAAGGACCAUGAAUUGAUGAGGAUGAUAAAAUUAGCAAGGUUUCUAUUUUAUAAGUGUUUGCCAUAUGAUAUAUCAUUAAAAUGUUGUCCGUUUAUAUAUAUCUCAUGUUUUAUUUAUUUUAUGUAAGGAGAUUAGGGAGACCACAUAUUGUAAUUCCCCUUGUGAAUGUUUACUGGGGAGAGAAAUGAAAAAAAUUCAUCAAGUGUGUAAUCCUGAAUUUGGUUGGUGGAGUCUUCAACAACAGCUCAAAAACUUGCCUCCUCGGUUGUUGGUCACCUCAAGAAAUAUCGCAAACUGUUAGCAAGAACCUGCAAAUUUGAUCAAGCAAAGUCUAAUCAGUACAUCAACGAUCGUGCAAGUCUUCAGGCGCACCGUGUGAUCAUUAGCACGUUAAUGUUCUUACCGCCCACUUCAAAGUUUAAAUUCAAAUCUUUUAUAUAAGAACAGUUUUGCAACUAGAAUACCGAUUUUGAGUAGAAAUGGUAAGUCUCUUUAUUCUUCAGAGCAAACAAUCUAUAAAGCAAUUUCCGAUGUCCUAUAUGUAGGCCUGUUGUUUUUACCUGUUGGAGAGGCUUGAUAAUGGCUUUACCCUUGUAGCUGACAUGAAACUUUGCCUUAGCCAACAGCCCCUGGGUGCGAAAACAAAAAUUAGAACAAAAUAUAUUAAUAAGGGAAGGCCACUCUUUUGUCAAUAUAUAUAUAUAUAUAGAGUUUGUUAUAAAAGAUUACCUCAGUAUCAAACUCUCCCGAUUCAACAUUGACAUUGAUGACAGUGAAAAUCUUUACAAGAUCCACCAAUAAUCCUGGUCGAUCAGCCGUCUCCACCAAAAGCAAACUUCAAUAAAACAAAAGGUAAAAUAAACAAAAAUAGUAGGAAAAUACUUGGUAUCUAGAAGGGCGAGAGAAACACGAGAGAAACGGCAGCACAUGCUGCCGUUUCACUCCCAAAAUCUCUCGCCUUUUUUUAAUUAAAAAAAUUAAAAAAUUAAUAAAAAAUAAUAAAGAAAACAUAAUCUUAUCUGCUCCUUACUCCAUUUUUGCAACUCUCUCACCAUCUCUGUCGAGUAGCUCUCUCUCUCAUUGGCUCUCACUAUUUCACGAUCUCUCUCUCACUCACACACUCCUUUUCACGAUCUGAAAUUUUCUGGCCUUCUGCAACUCUUACAAGAAAUUAACGCUUUGGUUCUCACAAGGAUAGAUUGGGCAGGAAAUUGCCACUUGGGCUGGAGUAUGAGUAGUAAUAGUGUGGGACCAAAGUUUGGUGGAUAGCAAAAGCUCCAUCAUCUAGAUAAGAGAAUGAAUUAUGCAUUACCUUCGCUUGGGGCCAUCAAUAUCAUCAUAGAUGCUUAUGUGGGUUGCUAUGUCCACAUCAACCUGACAAAUUCCAGCACAACAAGAUUUGAGACAAGAUUGAAGUGGGACGUUAUCCUUCCCAUAAUAACUCAUAUACGUAGUUUUUAACAUUCAUGACAACAUGAUAUUAAUUUCAAUGGCAGGCAAAUUGAAUAUAAUGUCUUUAAAGAAAAUGAGGAUAAAAGUGAAGUAAUAUUUGGCCCAAGAGAACUCUAAAAACAACUUAGUUUCCUAUUCAAAUGAUCCACUAGUGAGAAGAGCCCACUACAAGAAAAACUGACCUAUUAUGAUAGGUAAAAACUGUCAUCGUAGGGGGUAAAUGAUGGUUAUUCUUACCGUCAUUAUAGCCAGCGUCAAGAAAAGAUGACAGAUAAAAUCGCGUCACGAGUUGUGAUAGAUUUUACCUAUCAUAAUUAUGUCAUACUACUUAGAAGAGGGAAAUUAUUAUUUUUUUUAUAUUUUCAUUUUUUUAGAAAUUUCUUGGAUUGUAUUUUUUUUUUUUGGGAUAUCAAUUGUGUGUAUGACUAGCAUUUUCUAUCACAAUUUUUUUGAAAAAUUUGAUUAUUUAUUUUAUUUAUUAAUUUAAAAUAAAAAUUAUGCAAUUUUAAAAUUUAAAUUAUUAAAAUUAUAUGAAAUAAAAUAAAUUACUAAAUGCAAAUAAAUCCAAAACCAAUGAACUAAAUUAGUGAACUUUAUUAACCAUAAAAAUAUCCAAAGUACAUUACAUUAGUUAAUCAAUAUUCCAAAGUCAAGCCAAUAGGCAACAAAGGCCAAUCCAAAACCAAGCAAAGUACUCCGCAUUCUGCAACAUCCAGCAACAAACCUACACAAAAUGUAGUCUUCCAGCGGCAAAAUCCAGCAGCCCUAAAGCCAAGACAUGAAAAUUCAUCCAGCAUCAAAUCUAUGCAAAAUGUAGUACUCUGGCUAUUCAAUCCACUAACUAAUUAAUUAAUUAAUCAAGCAAACUAACUUAUGUAAUUACACUGAAAUGGAAGUGGCACACCAGAUUAGCAGCAAUGACAGGUGAGGUGGUAGUUAAAGCCCAAACAGCAAGAAAGCCACAAGCCACACCUUUAAGUUCUUUUGAUCUUUUGUAGCUGCUACUACUACUACUACUACUACUACUACUACUACUUCUAAUAAUAAUAAAAACCAUCCUAUUAAUUUAUACAAGUCCCAAUAUAAGUAUAUAACUAAACAUAGGGUUCAAGAGUUCCAUGUCUUAAAAGUUACAAUCACAGAGACAUUUCCAAAAUGGAAAAACGAAGAUAAAGCUUAUAAAAAAUAAAUAUACCUAUUUAGUAAUUUAACAGCCUCAUAAACCAAUCAUGGACACAUUUCCAUCGACCCGCAAGUAAUCAAUCAUAGCCUUCAGAUUAUCUUUCUGAAAAACAAGCCAUCAACUUCAGACGGACCUUAAUUACAAGAAUAAAGUCCAACAAGACAGGUAAUUGAUCUCAUAAGUGAUUUUUUCCCCUUUAAAAGUUAAAAUUUUUUAAAAAAAUUACUAGCUGUGUAAUUUCUUCCCGCUAGUUAAUCAGCCACCAACUUCAUUCAAUCAUAGAGUAAAAUGCUCUCCUACAGAGAGCCCAGAUCCUGAAAAAUCUCCUAUAACUUUCAUUAUUCAUUUAUUAUUCAAUUGGAAAAUAAUUUCAAUGAGCCAAAUUCAUAUAAAAUAUAGAUUUAGAUUCUCGCGAUCCUUAAAUCUCCUAUAAGUUAACACAACACAGUCCUUCAAAAAGCAAAGCAACAUUAUGUCAACAUAAAUUAAACAAUAUAUGAGUGAUGAACUGUACACCUAGACUAAGCACGAGCAAGAUUAAAUACAACACUUCAUCAAGCUUUGCCAUGAAUUGUAUCAGAUUUGCUUUGCGAAUGAAUAUAAUAAGCUUCAUAUUCCUUCGCUCCUCAUAGGUAGAAAUGACCUGCAACAAUUAAAGUGCCAAGAUUCAUUCAUGGUUUUUAUCAAACACUUGGAGGGAAUACAAAAAUAGUAACUAUAUCCCCAAUUCGAAGGUAGUGAGCAUACGGCUACAUGCAAGUAUAUAUCAAUAUGUAUAUAUCUUUUAGGAAUUCUAUGCCUUGAGGUUGUUAAUUGUGGUGCUAGCAAGCUAUGUUAUUAAUUGGUAUAAAUUUUUGAAUGGUACAAAAGGCGUGAGAUUCAAACCAUGCUCAUAUGAGUGCGGAGAGUGGAAAUUGAGUAGAAACCACAAUACUAUUGAUAUUCUUAGAGGAUCUUUCCAUGUGACAUUCAUUCAAAAUUGUAACUAAGAGCAAAAUGCUUAACGAUUUUUAAUGCAUUGUACACAUAUCUAUCAGACAAUAUCUUGUAAGAUCGAAAAAUUGAUAACAUUCCCUCAAGACAAAUGAAAAAUGGAAUUGAACUAGUCAAUAUCUGCAUUACCCAAAAGAGAAACAAGGGAUGGGGAACUCUGAUGAAAUAAUAAAUUCUCUGCUCGGUACAAAAACAGCCACUGGAAACACACAUUGGUUGGAUCAUAUUGACAUUAUUUCCAACACACACAAUAGAAACAAUACCAAUUGCCCACCAAGUGCAUGACUCAAUGUGCGCCCAGCCUGACACCACUUCCUGCACAUGCGACUCGGCCCACAAUCACCACUAAUUUCAACGAAUUAGUGAAUUUAACCAAUGAAAUUUAAAAAAAAAAAAGACUUUGCAUCACAGUGAACUAAUUUGAGAAUUAUCUUUAUAUAUAGUUCCAUGCAUGCCACAAAAAGUGAAAAAAAAAUUAGUUAUUAGAAAACCCCAAUGAUAAAGCAGCCUAGACAAUAUCCCAACACCCAUCACCAGUAAAUUGGCAAGGAUCUUUACAGCCUAAAUCAAAUUUAACAAUAAAACUAUAAUAAUUAGAUUCCAAAAAAAUCAAAUAAAUGUUUAAAAUUCCAUAAAUAAAGAAACAUAGAAGACCAAUCAAAUAGAUCCAAAUUUAACAAGAGCACACCUAGGAUUUUCAAGUUUUACAUGUACAGGGUUCAAAUUUGACAAGAAAACAUCUAGGCUUUUCAAGAUUUAGGUGUGUAGGGUUUGAAUUUGACAAGAACACAUUUAGGGUUUUUACGUUUUACAUAUAUAGGGUUCGAGUUUGACAAGAACAUUAAAAUUGAAAUGAAACACAACACUAGAAAUAUUAUUUACCUGUAUUGAUCGAACGGUUACAACAGUGGGUGAGCGAGGGUUCUCGGUUAGGGUAUUGAAAUUCAAUAGUAGGAGCACAUGCGUUUGGUGGGUAUUCCAUAUAGUUCUCAGUGAGAGCCAAAAUCGAUAGUGAAAUACAAGAGAAUGGCGGCAGUGGUUCAGUGCCCAUGCAAGGAUUUCAGACGAAAAGGGCUUUGUGAGUGCGAGAUUGACGAGAGUGACUGAGCGAGAGACGAGAGUGAGAGUGCCAACACUUGGGGAAAAAAAAUUCGAUGAGUGAAAACUGAAGAGGGUUUUGUUUUUAUUUAGUUUCAAUCUAAACGGUGACGUUUCUUGUCUAAAGAGAAAUUUUUAAUCCAAACGAUCCCGUUUAUUCUUUAUUUAUUUUUUUCAUUCAUUUUAAAAUUUUCAGUCAACCUUGUGAAAUAAAGUCAAAAUAAAAAGCUACUUGAUGAUCAAAAUUAUAUCACAAACUUGUCAUUACUUCUUGAUAAUCAAAUAAUUUAUCAUUAGUCUAUCAUAAGUGUUUGAUAGAUGAAAUUUCUAUCACAAGUAUGUCAUAAAUGAAUGCUAGAAAAAAAUUUAUCAUCCAUCCGUUGUAGUAGCUCUGCAGACCAAAAACUGUCACACAGAGGACUGUCAUGGUAGGUCAUUUUUCUUGUAGUGGCAAAAAAUAUCAAUAAUCUGAAAAAUUAAAAUAAGACCAAAAAGCAAAAACCUGUUGUUUUGGAGGAUCAACGCCAAAGGUAACACCCAUUGCCAACUGGGAACUUGAUUCCUGAUUCCAUCACCAACACAAAUGGAAUAAGGUUUUCAUAAGACAAUUCCUAUAGGUGCUCCACCAAGUGAUAUCUCAAGAGAGACAAAAAAAUGAUUACCGGGUGAUACUGAAGUAGAUUGUUUAUAACUAUCAAACGAAUUGCCUCAAGCACCUCAGGAUCAUCAACUUUCCUACCAGUAUCACUGCACACAAGCAUCAUGACCAAAUUAAUCAAAACCACAGUGGGAAUCUAUUGCAAGAACUGCUCCAAAAAACAACGAUGGCUCUUUGGAUCAUUGAUUUUAGGUUCUAGUAUGUCUAAAAUUUUAACGAUUUCAACAUUAGUGAUAAACAUGUAUUUGCAAUAGACUGAUCAUACUUGUAUAUGGAGCAUCAAAAGUAGGUAUUUACUAUGCUCAUCAAAUAUAGACUAGAAGACGUUGACAAAAAUUAAAGGAAAUUAGUGAAUGAAACUGCAAGCAGAGAAUAUAAAUCAGCUUAGUAAUGCAAGGGCAUGAAAAGCAAAAUGCAUAUGCAUCACAAAAUUAUAGAGAUAUAUAAUUUCACAGUCAUAUGAUGAUAUUGCAGCGGUGAAGCCACGCGUGAGGUUAAGGCAAGCGAUGGAAUGACUUGUGUUACAAAAGAGGUAUGUGAAGUUGCACUAUAAAAAUAAAAUAAAUUUGUAUUUUCAAGUAGUAAAGGUGUAGUUAGUUUAUUUACCAUGAUUGCGUCCUGGAUAGAAAUUGAAUCCAUGUUUAAGAAUUUAUCAACGGAGAGAAAAUGUCAAUACAAAGUCAAUGCGAAUGAAUAGUGAAGUCAGCAGUCGCAAAGGCAAAGUUCUAAACCAAAUGUACUCCAGAUAGAUUAGCGGUAGCAGUUUCACAACUGACAAAUGAACAAAGAGUGGUUGCUUGUCAAAUGGGCUUUGGUAGUUUGUUACAACUGAACCGUGGCAAGCUGAAAAAGAAACUUUGUGGCUAGUUAAUUGAGAUCAUAGAUACUGUGAGGUACUGAUAAAUUUAUGAAAUGAGAGUUAUUACAUCAAUUCUAGACUUAAAUCAAGAUUACUUAGAGAGCAAAUAAGGUGUUUUUAUUACAUUUUGGUCAUAGUUUGCAUAAACAUUCAUUUUAGUUGAGUCUUAAUAAGUUUUGCUUGAAUCAAAGUAAUUUGUACUCAAAACAUGUGCAUAAUUGUAGGUUUUCAAAAAUUCUUAAUUCAUGAAGGGAUGCUGUUAGAGUACAAUUUAUGCACUAGUUUUGCAUUGUUUACUUCUCUUAAUAUCGAUGUUUUGCACUUAAUAAUAGUGAUUUACUUGUGUUUUACUUUUGUAGCUGCAAUUCUAUUGAUUGGUGAUAAAAUUGAGCUAUAAGAUGAUGUUUAAGGAUGAUUGUUCUCUUGGAGAAAUUAUGAGCGUCAGAAGAACUUUGUUGAUAAGGCGUGGGCGCGUGCUGUCAACUGCGGACCUGCAGUUUUUAGUUUAACGUAUUUUGUAUUUUUGGUUAUUUUUGUAAUUACAAAUUUAAUAUUUCAGAUAUUAGUAUUUUAUUUUAAAUAGAAUUCUAAAAGAGAAGAGAGAGAGAGUAUUUAAGGGAGGAAUCUAUUGUGAAGGAUUUGGAUUGGAGAAAAAGAAAGAAACCCUAGAUCUAAUUUUUCUCUUCUCUCUAUGAAGAACUAAACUUAUUUUCUGGUUGAAGGAUAAUGAAGCUUUGAUUCAUCACUACUGUGAGAUCUUUUUUUUAUGCUUUAAUUGUUUUAUUACUUUUUGGGUAUUUGUUUAUUUUCUGAAUUAUUUUCAUGAUUAUGUUUGUUAAUUAGGUAAUUGGCCACUAUUUAAUUAUCAACUUAAUCUAUUGUCAAUUAAAGGAUUCAUUGUAUGAAGAAUUUAAUGUUUGUGACAAAUAACAUAGCAGAGAGUUGUGUUGUGAGAAUAAACAAUCUAAUUUAAAUGAAUCAUCAUAUGUGUUGAUUAGGAUUUGGGUCUCUCUGGUUUUUCAGGCUGUCAAUUGAUUAAAUCAUAUGAUCGUAUCGAGGGUUGUCUAUUGAUUAGGGAAAUAUCCAACGGUCGUACCUUGGUUAUCGACUAGUUAAGGAGAGAUUGGCUAUUAGAGGGUCUCAAUAGCUAUAACCGGUCUAUUCAUAAGUAAUAAUAAUCUAUAUUUGAAUCAAUGAUUAGUAGUCGAAUCAAGCUGAGUUAAUUCCUUCAACCAGAGCUUUCUCCAAUUUGAAUUACAACUUUAAUUUGCAUUCUUGUUAUUUUAAUUUGAUUUUUAUUAUUGUCAACAAAACCCCCAUUUUAUGUUUUACGUUUCAAAAGGAUUUAAAUAAUUACCGAUCUCUGUGGACACGACCCUGCUCAAUCACUAUACACAAUUUAUUUAGAGUAGGAAUUUAUUUUUGUUGGCUUCGACACCCAUCAGAUGCUGAGGCAUUAGACUAGCAAGAGGAUGGAAGAAAAUGGCCGUAAAAGAAGUAAAGCACAAUCGGGAACAGUGCAAUGUUGUAGCUAUUGUUAGAGCAACCAUUGCUGUAGCAAUUUGGGACCACUGAGGGAGAAAACUUAAGCGCGGGUCAGCUGCAGAAUUGUGAUCUGCAUGUUUCCUAAUUUAAUUCAUGCACGCCACGAACUUUUAUUUACCCUAGUUUGCAGUAUAAAAGGGGGGCGCGCACCACAUAAAACUGCGGCAAGGGAAUUAUCAUUAAUACAUUAGAGAAAAGAGAAGAAGAAGAUCGGAAUUAAAGGGGACGGCUUCAGCAGAAUUGAGAAAUCCUGCAGAGUUAUUUGGAUUUGCUUUUUGACGUUCUCAACUUAUACUUUUCUUAUUUCUUUAACUGUUCUAAUGUAUCUCGUGAACAAUAUAUUAAUGUUUUUUUUUCUCAUUCAGUUGACCACCCAUUUAAUAGUUCAAGUUAAGAUAGAGCCGCAAAAGGGCAUGUCUUAGCGGAUAUUAUUAGAGUAUUACUUGAUCUUAAUUUAAGUUUCCUGGAUUAAGUUAUCUUGAAUCCCAUAAGGGCUAUACUUGAAGUUAAGAUUUGUGACACACUAGACAUAGGUGCUCACCUUAUAGGGUGGAGAGACUAAAGGGUCAUAAAGCCAUAUCAUAAGUAGAUUAGCAACUGGUCAUUGCUAGUAUACUUAAGGGUAUGAGAGUUCCAAUACGCAACAGCUGAGGACGCAGAUUCAGAAAUAGCUCUUGACUUGAAUUUUGGUUUUGGCUUUGCAUGAAUCCCAGUGUAAAUCCUGUAGAAAACUUACAAUCUUCAGUGAACCGCGUAAAACGAGACUUACUUGAGUGGGUUGAGACUCUUCUCGAAGACUUUCUUCGCUUCGUCGAUAUCUUUGGAAUCUUCCAAACAUCUGUUAUGACACUCAAGGAAGAGCAGUUUGCUGCCAAAGUUGCUAUAAGGAAAAAAGACGACGUAAAGAUAGCUUCGUAUUUGAAAUCAAGAAAAAGAUUGGCCAAAGAGAUGCUUAAGCUUGUCAGUGAAAUUCGGUGUAUCGGCCAAUACCAGGUACCGCCACCAAUGCUGGCGUCCGUUAUAGAUUCUGAGUUAGCCGGUGUCGUCACUGAUGCUGUUCGAGUGAAAUUUCUCCAUCAUCAUCUAAUUCUAGUACGCGAUCAAGUGGCAGUCUUUUCUUUCUCAACGCCAAAAGCUUAAAAAAAAAAUAUUACAACCCAUUACAGGCCAGCUAAGAUAAAUCCCUGUAUGAUUUUCGCGCCAAGGAUCGUACUGUCACUAGGGAUAAUAUUAUCUUUUCAAAGUUAACUACCAGUCAAGAGAAAAUUUAACUAACGGCAGGGGGUUUUUUUUACAAAUAAAACGAUUUUGGCCAUCUACUUACAAUAGCCUCAAACCUCAGGGGAGGUUUUUAAAAAUUACCCCCGUGGAAAAAUAAUAAUAGUUGAAAAGACAUAGGGUACUUUUUAUUUUCCUUUAUAUUACUAAUAGAUUUCCCACGCGCAACAGACGAAGUCAUUGCUGCUUUAAUAAUUGCCCUAUCACUGUGUUCAUCAUCACAAAUUUCUUUAUUACGUUUGUGAAAUAACCUUAGCAUAACAAAAUUACUCCUCCUUUUUAACUAAUAAUAGAUAUCUCAAAUUUUAUUUUCAGAAUAUGGUAUGUAAUGUAAGUGAUUGAUAGUUCUUUAUAAAAUAUAUAAAUAAAUUAAUUGUGUUAUCUUAGUGUCUAAUAUAUAUAAAUGACUUUCUCCAUAUAUUGCACUAUUGAUAUGGGCUAAAGUUUUAUACUAUGAGACCCAAUUUCUAUAAUUUACACUAUAAGUUACAAGUAUUUAGGAAAAUACUAUUACAAAUCAGAAGGUAUUAUCUAUUUUAUACCUAAAGCAUUUUCACUAUUUAAGACUAGUAAAACUUCUAUAUUAUUAUAAUAUUGGAAUCAAACACCAAUAAACAAGUAAAUCAUCUGGAAUGAGAAUGUUCUAACUUAACCAAGGUCCUCGGUUUGAAACUUAGAAAUGCAACUACAUUAAAUACUUAUUGGGAGAGACUUGCCGCUUUAGUGGUCCUAUCCGGCUCGAAUCUAGAUUAGUCGGGGAUCUAAUGUGGUCUUUGGAUACUAGAUGAUUUAAUAUACCGAUAAUAUUGGAACCAAACUAAUUUACAAUUAUGAAGAGGUUAUAAUUCAAUAGAGGCGUAGUAACAAACUAUUAAUAGAGCGUAUCAAAUUUAAUGUAUAAACAAAAUUCUAUAAUUUACACUAUAAGUUGCAAGUAUUUAGGUCAAUACUAUUGCAAAUCAGAAGAUAUUAUCUAUUUUAUGCCUAAAAUAUUUCCACUAUUUAAGGCUAGUAAAACUUCUAUAUAAUUAUAAUAUUGGAACCAAACACCAACAAGCACAUAAAUCAACUAGAAUGGAAAUGUUCUAACGUCAAGGUCCUCGGUUCCAAACUUAGAAAUGCAACUACAUUAAAUAUUUAUUGAGAGAGAUUUGCCGCUCUAGUAGUUCUAUCCAGGUCGAAUCUGGAUUAGUCGGGGACCUAAUGUGGUCUUUGGAUACUAGAUGAUUUAAUGUACCAAUAAUAUUGGAACCAAACUAAUUUACAAUUAUGAGGAGGUUAUAAUUUAAUAGAGGCGUAGUAACAAACUAUUAAUAGAGCGUAUCAAAUUUAAUAUUGGAAUCCGAUGAUUGGUUGCAACAUAAGAUAUUUGUAAGCUUAGUUAAAGGUUCAUUAAAAAUUAUAGAGAUAUAUAAUUUCGCAGUCGAUGAAGCCGUGCAUGAGGUUAAGGCAAGUGAUGGAAUGACUUGCGUUACAAAAAAGGUAUGUGAAGUUGCACUAUAAAAAUAAAAUAAAUUUGUAUUUUCAAGUAGUGAAGGUGUAGUUAGUUUAUUUGUUGUAGCAGUUUCACAGCUGACAGAUGAACAAAGAGUGGCUGCUUGUCAAAUGGGCUUUGGUAGUUUGCUACAACUGAACUGUGGCAAGCUAAAAAGGAAACUUUGUGGCUAGUUAAUUGAGAUGAUUGAUACUGUGAGGUACAUUUUAGAGUUGAAUGGUAUUAGCUUUCGAACAAGAUCAUCAAAGAAACUCUACCAACUGGGAAAUUUAAACUUAAUCUAUGCUCCGCAAAUUCGGAUAUUCUCUAAUAUGAAACUACUUUUAUGUGUUUUGUUAUUCCUAGCUUUUACCGACUUGGUAACGUUGUUAUGGAAGCAUGACAACUAUUAUGUCCGUGCAAUUUUUAUUGUAUCUUUUGUUAUGUCACGAUAUUGAAGCUUAGUUUUCUGACUCCAAUUACUAAGAACUGCAAUUGCAACAUCUUUUGAAUAUUACAUAUAUGCUUGUAGUAUCUCGACGGAUUAAAACCUGCUAUUUAAGUUCUUCUCCCCCACCCCCCGCCCUUCUUCUUUCAUUUAUACUUGCUGCACCAUUUACUUCACACUCUGUAAAGCCAAAUGAAAGCUUGUUCAUUUAUGUUCACUUGCAAUUCAAAAGCACAGUUUAUUUCAACUGUCAAAUUGACUAGUUGCACGUAUAGAUUUCAGUCGAAACAGGGUUAUUGGUCGAUCAAGAAAUUGAAUCCAUAUGGCCGUUCCAGCGUUAUUCAACCACCUAAUUUCAAAUAUAUAAAUUAAUUCAACCCACUUCUGUGUCAAAGGCGUGGAACAAAUUAUGAAAGAUUUUUCAGCUAUCAUAAAUUCGAACGGGUGUAGUUUGUAUCCUUUCGGACUUAGACAGAUUUUCCUUCCAUUAACCUUACAGUGUUAGUAAUCCUAUUACUUGUUUUUACAGCUUGAAUAGUAUACCGAAAUUUUUGGCUUUUGCAACAUAAACUUGUAUGUAAUGUACAUUUUAUUGUUCUUUACAAAUUAAUUGCUGCUAAAAUAAUUGUUUCAAUGGCAUGAUCUGCAUCCCCGGUUUGCCUCUUGGGCUACGAACCUGCUUAACAGCUGCACCAUCUUGCUCCUUUUCAUCGAACGGCAACUUCCCUACAGACAAAAAGACGGGGUACACGGUACACUGCCCAGGGUCACCAUAAACGCAGCCCAAAAAGAUGAUUUUGUCUUUCCAUGUCUUAGUAUUUUAACCAAUAAUAAUAAUAAUAAUUCUUUAUAUCAUCAAUUAUUGCACUUGUAAGCCAGGCAAUAGUAUUUUUAUUAAAUAAAAAAUUAAUGUCAAAAUUUAUUUAUUUAUUUAUUUUUUUUAUCUAGCUAUCAUUGACUUAAUAUUUUGAAUCUUCAUCCAAAGUUAAGGCACAAAACUUUUAUUCUAAAUAAAUAUUCUCAAUAUAAAUUUAUCACUUAAAUAAUAAAUAAUAAGAUUUAACAUUAAUUCUGUCGUUACUGAAAUGAAUUGUAAAUUUUAUAUGACAUGUAAACGUAUCAUUAUGUUCUUGAUAUUUGACAUAUGAAUUAUAAAGCAACAAAUGUAUCAUAUUUUUAUUUCGGUAUUGUGCUUCUCUAAAAGUAACCCUCACCAAAUUAGCUUAAUUCUUUUCGUUGUACUCAUUGCUUCUCUUCCUCUUUUCGUCAACGACAAUGGGUAACCUAAUCUCAACCUUCUUACCAGCAGACUUAUUUGAUCGUUUUUCAAACUGCGUUGGUGAACAAGCAAAAUAUGUAUGGGGUCUCGAAAAAAAUCUUCGGAUCUUGGAGACUGAAUUGCACAAAUUGACUCGAGCAAGGGCCGAUCUGAAGACCAGGGUUGAGGUCGAACAACAACGACCUCGAACCAGACGAACGAACCAGGUCGCAGGGUGGCUUGAAGAUGUGCAAAAUCUUGAAACUGAAUUUGCCGAGCUGGAACGAGUCAGAGCUCAAGAAAUGGAUAGAUUGUGCCUUGGAGGCCUCUGUUCCAAAAACUUCGUUUCAAGCUACAAUUACGGGACUAAGGUGGUCGAGUUGACGGAUCGAGUCAUCAAUUUAAAGAAAGACGGAGAAAAAAUUGAAGUCGUUGUUGAGAAGGCGCCGGAUGGUGCAGCAAUUGAAUUACCUCUUGAUCACACAGUUGUUGGUCAAGAACUAUUACUUGGUCAAGUUUGGAGAUGUAUCACUGAUCAGGAAAAGAACAGGGGAAUUAUCGGCUUGUAUGGUAUAGGGGGAGUCGGCAAAACUACCCUUUUAAAACAAGUCAACAACAACUUCUGCCAUCAACAGCAUAAUUUUGAUGUUGUUAUCUGGGCGGCUGUGUCAACACUUCAAGAUGACAUUGGAAAAAGGAUUGGCUUUUCAGAAGACAGAAACUGGCAGGAAAAAAGUCUUCAAGACAAGGCUAUGGACAUCGCUAGCAUUCUAAGCGGAAAGAAGUUUGUGUUGUUAUUAGAUGAUAUAUGGGAGCCCAUUGAUUUAACACAGUUGGGUGUCCCUCUUCAAAAUCUAAAUGAUGGGUCCAAAAUAGUCUUGACAACUCAUUCAGCUGGUUUUUGCGAUCAAAUGGACGCUAAAAAGUUGGAAGUGUCUAGUUUGGCACAUGAUGAAGCCUGGAAAUUAUUUCAGGAGAUGAUCGAAAGAUCCACUCUUGACAGUCAUACCAGUAUUCCAGGGCUAGCCGAAACCCUGGCAAGAGAGUGUGGUGGGUUGCCGCUGGCGCUUAAAACAGUGGGUCGAGCCAUGAAAAGCCAAAGGAAAGUUGGAGAUUGGGAACGUGCAAUUAAGAAAAUGAGAACAUCAGCUUCUAAAUUCUCAGGUAUGAAAGAAGAGGUGUUUUCGCGUUUAAAGUUCAGCUAUGAUAGUUUGUCUACGGACGAACUUCGUUCCUGUCUCCUGUAUUGUUGUUUAUAUCGUGAAGACUACGAAAUUCCUAAAAGGGAAUUGAUUGAUUACUGGAUUAGUGAAGGAUUUGUGUGUGAUUUUGAUGAUGGAUGCGAUUUUAUUGAUGACCUUCUUCAAGCAUGCUUAUUGGAGGAAGAAGGCGAUGAUCAUGUAAAGAUGCACGAUAUGAUUCGUGAGAUGUCAUUAUGGAUAGCGUGCACGGUAGACAAGGAGGAGCAGAACUUUCUGGUUCGCGCUGGAGUUAAAUUGACCGAAGCACCAAAGGUUGAAGAAUGGGAAGGUGCCAAACGGAUAUCUCUGAUGAAAACUGGAAUUCAAAGCCCAUCGGAAAUUCCCACGUGUCCUCGUCUCGUCACUUUUCUUCUGGAUGGAAAUUGGAUUGAGGAGAUUACUGAUGGCUUCUUUCGAUCGAUGUCUUCUCUUAGAGUAUUAAGUCUACGAAGAAAUCUUGCCCUAAGUAAACUACCUUCAGGGAUUUCAAAUUUGGUUUCAUUGCAUCAUCUUGAUCUAUCAUGGACUCGUAUACGCGGGUUGCCGCAGGAGCUGAAGGCGUUGGAGAAGCUGAGAUAUUUGAGCUUGGAGGGUACACGGCACUUGUCUAUAAUUCCACAUCAAUUGAUAUCUGGCUUUUCAAAGUUGGAGGUACUCAGGUUGCUUUGGUGCGGUCUCUGGAGCAGAAAAGAACAAGAAGAAGGUAGCGUUCUAUAUGAUGAUGCUGAACCUUUGAUGAAGGAAUUGCUGGGUUUGAAGCAUUUAAAUGUUUUAAGCUGGUCCUUGCACAGUUCACUUGCUGUCCAAAAGUUUUUGAAAUAUCCAAAGCUGUUGAGCAUCACUCAAUCUGUAGGGGUUUACUUCUGUCAAAGUCCACCGCUCAAUGUCUUACAUCUAGCAUACAUGGAGAAUCUUCAGGAGUUAGUCAUUUUAAACAGUGAUUUGGAAGAGAUGAAGAUUGACAGCGCAGAAGAGGUAAAGAAACUUUUUCGAAGUGGUUUCCGCAGUCUCAACACAGUUAGCGUAGAUUAUUGCCAAAAAGCGAAGGACUUAACGUGGCUUGUUUUUGCUCAAAACCUUAAGGAGCUGCGUAUAGAUUCUUGUUAUGAUGUGGAAGAAAUAAUCAGUGUUGAUAAAUUGAGUGAUAUUUCAGAGAUAAACGGGUCAGAGCAUAACUUUUUCGCACGACUCGAAUAUCUAACCAUGUGGCGGGGACCAAAUUUAAAGAGCGUUUACCCGAAUCCCCUGCCCUUUCCAAAGCUGAAGAAAAUUCAAGUAUUUCAUUGCCGACAGCUGAAGAAGCUCCCACUCAAUUCCAGCAGCGCGAAGGGACGUCGAGUUGUCAUCGAGGGAACGAAAAAAUGGUGGGAAGAACUACAAUGGGAGGAUCAAGCCACCCAAAAUGCUUUCUUUUCCUGUGCUGUACUUUGGGAGCAUCUUUAUUAUUAAUAUGUUUGAAUAUGUAUUUCCUUUUUUCUUUUUUUUCUUGCUAUAGAGUUGCAUGAUUGUGAUAUCCUUAUUAUUAUUAUCCUUUUUUUUUUUCACAUGAAGUUCAGUAACUACUUCCGAGAGUAAUAAGAUCCAACUCGUUUUUGGUUUGGUCAAAAACUUUUUGUGGCCCCAAAUCCUUUUUAACACCAGGCCAGGCAUAGCCACUUAGGCUUGUGGCUCAGUGGUAAAUCAUUGCCCUUAAAAUUAAGAAUGAUCCUUAUUAUUAAAAUGUUGGCAUAUUUAUGGAUUGGAAACUCAGAUGCUGAACUCAUAGUAAAUAUUUAGUUAAUUUGUUAUAAUUAUAUUUGGUAAAAAAAAUAAUUAAAUUUUUUUCUUUUCCUUUAUAGUGUGUUUACUUGUCAGUAAUCGGAAUGGGCUGGAAUUGGAAUGGGUUAGAAUCAGAAUAAACUGGAAUGAGAAUGAGGAAUAGGAAUCAAAAUAAGUUGUUUACUUGAACUGUAGGAAUUGGAAUCAGAAUGAGUUAGAAACCCAUUGAUGUGUUUACUUUAUCUAAGAAUCAGAAUUGGAAUCGGAAUAAGUUAAGUUGUUUUAAGUUACUAAAACACCCUUAGUUGUUAAUAAUAAUAAUAAUAAUAAUAGUUGUCCUUUGGUAUUAAUGAUAAUAAUAACAAAUUUAAUAAUAACAUUAGAAAGAAAUAAAUAAUAGUAAUAAUUAAUGAUAAUAAUGAAAUUAAAUAACAACUACUAAUACUACAAUAAUAAUAAUAAUAAUAAUAAUAAUAAUAACAUUAAUAACAAAUAAGCAAACAAUGAAAUAAUACAAACACCAAUCUAUAUAAUUUUAGUGUACAAUCAGUGGCCAAACAAUAUAAGAAAUUAAUAAUUUAAAAUAUAAAAUUAUAAUUCCCAAAACAAACAUCGUGCUCCUCUUCAACGGAGGUAGUAGAUCGCGACGGCAAACGGCGGCAGGACGAGCGCGACCACGGCGGCAACAGAUCGAUCGCGACUAAUCGCAGCAGCAGAUCGUGACGAACGGAAGCAGCAGAUCGCAACCUUUUGACACCCCCGCUAAGACCCUCCUUUAAAUUCCUUAUAACUCUUUAAUUAAAAUUAUUUAAAUAAUUAAAGAUAAAUUAAUUCCAUUUUAUUUUGAUUGAAAAUUUAAUUAAUACUUAAAUAAAAUUAUUCUUUUAACAUUUUUCCACCCACCUCAUAUUAUAUAUAUAUAUAUAUAUAUAUAUUAGAAACUUUUAAUAAUUUAUAAUCUUUUUAAGGUGAAAUUUAAUGAGAAGAUUAUUAAUUUUAAUUUAUGGAUUAGUAUUUUAUAAAUUAAACCAAGGUACUUUGAUAAAUAAAAAUUAAAACAAGUUUUAUAAGGAUUUUGGAGUGUAGGAAUUCAGAAUAUAGAUUUUCAUGGGGACGUUGAAUAUGCUGAAGCUGAAGCUAUGAAUUUUAGAAUAAAAAUGGCAAUAGACUUUGGUUUAAUGCCAUUAAUUGUUGAAUCAGACUCGAAGACUAUUUUAAACUUGGCGAAAGGUUUUGAAAGAACUAUGAAAGAAAUAUCAUGGUUAAUUUUCGAGAUUCGAAAUUGUAUGGUUGUGAAAGACCACUUCAAAAUCAAUCUUAUAUUGAGAAGUAGUAGUGAGACCGCUCAUAAAUUAGAUAAAUAUGAUGUUAAGAAUUUGGGCUGUGUAAUUUGGUUGGAGGAAAUUUCAACUCAUGUAAGUCUUUUUCCUUUAAGUGAUUAAUUGAAGCUUUCCAUUUCCAAAGAGAGAUAGAGAGAGAGAGAGAGAGAGAGAGAGAGAGAGAGAGAGAGAGAGAGCUCAACUCAAAUGAAAGUAUGAAACAAAGAGUAAAUCCUGAUAGCAGAAAAAUGAGCCAUGAGUAGAACUAUUCGCACCUUUGAAAGCCCUCAUAAAAGUCUUUAUUCAAUAUGUCCCGCUACAUCAUUCAAAAAAUAAUAUUAUUUCUAAGGGCAGAGCUAUUUGCACUCUAAAAUUAUUCUCAACGUUUUAUUACUAUAUACACUUAUUUAUUAAUUUGAAAAAAUGAACUAUAUUUUGUACACUCCUUAAAGUACCAAAAAUGUACUUAUUUAAUCCUUUUUAAAUUAAUUUACUCUAACACACUCAUGAAAACGCCUUACAUAUUCAAAAUAUUUCUCUAAACACUCUUUUAUCAUUAAAAUUUAAUUAUUUGGUUGUAUAAUAUAUUUCUCCAAUAAAUGAAGAAUGAUAAAGCAGCAACUAAAAAAAUCCAUCAAAAUAUUUCACCAAUGAAAAGAUCGUGAGAAAUAAACAUUAUAAUCCGAACAAAUAAAUCAAUUAACCAAUAUAUCAUUUAGCUAAAUAAAAGACGCAGCUUGCGCUUCAUAGUUCUGAGCUUAGAAUCAAGAAGAGAAGUGAAGAUGAAAUUUUUAAUUGCUGAGAAUAUGAUUUUGAGGUUGAUGGAGGACUUGAAAGAGAGGGAGAAGAAAGAAUGAUUCAGAGUAGGUGCCUGUGACCCUGAUGACGAUCUUCUUCAGUACAACUAUGAUGCCACUUCCACCUCCAAUUGAAUGUCAGAAAAUUCAAAGUUUGUCAAAAGAGGAUGGUAAAUUAAGCCCCCUUUUUUUUUUUAAUCUGGAUUUGGUUGAACAUUUUUAUGUCGCAAAAAUGUUUGCUGGGUUGUAAUGCCUCAGUUGCAGACUAGUUUGUAAGAGUCUGAAUAAUUGUCCAUGUUACACUGGUAUUGUGGAAUGGCAAGUAUUUUUUGGCCAAAAGAAAAAAAUCAAGCAACCAAUGUAAACUUGUUUAAUAUCAUCAUAAUAUAACUAAAAAGGAAGUAAUUAUAAUCAUACAAAAAAAAUUAAUAACUGCCAUGUCCUUAAUAGUAAUUUAAACCAUGGAUAUUAUUGUAAUAAUUUUUUUUAUAAAAUUAUGAGUAUUUAGUGUAAUUUUUAGAGGGGUGGGGCUAUUUGAACCCACUAAUUUACUCAAUAAACCCACUUUAAAAAUAAUUUUUUAUCAUUAAAAUACCCCUAAAUUAAAUUACAGUUAUGGACACUAGAAUAUAAUUAAAAAAAAAACAGAAUUUUUACUCUUUAAACCCAUCUUUAUAUUCAACAUAGUUUUAUAGAACCCUAAUCAAAUUUUCAUUAAACCCUAAUCAAUCAAGAGGUGAGAUUCUUCUCUCAAGCCAUAUAUAUUGUUAAAUAGGCACAUGUGAGUUGAUUCAGAAUAACAAAAUUAAUUGUUAUUGAUUUGAUGGAUAUUGAUUUUAUGGAGGAUUAAUUGUUUAAUUGCUAUGAUUCGUUUGGGAAUGACCCCUCACUCAAAAUUGUUUAAUUAGUAUUGAUGAUUAAAUUUUCAAUUAAUAAUCAAUUAUUGUUUUUUCCCAAAUUCUGAAAAAAAUAUUUUUUCUCAAAUUCCUCAUAUUAGAUUUUCAUACCAUCAUACAAGAUUUUUCUCACCACACUAUAAUAUAACUCAAAAAAAUAAUUUCAUGAUAACAACUAUUUUCUCCAUUUAGAAUGUUUUGAUUCAUUUGUCCUUGAACGAGGGCCAUUCACUCAAAAUUGAUUAUUAAAUUUCCAAUUAAUAAUCAAUUUCCAAUCUAAUGGGUUUAUAAAUGAACAUUAUGGGUUUAAUGAGUAAAAUUACUAUUAUUAUAAAAACUGGGUUUAGAAAGGGCAUAUUAGGUAUUUUAGUGGGUUUACUGAGUAAAAUUUAAAAUUUUAAAAUUUAAAGAUGGGUUUAUUUAUUAAAUAGGUUUAUUGAGUAAAUUGGUGGGUUCAAAUAGCCCCACCCUUUUUAGAGUGUAUAUAACCUCACCCUAUUUCUAAACCCACAUAGAUUGAUUCCAAAAACACCCUUCGCUUGCACACCAACCGCAUUUUCACAUUUUCUUCGUCUUGACGAACUUGAAACCCAAAUCUGAUGGCUUCAACUUUCGAAUAAUCAUUAUCUCCACUAGAACUUAUAAUUUUAAAAGGGGGUUCCCCUAUGAUGCUGUAAUUUUUUUACAACAUCAAUAAUGUUUUUAAUUGUGCACCAUUGGAUUUAAUCAACGGUACACAAUAUUUGUAGGCAAAAAUAAAAAUAAAAAAUAAUGGUAAACGGUUAACAAACGUAUAAGGGGUGGAGAAGUUUGUAAAAUAACUAUGACCACCCUUAGAGUUUGAAAUAAUUUCACUUAAAUAGCAUAUUUUAUUUAAAAUUAUUUUUCAAUCCCCCUUUAAAUUUGAAAUGUGAUAAUCUUUUUUAAAUAAAUCUUCCAAAAUCUAUUACCAUUAAGUAUAAAAUAUAAUGGUAGGUUAUUUAACACAAAUCAAAUAAAUAAGUUGCAAUUGCAAAAUUUAUAUAUGAUAUAACACUAAUAAAUAACACAACUAAAUACAUAUACUUAAGUAAAUGUCAUAGUUACAUCAAUAAACUCAUUGUUCAGAUUGCUUGUAACAUAAAAAUUACUUGAUCACACAUGUUUUAAUAAAAUUUAAUAUCGUAUAUUAAAAUACUAAUUAUUUUAUAAAACAGUAAGGGUCAUUGUAUAAUUGAUCAUGAAGUAUGUAUUAUUUUUAAUACCCAUUUAACAUACUUAUUUUCUUAACUUUAUAUUUAUCUUACAGUUAAUAUCCUUACAUGGUAGGAGUUUUAAGUUUUAUAAGCUUAUAUAUUUUCAUUUUAUUUUCAAAUAUCACUUUGUUAAUUUCAUAAAAGUUACUUUUGUUAUGAUAGUUAAUAGUGAUAAUAAAUAAAAUAUUGCCUUCAAUAAUAUUUACGUGGGAAAAAAAGUGAAAGAAAAUCGUUUAUAUUUUUAGAUUUUUAUUGACAUGGUAGGAAAUUAUCUCAGCCUUAUAAAACUUAACUUUCACAAGCUUGUUUUUAUUUUAUUUUCAAAUGUCACUUUGUUAAUUUCACAAAAGUUAAAUCUAACACAUAUUCCUAAUUAACUUUAGUUUAUGAAUCAUGAAAGAUUAUUUUAUUGUUAUUCUUUGAUAGUAAUUAUAAAAUUUAUAUGCUACGAAGAGUCAUUACUUUUAUUAUGAUAAUUAAUAGUGACAAUAAAUAAAAUAUUACAUCAAAUAAUAUUUAAUGGACAAAACGAGGAAAAAAAUCAUUGUAUGUUUUUAUAUUUCCAUUAUAAAGAUAUGGUUUGUGAUACUUUAACUUAAAAUUUUGGCACAAUAUUUGAGCCACUAAUAUCUCAUAUUCUAAUGGUUGAUAUUGAAAGUCAAAGCAUCAUUUUAUAAUGUUAUAUCCUCCACCAUUGAAUAGCAUGAAAUAAAUAGUUUAAUUUUUUGAUAAAAAUUUAAAUCAAAAUAUUUCUCACUCUAUAGUUAUAUAAACAUAUAUAUUUUUCAAUAAUAAUUGGUGAAUAAAAUAUUUCUCAUUUGCUGUGACUCAUAUAGUAUUAUUAAUAAAACACAUAUAAAAUAGUUUAUUGCAAUACUUUCUAUUAUCAUUAUUGUUUAGGUAUUAAUGGUUUGUAAUUAAAUUCAUACAAUACAAAUUAUUACAAGACUUUGUGUUAAAUAGCCUACUUGAUAUUAUAUUUUAUACUUAAUGGUAACUGAUUUUGGAAGAUUUAUUUAAAAGAAAUUAUCAUAUUACAAAUUUAAAGGAGGGCUGAAAAGUAAUUUUAAAUAAAAUAUACUAUUUAAGUGAAAUUGUUUCAAACUCUAAGGGUGGUCACAAUUAUUUUACAAAAAUUAUCUACCCACUUGAACGGUUACCAUUAUUUUUAAAUUUUUUUUUAGUACAAAUAUUGUAUACCAUUGAUUAGAUCUAAUGGUUCACAAUUAAUACAUUAUUGAUGCUGUAAAAAAAUUUACAGCAUCAUAGAGGAACCCUUUUAAAAGCAAUUUCCAUAAUAUUUUCAUUAGAAUUUCUUAUAACAACAUCCAACAUUGGUUAUUGAUAUUUUAAGGUUUCAUCUUAAAUAAUAAUAACAAAAUAAUUAAAUUUUUAUCAAAAUUUAAGGAAAUACAUUGUGCUAUGAUAAACAAGGAAUGUCAACUAAAUAUCGUCAAAAUAAAUAAUAAAAUUUUAAGUCGAGUUUUGGUUUCACAUAAUUGUAAUUAUGGAGACUAGUUAUUCGAAUAAAAUUUAAUUUCUUCUGUUUAUCAUUGUAAAUUUAAAUAGGGAUAAGUGCAUGAUUAUAAAGGCAGGGUUUGAUAAGGAUUUUUUGGAGGUACCAAUAGGACCACUCAUGGGCCAUGACAAAAUUAAGCCCAUGCAAGGCCCACCUAAUCCAUUUUUACAUUUAGCCUGAAGAAUAAGACGAUAAUAAACAAUAGGCCUAAAUAAUAAGAUGAUAUAAAAGUAAGAAUAAUGUUAAGAUACCAAUUUUUUAGUCUUAACUUCUUAUGUCUUAAUGUCACACGUCAUUCAUUUAUUAGACGAUAAAUUUUAUAACUUGUAAAAUUAUUUAACCACCAUCUAAUAAAUGAUUGCCAUAUCUAUUGAAAUUUAAAUUGAAACUUAAAUUUUAGAAUGCUUAGCAUUGAGCUGAAUCUAAACGAUUUCAUUUUCUAUUAUUGUUAUUUUAUUUUAAUUUUUUUUCACAAUCGGAUUUUUCUUUGAGACAAUAGAAAGCCUUUUGGCUUUAAGCAUGUAUAGUAAAUUGAAAAAAAAAAUUAUCCAUGAGUUUCUGAAAACCAAUUAACUUCAAAAUCUCUUCCAGCGGUAGGAGGAACAUCUUCAAUAACUUUUUCAUGGCCUUUUGGGUAAUAAAUCCCAGUUCUUUCAUGAGGAACCCAGCCACAAUUCCCUUCAUUUUCUCCCACAUUAUUAUUCAUCUGCUGGCUCCUCAUCACAUUUCCCUCUUCUGCAUUGGAUUUCAAUGUCGUUUCUCUCAUUAUAUCAUGAGAACUUGCUUUCCUUGGAAAAGAUUUUUUCAUAAUUGGCCUGUGUGUUUGAAAAGCAUUUAACAAAUUAACAACACAAAAACAAAAGACUAGAAGAUUCAAAUGCUCAAAGGAAUGAAAGUAAUCUUUUUUAUUGUGAGGAUAGUGGCGAAAUCAAGAUUUUGGUUCGACAAAUGUCAUCAAUAAUAGAGAAACAAUAAAUUUAAGUAGGUUAUAACACAAAAAUAUAAAAAUAAGAGGGCUACAAAAUAAAAUUGUCAAGACACAAAGAUAUAUUUAAUUGAAGACUUUCAUAUUUCUUGAAUUUUUUUUCAACAUGGAGCCUCUGUGGAGAACUAUUGAUUCAGUUAAUAAAACAUUUAAUUCUAUUUACUUAACCAACCACUCAUAAUUAGUAAUUAGAUAAUUUGAAACUAUUAGGCCUAUUUCGAACGAACUGUUUCAUAAUAAAAUCAAUUUAAAUAAAGUGAAAAGAUUUAUUUACAAACACACCAUGCAAUAACAUAGAUUCUAUAAUGAAGUGAGAUUGUCAAAAUGAAAUCAUGAAAUUGCAAUAUAGAUAGAUAAUGGAAACAUUACUUGAAAAACAUAGAAUUAAAGGUGGGAGCUCCUCUAGCAAACGAUCCUGUCAUUUUUUUCCCCCUUUUUUCUCUCACUUUCUCUCUUUCCAAACAAUGUGGGUGGAUUGAAUUGAAUUAUGAUUUAGAUAGAGAGCUCUUUGUAUAGUGAAGUUAAAUAAGAGAAUAUUGUUAUCCAUUUCUCGGGUCCGCCUACGUUACAUGUAGUGUAACGUACACUCAGCCUGUGAAAUUUCAUCUAGCCCCUUAUACUUUCUGUUAUUUAUAUUUUAUUCAUAAAUAUUAUAAAUUUUUUGAAAUGUACAAUUUUGUUUAACCCCUUAUACACUCAAUUUUAUUUUAUUAAAACCCUAGAGUAUGAAUUCGCCCCUAUAAUAUUAAAUUCUCAAAAUAACCUCUAUUUAAUUAAAAAAUAUAAUUAUUGUUAAAUGAAUUAUAAUUAUAAUUAUUAUUUUAUUAUAAUCAUAAAUAUUUUUUUAAUAGAUUAUUGUUAUUAUUAAUAACAAGAAUAAAAAGCAUUAUAAUUAAUCUAUUAACAAUAAUUAAUAAUAUUUUUUUAUUAAAUUGUUAAUAAUAAUAAUCAAUGAUAAUUAAUAUAUUUAUGAUUAUAAUAAAAUAUGAAAGGAGAGCGGAGACUUUUAUUUUGAAUAAACUAGUUCCGAUUAACAUAUUUAUGAUUAUAAUAAUAUUUUUUGAGUUGUUUGGGCAAGGGGGUCUCAUGCGUGUGUGGACUUUUAGGCUGCCAGGAGAGCGGAGGCUGGAAAAAUACCUUGCGUUUAGAUAGUGACUUGUGUGUGAGUAAUAACAAUUUUUAUUAUAAAAAUAAGUUUUAUACCAAAUAUUAAAAAAAAUCUAGAUAAUCAUUAAUUAUUAUUAUUAUUAACAAUUUAAUAAAAAAUAUUAUUAAUUAUUGUUAAUAGAUUAAUUAAUUAUAAUGCUUUUUAUUCUUGUUAUUAAUAAUAACAAUAAUCUAUUAAAAAAUAUUUAUGAUUAUAAUAAAAUAAUAAUUAUAAUUAUAAUUCAUUUAACAAUAAUUAUAUUUUUUUAAUUAAAUAGAGGUUAUUUUGAGAAUUUAAUAUUAUAGGGGCGAAUUCAUACUCUAGGGUUUUAAUAAAAUAAAAUUGAGUGUAUAAGGGGUUAAACGAAAUUGUACAUUUCAAAAAAUUUAUAAUAUUUAUGAAUAAAAUAUAAAUAACAGAAAGUAUAAGGGGCUGGAUGAAAUUUCACAGGCUGAGUGUAUGUUACACUACAUGUAACGUAGGCGGACCCCCAUUUCUCUCAUCUCUAGGGAGGUCAUUUAUUGUUCCCGUGUACGUCAUUUUCUGUUUCGAUAAAUAUUAAAUUAUAAUACUCUUUCUUGAUCAUUGGGGAGCACUCAUUGCAGAGCAUGGCCUUCUUUUGUUCCCUUUUGUUUUGUUUUUGUUUUUUAGUCAUCUAAGUUAUGGGACAUGGCUUGUGGACUCAGCUUUUAAAAACUUUCCCUAGGUAAGUAGUUGAAUCUAGGGGAGGUACUUUUUAGUCAUAACGAGAUUACACGAUAUAAAAUGAGAUAUAGAGGUGGAUUCACCUCAUGAUUAGUGGGACAGAGAGAAUAGUUAAAAAAAAUUAUUUGAGUUAUUAAUUAAUUCUGUUGAAUAUAUUAAAAUAGGCAAGUUAAAUUUAUAAAAAUAGUCUCAUAAAUUUAAAAUUUAUAAAAUUUUAACUUUGAGAAUUACAAAAACCAUACUUUAAUUAAAAAAUAAAAGGCUAUGAGGUAACCCAUAUAGGUGGUUUUACUAUUAUUUAAUUUAGUUUCCAUUAAAUCUAUAAAAAUAAUUUAUUUAAACUCAUCAACCUAUAAAAUUUGAGUUUUCGCGUCGUGUCGUUAUAUAAUUUAACCAUCAAUAAAUUAUUUUUCUGAAUCCACCACUGAUAACAUAAAUAUAAAAAAAUUAAGUGCUCGAUUUACCUCACGCAAAUAUGACAUAAUAUUUUCGUUAAGUGUCAGAAAAAACUUAAAAAUGGUAGCCAAUUAAAUAAACUAUGACCAUUGACAAAAAAUUAAUGAAAUUGUAACAGAUAUACAAAAAGAUUUUAAAAUCCUUUUGCCCUUAAGUUGAUAUAAGAUGAGUCGUUAAUAAUUGCACGUGCAAACAUCGUAUAUUCUUUAUAAUUAAUUGUGCAGAUUUUGAUGACCAAUGCACCAAAACCACAUGGUAAAAAUCUCCUUAAUGUUUCUGUUUUGUGAAAGUUGCUGAAUCAAUGUCAUGACGCUAAUUUUCAAAGCAUGAAAAUAGAAUGAAAUUAAAGAAACCAUAGUGAUGUAUCUUGUUUGCAUACUGGAAUGUGAAAAAACUUGUUUUCAUUUCUUAAAAUAAAACAUUAUACACUGAGAGUUAUUUAUAGAUGCAGAGACUACAUUUUGUCAAAGUUUACAUAUGUGAAUACGGAAGGAAAUGUGUCAAUCCGUUCGGCGCGGAUCUUGUCUUUGACAAGUGCAGAUUAUCCCUUUGACAAGUGCGGAUUAUGUCUUUGAAAACUUCAUUCAAUGCCGUUUUAUUUGAUUCUCAACACUCCCCCUCAAGCUGGUGCAUAGAUGUCUUGCAUACCCAGCUUGUCUAGGAAUUUUGUAAAUGCCCUGCUUGAAAUGGCCUUCGUUAAAAUAUCUACAAGUUGAUCUUCUGAUCGAAUUUUCAGCAGUUCUAAGAUUUUUUCAUCUAAUUUCUCCUUGAUGAAAAAUCUAUCUAUCUCGACAUGUUUUGUUCGAUCGUGUUGAACUGGGUUAUGAGCAAUAUCUCGUGCAGCUUUGUUGUCACAGUAUAGUUGUAUUGGUUGUUGUGAUGGAUAGCCCAAAUCGUUUAAGAUAAAGCUUAUCCAUAGCCCUUCACAUACCCCAAGGGCCAUGCCUCGAUAUUCUGUUUCAGCGCUCGAACGGGCAACGACAUGUUGUUUCUUGCUUCUCCAUGUGACAAGGUUGCCUCCCACAAAGGUAAAGUGUCCUGAAGUAGAGCGUCUAUCACUAACUGACCCGACCCAAUCUGCAUCAGUAUAAACUUCUAUGUUGCUGUAAUCUUCAUUUUUGGAAAAUAGGAUUCUUUUUCCUGGAUUUGUCUUCAGGUACCUCAGGAUCCGCAUUACUGCUUUAAUGUGUUGUUCUCCGGGAUUAUGCAUAAACUGACUUACAACACUCAAUGCAUAAGCAAGAUCUGGCCUUGUGUGCGACAAGUACAUCAAUCUUCCAAUCAGUCUUUGAUAUCUUCCUUUGUCUACUGGAACUUGGUCUGAGGUAAUACAAAACUUCAGUCCUUCUUCUAUUGGGGUGUCAAUAGGCUAACAAGCUGUCAUUCCCGUUUCGUGCAAUAGAUUUAAGGCAUAUUUCCUUUGAGACAGAAAGAUUCCUCCCUUAGAUCAAGAAACCUCAAUUCCAUGAAAGUAUUUUAAGGCUCAUAAAUCCUUCAUCUCAAACUCUCUUGACAAGUACUUCUGAAGAGCCUAUCUUUCUUCCUCGUCAUUGCCUGUAACUACCAUAUCAUCCACAUAGACAAUAAGGACAGUGAUUUUACCUUGUCGUUUUUUAAUGAACAAAGUAUGAUCUGAACUGCUUUGGUUAUACCCAAAAAGAACCAUAGCCUUUGUGAAUUUCCCGAACCAUGCUCUUGGGGAUUGCUUCAACCCGUGUAAUGAUUUCUUCAAUUUGCAUCCUUUCUGAUUGAGUCGUUCUAGUCCACUGCAUCCUAGUGGCAGAUCCAUAUAAAUUUCUUCAGAUAGGUUUCCAUAGAGGAAAGCAUUCUUUACAUCAAACUGUUGCACUGGCCAAUCCAAGUUGACUGCUAAUGAUAAUAAGAUAUGAAUAGUAUUAAUUUUUGCUACCGGUGCAAACGUAUCGGAAUAAUCUAUUCCGUAGGUUUGAGUGUAACCCUUAGCUACGAGUCUUGCUUUGUAUCGUUCAAUAGAGCCAUAUGCUUUGUACUUUAUAGUAUAGAUCCAUCGGCAACCCACUGGUUUCUUUCUUGGUGGAGAUCAACUAGUUCCCAUGUUGGAUUUUUCUGAAGAGAUCUCAUUUCAUCAUUCAUAGAUGCUUUCCACUUUGGGUCUUUUAAGGCUUCUUGCACACUGUUAGGAAUAGAUACAGUAGAUAAUUGAUUCACAAAUGACUGAUUUGAUUCUGACAAGCGAUGGUUAGACACAAAAUGACUCAUAGGGUAUUUGACUCUGCUAGAGAAGUCAAGCUCAUAUGUGGUUUUAGGGAUACCUCUAUUUUGACGCUGGGGAAGAAUUCUUCUGAUUGGACUUGUGGUAGGAACAUCCUCUGCAGACGAUUAGUUAGGUAUUUCUUCAUGUGACUCAUUCUCGAUUGCAGUUGUGUCUGAGUUAUUGUGCUCCCCAAAUGUGUCUUCACUUAUCUCAGCCUGAGAAUCAUCACCAUUAUCUUUUCCAGUAUCUUGAAGGUUUACUAUCUCAAUGGAAAAUUGACCUUCUUCAAGUGGAAGAUGUGUAAGAGUAUGAAUUUCCUCUUCAUUAUACUCCCCCUGAAAUUCAGGCUCUGACAAGUAGUACAUGAUAUCUUCAUGAAAGACGACAUCUAUGGUGAUGUAUAUUUUUCUUGAUGGUGGAUGAUAGCAUCGGUAUCCCUUUUGAUAUAAGGCAUACCCUACAAACACACAACGUAGUGCUCGAGGAGAUAAUUUGUCUUGUUGUGACAAAUGAACAAAGGCAACACAGCCAAACACAUGUGGGGGUAAAUUCGGCAAUAAGAUAGUGGCAUGUGGGCUUGGAAAGGAGUCUGGAAUCCAAGAGAGCUUGAAGGUGUUCGAUUGAUCAAGUAUGUUGCGGAUGCCAGUGCUUCUCCCCAAUAAGAUAGUGGCAUGUGGGCUUGGAUUAGUGAUGCUCGAACAACUUCUAGUAAAUGUCUGUUUUUUCGUUCAGCAACGCCAUUUUGUUGGGGUGUCCCCACACAAGUGGUUUGAUGGACAGGUCCUUGUGAUUUCAGAAACUGUUGAAUUGUUGUGCUCAUAUACUCGUCUCCAUUAUCAGUAUGUAGAACUCGAAUUUGUGUCUGAAAUUGAGUCGUCACCAUCUUAUGAAAUCUUUGAAAUAAAGAGUUUACUUCGUCUUUUAAUUUCAUCAUAAAAAUCCAUGUCAUUCUGCUACAAUCAUCAAUAAAUGUAACAAACCAACGAGCACCUCCAAUUGUAGAAACUUUAGAUGGCCCCCAUACAUCAGAAUGUACUACCAUGAAAGGAACUGGAUUUUUAUUUAAGGAAAAUGAAAAAGUAGUUCGAUGGUUUUUUGAAAGUUCACAAACAUCACAUUUAAAGUUACAAAUAUCAAAUUUCAGAAACAAACUAGGAAAUAAUUUUUUUAAGUAACCAAAUGACAUAUGCCCUAAACGUUUAUGCCAUAACCAAAUUUCUGAUUUCCCUUUUUUUAUGGAACUAUCUGCGACUAGUACGGGGAUUAGCUUUCCAGUGUUUGUUGAUGACAUCUCCAAGUAGUACAAGUUGCCUCGUCUAAUACCAUAACCAAUCGUUUGCUUCAUUUGAAUGUCCUUAAACACACAAUGAUCAGGCCAAAAACUUACAACACAUGAUAAGUAAGUUGUUAAUUGAGACACAGAUAAAAGAUUAUAAUCUAAAGAUGGAACAAUUAACACAGAGUCUAAAUUUAAUUCAUCUGUGAGUCGUAAAGAUCCUUCCCCAAUAACUAAGGUUGUGGUUCCAUUUGCAGUGGAAAUAUGUUUUUGUGAAGAUGGUUUCAAUUGAGAAACUUGUUGAGAAUCAAAAGUCAUAUGAUCAGUUGCCCCAGAAUCAAUUAUCCAUGUACUAUUAAUAACAGGUGUAAGAGUUUUAAGGGCCUUACCUGGACUGACAGAGGUUGCGAUUUGCACUGAAGAUUCUUUUCUAAGAUCUGUAGUGGAUGUGGAUUCAGCUACUGCAGUUUUUUAUCCCUGCUUGGUGUUCUUCUUUCGAGUAUCCCACCAGUCAGGAUAUCCAAUGAUUUCAAAAUAUUGUUCUUUCGUAUGACCCUUCUUUCUACAAUGAGUUCAAUGGAGUGAUGACUUGUCAACAAGCUUCCUUUAAGGCUGCUGUCGUGCUAUCAUAGCAGACGUUUCUGAGUCGACCUUCUUAUUUAGUUUGCUUUGCCGUACAUCUUCUCUUCAGAUAAGAGAAUAACAUUCUUCUAAGUCUGGGAUAAUAUCUUUUCGUAGAAUUUCUCCACGAACUUGGUCAAAUUCUUCAUCUAGCCCAGCAAGAAAAAUGUGCACUCUCAAUCUUUCAACAGACCUUCUGUAUAUUACAACAUCUUCUGGAUCCUUCAUGACCACUUUAUCUCGGUGAUCAAGUUCUCGAAAUAUUUCAAUCAAUUCUCCGUAGAAUUUAGAGAGUGGUUGUCCAUUUUGCUUGAUUGAGAAUGCCUUCUGAUUUAGAGUGAAAACUUGUAAUUCAUCGCUUCCAUCAUAGAAGGCUUUUGAUAAUGCAUCCCAAAUUUCGUAGGCUGUAGGAAUUCGUAAAUAUCGCUUCAUGAUCUCCGGAGACAUGGAUAUGAGUAACCAUCUUUUCACUUUUUGGUUCUCACUAUACCAUUUCUCAUAUUCCUUUGAAGAUUCCUCAGAUGGCUUUGUGUAGCUACAAAUAUAUGAGAGUUUUUCUCUUUCUGCAAGAUGCAUCUCCAUUAUUUGAGACCAAACAUCGUAGUUUGUCUCAAUGAGGAUAAUUCCAGCAUUAAAUACUCCAUCAGAUUGAACAGAUUGAAUGACAACAGGAGCAGAUUCAGUUGGAGUUUUCUCCAUUUUUUUGUUUUUUUCUUUUCUUUUUUUUUUUGUUUUUUGUUUUUUAUUUUUUUAUUUUUUUAUUUUUUUUUUUUUGCGUCUAGAUUGAAAGAAGAAAAAAAAUAACCUUUUUAGAUCAAAAAACGACAAGUUGUUUGGCCUCUGCUUGACGAAACGAUAUGUCGGCUCUGAUGGAAUAGAAACGACAUGUCGUUUUAGGACUGCUGCACUCUGGAGAUAAAAAACGACAUGUCGGUUGAAGUCUUCUUCAACCUCUGGAGCGCGUGAGAGCGCGUAAAGAUGACAGAGGCGCGUGGUUGAUUGGCCGUGGUUUCGGGUGGCGCGUGGAAGCGCGUGGGUAUGUGUUUAAAUGCGAAAUUUUUACAGUUUACUUACUGGAAACUGAGAAAUUUGAUGGUAUUCUUGGUUUUUGAGGAACACACUCUUGGAAAAUUGAUAGGAUUGUUGAUAAAUUUGUAAACUCAAGUUUUUUACGUAUGGGUGGCUUGUUUUUUGAUCGGCAUGGAUUUCGGAAAUGGUAGGAAUGGUUGUAAGGAAGAAAAUUGUGGGAAAAUGGUUGUGGGAAGAAUUUGGUUUCCUCUGUUUUUGUUACAAAUAGAGCAGUGAAACUGGAAGAAACUUGAGCGUAUUCAUGGCUCUGAUACCAUGAAGAAACUUGUUUUCAUUUCUUAAAAUAAAACAUUAUACACUGAGAGUUAUUUAUAGAUGCAGAAACUACAUUUUUUCAAAGUUUACAUAUGUGAAUACGGAAGGAAAUGUGUCAAUCCAUUCGGCGCGGAUCUUGUCUUUGACAAGUGCAGAUUAUCCCUUUGACAAGUACGGAUUAUGUCUUUGAAAACUUCAUUCAAUGACGUUUUAUUUGAUUCUCAACAUAAUGAAAUGUUGAUAUCGGCAAAUCUAGGAUGUAAACUAAGGUUCACAUAAAAAAAAAAAAACUAAUAAUAAUAAUAAUAUUAUUAUUUUAAUCCAUGAAUAGAAAAAGGUUGUAUGCUCAUCAACCCAUUGCAAACUUUUGGCUUAAGAUUAAUAUGAGUAAUACAACACAGCUAUAUCAUAUCCCUAAACUUGAAAAUUAUUUAAAAAGGACCAUGUCUUGAUGAGGAUGAUAAAAUUAGCAAGGUUUCUAUUUUAUAAGUGUCUUCAACAACAGCUCAAAAACUUGCCUCCUCGGUUGUUGGUCGCCUCAAGAAAUAUCGCAAACUGUUAGCAAGAACCUGCAAAUUUGAUCAAGCAAAGUCUAAUCAGUACAUCAACGAUCGUGCAAGUCUUCAGGCGCACCGUGUGAUCAUUAGCACGUUAAUGUUCUUACCGCCCACUUCAAAGUUUAAAUUCAAAUCUUUUAUAUAAGAACAGUUUUGCAACUAGAAUACCGAUUUUGAGUAGAAAUGGUAAGUCUCUUUAUUCUUCAGAGCAAACAAUCUAUAAAGCAAUUUCCGAUGUCCUAUAUGUAGGCCUGUUUUUUUUACCUGUUGGAGAGGCUUGAUAAUGGCUUCACCCUUGUAGCUGACAUGAAACUUUGCCUUAGCCAACAACCCCUGGGUGCGAAAACAAAAAUUAGAACAAAAUAUAUUAAUAAGGGAAGGCCACUCUUUUGUCAAUAUAUAUAUAUUAAUAAGGGAAGUGGGACGUUAUCCUUCCCAUAAUAACUCAUAUACAUAGUUUUUAACAUUCAUGACAACAUGAUAUUAAUUUCAAUGGCAGGCAAAUUGAAUAUAAUGUCUUUAAAGAAAAUGAGGAUAAAAGGGAAGUAAUAUUUGGCCUAAGAGAACUCUAAAAACAACUUAGUUUCCUAUUCAAAUGAUCCACUAGUGAGAAGAGCCAAAAAUAUCAAUAAUCUGAAAAAUCAAAAUAAGACCAGAAAGCAAAAACCUGUUGUUUUGGAGGAUCAACGCCAAAGGCAACACCCAUUGCCAACUGGGAACUUCAUUCCUGAUUCCAUCACCAACACAAAUGGAAUAAACUUUUCAAUAAGAGAAUACCUACAGGUGCUCCACCAAGUGAUAUCUCAAGAGAGACAAAAAAAUGAUUACCGGGUGAUACUGAAGUAGAUUGUUUAUAACUGUCAAACGAAUUGCCUCAAGCACCUCAGGAUCAUCAACUUUCCUACCAGUAUCACUGCACACAAGCAUCAUGACCAAAUUAAUCAAAACCACAGUGGGAAUCUAUUGCAAGAACUUCUCCAAAAAACAGCGAUGGCUCUUUGGAUCAUUGAUUUUAGGUUCUAGUAUGUCUAAAAUUUUAACGAUUUCAACAUUAGUUAUAAACAUCUAUUUGCAACAGACUGAUCACACUUGUAUAUGGAGCAUCAAAAGUAGGUAUUUACUAUGCUCAUCAAAUAUAGACCAGAAGACGUUGACAACAAUUAAAGGAUAUUAGUGAAUGAAACUGCAAGCAGAGAAUAUAAAUCAGCUCAGUAAUGCAAGGGCAUGAAAAGCAAAAUGCAUAUGCAUCACAAAAUUACAGAGAUAUAUAAUUUCGCAGUCAUAUGAUGAUAUUGCAGCGGUGAAGCCGUGCGUGAGGUUAAGGCAAGUGAUGGAAUGACUUGCGUUACAAAAGAGGUAUGUGAAGUUGCACUAUAAAAAUAAAAUAAAUUUGUAUUUUCAAGUAGUGAGGUUAACGUGGCUUGUUUUUGCUCAAAACCUUAAGGAGCUAUAUAUAAAGUUUUGUAAUGAUGUGGAAGAAAUAAUUAGUGUUGAUAAAUUGAGUGAUAUUUCAGAUAUAAUCGGGUCAGAGCAUAACUUUUUCUCACAACUCGAAUAUCUAUUCAUAAGGUGGGGACCAAAUUUAAAGAGCGUUUACCCGAAUCCCCUGCCCUUUCCAAAGCUGAAGAAAAUUGAAGUACGUGGAUGCCCACAGCUGAAGAAGCUCCCACUCAAUUCCAGCAGCGCGAAGGAACGUCGAGUUGUCAUCGAGGGAGAGAAAAAAUGGUAGGAAGAGCUACAAUGGGAGGAUCAAGCCACCCAAAAUGCUUUCUCUUCCGGUGCCGUAAUUAAUGAGGGUCCUUUUCAUUAAUAUGUUUGAAUAUGUAUUUCUUUUUUUUUUUAAUUUUCAUUAGAUUUAAUUGCAUCUUGUUCUUGUUGUCUGGUGUGUCAAUCGUUCCCUAUUUUCAGUUAAUAAAAUUUCAGCAGUGGAUUCUUGGUUUAUUAAUGUUUAUAUAACUGAAUUGUUCAGCAGAUGUACUCUGCAUAUGUACUCUGCACAACUAACACAGAAAUAAACACAGAAAUAAAUAUAUGUAAGUGGGUACAGGACUGACUCUGCUUCUGGCUGCGAAUUGCAAAUAAAAGAAGCCGAUAUAUUAAACCCAACUGACAUUAUUAUUGCAAAUAAGAGAAGUUAAUACAUUGUCUACCCACUCUGCAGACUGUCAACAAAUGUUCAACCACCACAAAUGAAAAAAUGGAACUUGAUUUUUGUCUAACCAAAUACAAGCCAAACAGGAUUUUGCGCAGAUAUUCUACCAGCAAAUUCUAAAUCCUCUUUGACAUAAUCCAUCUUAGAAUAAUUGCUCCUUACUUCAUCUCUGAAACCAAACUCUUAGCUCUUGCUUUUCUAAUAGGUUGCAGGCCGUUUUAGUAGACACCCCAUGAAAGGAUCGGCUAGAGUGUAAACAAGCAUUGCCCCUUCCUUGGUUGCUUGCUUUACUAUCUCCAUCAACUGCUCAACAUCAUUAAAUUAACAAAAUUGUUGCAAUUACAAUAUGUCAGUGCUCACAUUUUAGCUGAUUAAAUUAAAUGAGGUUUCAACAUUAAGCAAAACAAUCCAGAUUAUAAUAAUAAAGCAUUUCCUCUAGUACACCAACAACAAUUAUUGUUUUCUGUGAUCAAAUCACAUACAGAAAAUAACUAAAUUGACAAGAGUUGAACUGAAGAGUCAGCUUUCCAAUUUUCUACUUCUACAAUUUUAUUCGGAAUAAAGAAAAACAGCCUAAUAUAGAAGGGAAAGAAAUAAAAAGUUCAGCAUGGUCAAAUGGGUCAAUUUUCAUCCUCCCUUUACUGCUCCACUUUGCUCAAUCAAGUGGAUUUACAUUCAAUUCUUGAGGAUUUGAAUUAAAAAAACAAAAAAAAAAAAGCAACAGUUUAUAUUCAUCUAUAAGCGGGCUAUGUAAAGAUCAAGGUCUGUGUCUGUAAAACUUAAGUCUUCCGGCUUCAAAGGAGAAUGAGGCAAAAGCUGAACAUUUGUGGAGUGAUAUAAAAAAUUUGUGGUUCUGGAUCCAUUUCACAUUAGGCAUUGUAAUGUUUAUGGAUGGUAUACAGGAUGUCACGAAUAGUUAAACGAAGAAGGUAUUUGAUUGAAAUGCGCAGAUGUUCGAUGAAAUGUAUCUGCGUUUCAGCCUCAGCGGAAAUUGUUGUGAGUGUGUGAUGGGUAUUUCAAAAUAUUGAAUCCAAGACAAUUGAAUUUGAAUUAAAUUGAAGGAGUUUAAAUUUAAUUAACUAAAGUUAAUUGACUCAUUUUUAAUAAUGUUAAAAUUUGGUUAGAGGAAGUUAUGGUAGUUAAGAAAAUAAAAUUAAAAGAAGUUGAAGUGGAUUAAAGAGAGAUAAAUUAAAUGGAGGCUAUUCAAAGAUGUAUUUGGAACAGACACCGUUAAUUUAUAAAUAGUAGCCUACAUAUUAUUAUUCGAUAUUGAUUUUUUCUCUACCACUUCUUCAACUCUACUUCUUCCAUAUUCCAAAUACUAACACAUAAAUCAUCAUAUUUUAUAUUUAAUUAUUUGUUAUUCCAAAUUGUUGUAUUGAGUGUGCACUAAUACAAAAAUUACAGUUGUAUCCUAGGAACUAUCUAUCAACAAUCUAUUUGUACCAAAAUAUUAUUUUGAGAGGCAAAAACAGUCUCAAAAACAGCGUAUACCACAUCUUAACUCUUACUUAUUUUAUUCAUAACCAUAUCAUAUUUUUUUGCAAUAUCUUAUUUAUUAUCUUAAAUUUUUACAACUAUCUUAAGAUUAGUUCUUAUGGAUGUUGUAACUAAUGCUGCAAUGAUGGCUGUCGCUAAAGCUCUACUUGACACACAAAAACUGAACGUUUGAUAGGAAUUUUCUAAGGCAAUGGCAUGAUCAUAUCUAUGGCACAUUGGAUGUAAUGAAUUAUGCUUAAUUUCUAUAGAGCCUCCACCAGAUUCUGAAUCUAAAAAUUAUGAGGUAUCAUAUCAAAAUUAGACUAAAGCAAAUAAGAUAUGCUGAAGUACCAUUCUGAACACUGUUUCAAAUGAGUUAUAUGAUGUUUGUUCACAACACAAGUUUGUGUAUGAAAUUUGGACUUAAUUGCAUAAAAAUAUAUCAUAGAAGAUGCUGGAGCCCAAAAAUAUUUAAUUGCUAAUUUUUUAGAUUUUAAGAUGAUAGAAGAUAAGGAAGUGACUUCUCAAAUUCAUGGAUUCCACAUGCUUAUUAAUGAUUCGAAAAAUGAAAAUAUAAAUCUUCCUGAGUUUUUUGUGGUUGGUUACCACAUUGAAAAAUUGGCUGACUCAUGGAAGGAUUAUUAGAAAAUAACAAAGAAAAUAAUAAGCACAAAAUGAAAGCAUAAGAAUUUGGAGGAUGCUAUUGUUCAAAUCCGAAUUGAAGAAAAACAUAGACAAAUGGAUCAAUUGGAGAAAGCCAAGGAAAUUACUUUUAAGGCUAAUUUGAUUGAGAAUGAGGCUCAUCCAAGCAAGAAUCAAAACCCUAACAACAACAAGCUUUUCAAAAAUAAAAAGAUCACAUUAAAAAAAAAAAAAGGCAAUUGUUAUGUUUGUGGCAAACCUGGAUAUUUUGCUAUCAAAUGCAAGUAUAGAAAAAGAGAUCACAAGCCUCUUAAGGCCAAUUUGGUCAAUAAAGAAGAAAUUAUUGCUGUUGUGGUGGUCACUCAAGCGAACUGCUACCGAGGGAAAAAAAAUGGCGACAAAUUCUACUGCUACCAAACACAUUAGUAGUGAUAGAAAUUCUUUCUUUAAGUAUGUUCAAGAGAGCGAUUUGGAAGAAAAAGUGCAUUUUGGUGACUUCCACUCGAUUCCAAUCAUAGGAAAAGGUAAAAUUCUUCUCAAAUUGACUUCCGGAAAAAUCUUCUCAAUGAAAAAUGUACUUAAUAUUCCUAAUAUUAGAUAUAAUUUAAUUUCCUAUUUCUACUUGGGAAGGGUUGGUGUAAAAGUCUCCUUUGAAUGAGAUAAAAUUGUAAUGACUAAAAAUGGGCUCUUUGUUGGGAAAGGAUAUGUCUAUGGAAAUUUGUUCAAGAUUAAUGUACUUGACACAAUUAUUAAUAAUCGAGUCUCUACUUCUCCUUAUAUUUUCUUACUCUGUUGAUUUACGGCAUGCUAGAUUAGGCCAUGUGAAUUUUUCUUGAAGAAAAUGAAAGGUAUUGGCUUACUGUCUGGUUAAUGUAUCAAAGAUUGAAAAAUGUUGUGUACGUGUGGAGCCUAAGUCUGUAAAAAGGACAUGUAAACAAAUUCUUAUGAGAGAAACUAAAAUAUUCAGUUUAAUUUACAGUCACCUUGGAGAUUUAAAACAACCAUGACUAUAGGAGGUAAAAGAUUUUAUGUAACCUUGAUUAAUGAUUUUUCAAUAUAUACUAAGUUGUAUUUACUAAGAAAUAAAGAUGAGGCGGGUGAAAAUUUCUCAAUUUAUGAAAAUGAAGUUGAAAAUCAACUUGGGAAAAGAAUUAAAAAAAUUAAGAACUGAUAGAGAAGGGGAGUAUGCGUCUAAUAUGUUUUUGCCCUUUGUGAGGAUCAUGGCAUUAUUCAUGAAAUGACACCUCCUUAUUCACCUGAAUCGGAUGGGGUUGCUAAGAGGAAAAAUAGAACCCCAAAAGAAAUGAUAAAUGCGAUGCUUGUAAGUUCUAGGGUCCCUUUGAAAUUAUGGGGGGAAGCUAUCCUUGAUUUACAUCAGAUGGAUAUGAAGAUAACGUUUCUCAAUGGUGACAUUGAUGAGACUAUCUAUAUGGUGCAGCCUGAAAACUUUGUAUCAGGAGACCCAAAUAAUAUGGUUUGCAAACUUAAUCAAUCUAUCUUUGGACUCAAGCAAGCAUCUCGACAAUGGUAUUUCAAGUUUCAUCAAGUGAUCAUCUCAUUCAAUUUUGAGAUGAAUUUGGUCGAUGAUUGCAUAUACUAUAGGUUCUGUUGGGGCAAGUAUAUUUUUUCGGUUUCGUAUGUCGAUGAAAUAUAAAUCCAUCUUGUUAGCAAUGAUAUAUGCUUAUUACACAAUACCAAGAAAUUUCUAGCUAAUAAGAUGAAACAGCUAUAUCAAAAAAUAUUCUCAAGAGAUAUGGCUUACAAGAUUGCAAGAAAUUUAGUUUUUAUGGAAGAUUGUGAAUUUAGAUGCUUUUAUGAUAUAGACAUUUUUCAGUUAUUUCAGUUUAUGGAUAUUUAAAGUUAUUUUCUACAAAAUUAAAUGUUUUGAUUAUUCACACUCUGAUUUUAAUAUGGUUUGAUCUUACUAACGUUUAAAGUGAACCAGUUAGAAAUAGGCAUAUUAAGAUCACAAUGUAUGAAAUUUCCAUGCUAUACAUCCAUAUCAUGAUCCAUGUCAUUGGCAUAGUGACCAUUGAUGAGUCGAGUUAUGAAAGUUGUUAUAAAGGCCGCUUUGAUCUUAUGUUGAUAUGAUUAAUGAACCGGAUUAGUUAUGGAUGCAUUUAAGUAAUGAUAGUAAAGUUCAACUUAUACAAUUAUUUUUGCAAAGAAUAAUUAUAAGGUUACACAAUUAACCCAAGUAGCAUAUUGUUGGAUCUUGAAUCCAGUAUUAUUGGAUCCUUAAUCUAACAUUGGGCUCAUAUGUGAAUAAGUAUGAGUUGCAGAUUGUCAUAUAUGAUUAAAUCCAAUGAAAAGUAAUCUAAAAUUUUUUUCAGUGAUUUGAACUUUGAUGUAUCAAAUUGGGUGUGAGCCUUUAAUAAGAACAAUUUCUAUUUGUAAGAUGGGUUAAAAUAGAAAUACCUAAAUAUAACAAAAAAGUGUCUAUAUAAGUAGUUACAGUCCCAAGGCACUACUAGAAAAAUGGUCUUUACUGAUACUUGUGUUCUGACACUUUGUUUAAAAGUAUCAGUAUAUACAUAUAUUUGGAUCAUUUUUCACGUUUAACAGAUAUGUAUCAUUAAUUACUAAUACUGAAGUAUCAAUAGUUUUAGUAAUAACGAUCAAUGACGCUUAGGUAUCAGCAAUUAAAAAUUAUCAUUUUAAUUUUGUUUUAGUCCAAAUUCGAACCCAAGACCUCUUAAACCUAGAGCUUUUACAUUGAAUCAAAAGACCACUAGGCUACAAAUUAUUUUUAAUUUUUUUAGAGUUGUGCUUUUUAAGUGGAUAAAAACAAAACAAAUGGACAAGUCUUAUCUUAUCCAAAAUACAACUUUUCAACUCCCUUUACCAAAGUAUUCGUUCCCUUCUAAGCUCCCCAGAUCUGAAAAAUCCCUAACAUCCAAAUUGUCAAAAAGUGCUCAGCCAUGAUCCUAUCAAACUAGUGGCACAGAUUCACCAUUUGCCUUCAAAAUCCUAACUUAUUGUUUCUUUUCUUAUUUUAUGAUUUCGGGUCUCUCUUGUUGUCAUUAGAUCUUGAGUUUUUUUUUGUUUUAAUUGUUUUUUUAGGUUUAAAUAAGUGAUUUGGAGAAGAGCUUCUAUGUUUCUUUGGCUACUUGGAAGAAACUAGAAGGUAUUAUUUCUUUGGCUACUUGGAAGAAACAAGAAGGUAAAGAUUUAGCUUUUAUUGUGUUUUUUUCUCUACUACUUUCUUUUCUUUUAUUGGCACCAAAUAGCCUUCAUUAUAUCUACUUUGGAAAAUAUUGUGUUUAGGGUGAUCGUCACUGUAAGGUUAACUUUAUUUCGCUGAUGAACGACAAUAAACAUUUUUUACAGUAAAACCCUAAAAUUUUCUAAUUUGGGAAUUCUUAAGAGCAGCAUGAUUAUGCUAAAAUUGAUGGUUUAUAUUGGUUCAUAGUAGUUCUAUGUUGAUAUAACUUAUUGCUUAUUAACUAUUUGUUCAUGUGUUAUUAGCUUUUUUUUUCAAAAGCAAUCUUUUCAUUUUUUUUGGCUGUUAUUUUUUAGUUUUGUUCAUAUCGAAUAGAUUUCAAUUUUUAUUUGCUAUAAAUAGUCUCAUUGGAUGAUUACUUAUUACAAACUAUCAAAUAGAUGCUUUUACAAAGGAAAAGUUUGAAGUAUGUGGCUUAGGUUGAGAAAUGAGGUGUCUUUAUCAUUUCUUUAAUGGAUUUGUUUACAGGGCAAAACAGAAUUUUGUUUCUUCAAUUCAUUACUAAGGCAAUAUUAGAUUUGUCUUAUUUAUAUUUAUGUUCAUAAUAAGGCAAUAUCUACUUUAAUUGUUUAAUUUUUCUUAUUUAUAUUUAUAUGACUGAUGGCCAAAAUCAUAAGACUUGUUUAUAAGUAAUGAUUUUGGAAUGAACUCUCAAAUUAUUGAAAUAUUUUGUCCAAAGUUUACCAUAUGUUUGAAAUAAUUAAAGUUAAAUGUGUAUGUUUCAGUUCUGGAAAUUUGGAAUGAAUUGGGUCUAUAACUAAUUUUUAAUCGAUUUUUCAAAAUGGUUGGUUGUUGUCCAAUCUUUCAUAAAUUACUCAUGUAUCAUGUUUGGUGGUGCAAAACGAUAGUCUAAACAUGUCUGAAUGAGCUGAAAUUCGGAGAAACUAAAGUUCUAUAUGAAUACUUCAAAUUUGAAAAAUUUUAUGUUGAUUGAACUUGCAAGUUAUUUUUAAUGAUUUUUUAAACUCUGCUGCUCUGCAGCAAGUUCUUUUGACAUAACUAUUUAUUAACUUUUGUUCUUACAAAACACGAGCAUAAUAAUAUCAGAAUAACCUCAAAUUUUAAUAUGUUGUUCAUUCAUAUGUGUUGUUAAAAACUGGAAAAUAUCAUUCCAAUGUAUUAAGUAUCUUAAAUUUUAUAAGAUUCAUGGCCAAAAUCAUAAGACUUGUUUAUAAGCAAUGAUUUUGGAAUGAACUCUCAAAUUAUUGAAAUAUUUUGUCCAAACUUUACCAUAUGUUUGAUAUAAUUAAAGUUAAAUGUGUAUGUUUCAGUUUUGGAAAUUUUGGAAUGAAUUGGGUCUAUAACUGAUUUUUAAUCGAUUUUUCAAAAUGGUUGGUUGUUGUCCAAUCUUUCAUAAAUUACUCAUGUAUCAUGUUUGGUGGUGCAAAACAAUAGUCUAAACAUGUUUGAAUGAGCUGAAAUUCGGCGAAACUAAAGUUCUAUAUGCUUACUUCAAAUCUGAAAAAUUUUAUAUUGAUUGAACUUGCAGGUUAUUUUUAAUGAUUUUUUAAACUUUGCUGCUCUGUAGCAAGUUCUUUUGACAUAACUAUUUAUUAACAUUUGAUCUUACAAAACACCAGCAUAAUAAUAUCAGAAUAACCUUAAAUUUUAAUAUGUUGUUCAUUCAUAUGUGUUGUUAAAAAUUGGAAAAUAUCAAUCCAAUGUAUUAAGUAUCUUAAAUUUUAUAAAUAUGUAUUUAAGUACCAAUUACUACUGUAGUUUUUCAUUGACAAUUUUGAAUUACACACAAAUCUACUUAAUUAUUUUUAGGAAUCUGGUUUUAUUAUUUAAUUGUCCCACAUACCUCUUGUUGUGCAAAUUUUAAUGAACUCGCAAGUGCACGAAUCUAUUGUAGUAUAGAUCAAUGGUGACGAGUGUCGAUCCCAUGAGGAGGUGGAUUUUAAUUAUAUGUAGAAUUAAUUUUGUAAAUGGGUGGUUGGAAUUGUGGUGGAAGUGAUUUAAAUUAUCCUAAAAUUGGAAUUGAAAUGGCGAUAAUCAAUUCUAAAAUUGGAAUUGCAAUGGCGAGAAUAAAUUGAAGCGAAAUCUAUUGAAAUGACGUACUUGGGUAUCUGGAUCCGUAUCAACAUGCACCAUGGGCUAAAUAUUCCUUAUUAAUACCAAUUAAAUCAUGAGGGGGGGAAUCCACACCUCAUGAACCACACUUUAAUCAAUAUGGUGCUAAGGGCUUAUCGUGCCAAAUAAUAAUAACCUUGUACUAGGGGGCCGGUGAAACUAAGGUGGUACUAGACAAGAUUAGUAUUAUUUGUCGACGAGAAGUUAAAACAUCCACAAAAAUUAGAGGGGAAGAGAAAAUAAAUUUACCAAAUAAAGCCCAUGACACAUGUUGAGACUUCACCUUCAACCCAAGCUUGAAAGAAAAUUAGCUACUCAUAAUUGAACUAGGGGCAAAAUGGAAAUUUAUUAAAAUACGAAGAAAAUACAAGAUGGAGAAGGAAUUACAAAAAAUGGAUUCAGAGAUAUCAAAUUAGGGGGGGGAGGCCCCCUUUUUAUAGAUACAUGGAGUAAAUCAUUGUCAUCGGAUUAAAAACAGUUUGGACGCUCAGGAUUGCGCCACAUCAUCAGUCAACAGUACGCGGUUUGACCACGUGGAUGAACAGUAACACGGUUUGACCCGAGUUGAACAGUAACGCAGUUUGGUUGAAAAUAAUCCUGUGUGAUGCGUGUACCGUACGCGAGAUUUUUCGUCCACUGAUAUGCUGCCACGUCACCAUCAACAGUACAUAAGAAUUUUAGUCCAACAGGAUCAUGACACCUCAUCAGUCAAUGCCACAUCAUCGGUCAAUGCCACGUCAUCGAUCCGUCUAUGUGAACAGUGUCGUGAACAGUAACAUAUACAAUACCGUACAUGUGAAUAGUGUCAUUUUUCCUUUUAUACUCCUCCUAAGGUUUUCAACCAUCUUGAGUUCAAAAGUGAUGUCUGUUUUGCCGUCUGAUCUCUCCUUUAUUGUGAAAUGACUAUAAUGCCCCUAAAAUACAUAAAAUACUUAAUUAAAAUAAAACACAUGUAAUUAAAUCACAAGAAGGUUAAAUACAUAAAAGUAAAGGUUGUUAGUAAUACUUAAAAUGUAAAAUGACGGGUUUCUCCUUUAUAAAUAUGCAUUUUCUAACACUCAACACACCCCCCAACCAACUUAUUGCUAGUCCCUAGCAAAUAAAGUGAAAACAAAAUUCAAAUUCAAAAUAAUUUUUUUUUUAAUAGAAACACUCGUAUUCCAUCAGAUUAAUGAUAACAAUCAAAUAAAAGUAUAAGCAUGAUCUCCAGUCUAAAGCAACAUCAUACCCACAUCAACCAUCCACAUGAAUCAGCCCAGUAGACUUUGUUAUAGCUACUUUUAAUAAUGACAUGUCAAACCCCAAAAUCUCACUGGAAGUAGUGACACUCUCACAAAGAAAUUAAAACCAAUAAAAAUAGUCACUCCAAUGAAUGGUAAUUGAGAGAGAAAAUAAUAAAGAAGUGAUAUCACAUGCUCUCACCAAGAUGAAAUAAAUAUGCCCUCAGCUUAGAAAUAAUACGAUCUCAAGUUAAAUAAAAAUGCUAGUCAACCCAAUUUAUUUAUCUUUUUAUUUAUUUAUUUAUUUUUAUUAUGCACCACUACAUCUUUUUAGCCCACAUAACUAGCUUCUACUUCAUAUUAUAAUUCCCUAAAAUUAGGAAGGACUUUUAUUAGGAUGUAACGUAGGCUAGGGACAUGGUUAACAAAGAAGGGAAAUAAGGAAAACAAAGUGUAUGUUUGAGAAAAAUGCAGAGGAAUUUUUUUUUUGCUUUUACUUGGCACAACGUCACUAAAUAAAAUAAUUAUUUACAUUUUCUCAAACAUAAAUAGGUGAUGGAACUUAUAAGACAUCGGGUAAUACUCCAAAUCGGAGUGGGUUAAGAUGAUAAGUUGACAAAGAAAAUGUCUUUUUUUUUUUUUAAAGGCUCAAAAGGGUUAACUAUGGAUAUUUAAUAAAAGGGAUGGCUAGAAAGGCUCAAACGGAUCAAAGAUGGCCUUUCCAUCGUCUUUUAGGGCUCUAAAUAAUCAUCCAUAUCUACUAGUUAGAUGGGCCUCCAAAUGUAGCAACACACAUUUUUUUUUUCUUUUUUUUUUAAUUUUACAAUUUUUUUUUUAAGGGUUAACUCAAAAGAAAUCUAGAGAUCGUGUAUACAAUAAUAAACUGCUAAGCUGUAUAGAGAAUGGGCAAAAUGGUUACUCUCCAAGAAAAUGAUAGGCUCAACAACUCACUUGGCACUUAUUUAUGACAUGUUCAUUCCUUCAACCAACUCAUAUAUAUCUCCGACAUCAACAUGUAAAAUAGCAAACAUAGCGUAACAUCACUUAAGACCAAAGAUAAUACAACUACUAAAAUUUAAAAUUAAUCAUGUCAUCCAAUGUUAAAACAAAUCACACAAAUUUUUUUUUUUUUUUAAACAACAUUCUACCCCCCAACCUAUUCUAAGCAUGAAAGGAAAAUAUGCAUGCAGAAAUGUGAAUAUAAUGCAGAAAAACUAAUUAGAAAAGUUACACUUAAAAUGAUAGAAAACGAAAAUAAUUUUUUUUUUUAACUUAGAAGAUGCGUUUCUAGAGGCACUACACUCCAUAUUCAGCCAUCUUCGACUCACAAGUUGGAAAAUGUAUAUUUAUGGAGGAGAAAUUAAAAAGAAGAAAAAUAAACAUAAAAACAUAAUAAAGAAAAAGAAAAUGUUUGAAUUUUUUUUUGUUUUUUAAUUUUUUUUAAACGAUGAAGAUGCGUUUCUAGAGUCACUACACUCCAUAUUCAGCCAUCUUCAACACAAAAAGUUAGCAACAAUUAGUUUCUACAACAAAAAAUUAGUAAAAACUUAACCAAAAUUCCACAAUUGUCGACUAUUCCCUCCCCCCAACCAGAAUGAAAUAUUGUCCUCAAUGUUUGAAAGGAAAGAAGUAGAGUUUAGAAGACAUCACCUAGGUGGUGCAACACAGAAAAUAAUAUUUACAAGCGGAGAGUUAAAUCUAAUUUGUACUUCUUACUGCGGCUACGGUUACCAUAAUUAUUUGGAUGCUCCAACACAAAAGUCCAGGGGUCUGGCUCCGGUCUAUAAACUUGUAACAUAUCAAGUAGCUCAUUAGCAGUGUGAGCACAAAUAAAGAGUUUUUUCGCAUUAGAGGGAAUGAAAUAGUUUUUUAUUGCAUGGUUAAGAAAUGCGAUAAAGCCAUCAUAAAAGUUAUUGACAUUUAACAAACCGAUAGGUUUCUGAUGGAUGUGCAUAUGGGCCCAAGAUGCUAGUGUGAUAAGUGCCUCUAGUGUUGCAAGAUCUCCUGGAAGGAAAAUAAAAGCAUCAGCAUGAUUAAGCAUUUAAGUUAUUCUUUCUUGCAUACCUGAGACGACUAACUCUUCUCCAGUUGAUGAGUCAGACGAACUGCCCAAUGGUUUUAGGGCUCUUGGGAUGAUGCCUAACACUUGGCUGCCUCUGACAAAAGCUGCUUCUGAGACCAUUUUUGAUAACCCUCGAUUACCUCCUCCAUACACCAAGUGUAAUUUUCUCGCUGCUAUGCUUCGACCAAGAUCGAUGGCUGCCUCAACGAACUCUUUAUGUUUGCCAUAGGUAAAUCCAGAAAGCACACAAAUGUUCUUGAAUUGUCUAUUUGGAGUAGCUGCCAUUGUGAUACUUCUCAAAAAACAAUUUGUGAGUGCUUGACAAAAAAAAAAUCACAUUUAAGAGUCUUGGUGACAGUGGGUCACAGUUGUGUAUGAGGUAACAUGUCAGUGUCAAAUAACGCGUAAAGCACGUGGCUCGCGAGUCAAAAAGGAAACAGUAAAAAGGAAAAAGCAAACAGUAAUAAAAUUAUUAAAGACAAUAAUACACACAAUAAAACAAUAGUGAAAUAAAAUAACAGUAAAGUGAAAGGAUAUUUACAGGUAGUUGCGACAGUGGCUCACAUCUUCCUCUGGUUUUACGUCCAGAAACGGCUUGAACGCCCUCUAUGGGUCGAUGAUAGGCUUCCUAUCCAGUUUUCUUAUAAACUGGCAAACAAUGUCGUUUAUAGUCAGAUUCCCGAGACUAUAUCGUGCAUGCUCUUUCUGGAAUAAUGGCCAUAACUGGAGAAUCGCUCCUUGCACAUAUCCAUUGGGAUGCGUUUCAAGAGACAAAAGGAUAUCAUCCAAUGACUCCUUAUUCAAGCCAUCCCUAAUGAAUUGAAUCUUAUCUUCCCUGUUAUCAGACACCAUUCCUAAAGAACAUUGGUUUUUUUGCAACUCAUUCUGGCACACUUAUGACAAGCAACAGAAAUUCUUCGAGCUCGUCAUUUUCUUGCAUAAUUUCCUUUACCACAACCAGGCAUGUAUGCAAUAAAUUUUGGAGGUAACUCACCUGCCGAUCGUACUUUAGCCUCAAUUAACCAACGGAUGUCAGCAGGUAUGUUAUUCCUCAUGAGUAAUCGCAUGCGUUCGGACCGAGCUUUAUAGAUCAUAAGGAGGGCAUUCUGAGGAAGUGAAGGGAAUCGCUUGUGAAGCUUCACUAGAAUCUCGUUUAUGUCCAUACUUUCGCCUCAGAAUAUCAGUUAUUAUGAGAAACUGAAGUAACCGACUUGAUUGUCACGGAGUACCGUUAUCCGCCAUUUAACCGGGGUAACAAACUAAAGCACACAAACAGAAAAACAAAUUAAAACACAAAAAAAAAAUUAAAAUCGUCCUCUUAUUGAAUUUACCUCAAGCUCCAACUGGAUGUCGUAAACACUUCUCUCAAUAUCUCUGAGUUGGCUUUCUAGACCCUCAACAUAGGAUACUAACUCUGGUGGUUGUAGAGCCCAAAUGCGAUAUAUUUUACAAAAUUGAAUCUGCCUUUUGAGAUGAGUUUUGACAUGUUGAAGUGGUUUAAGAAUGUUCAGGAGGAACGGUCUAAGUAAGGUACUCAUGAUUAAAAAUGAUAAGAGAAAACUUAAUAGUUAAACAAACAUACUUAUGCAAAAAUAAUUUCAAAUUAGCAAAAGAAUAAUAAAAAGAAAGAAAGAAAAAUCAAAUCAAUGAAAAGGAAAAAAAAAUCAAUUCAAAUCUGGUGGGUAACUCAAAUUUAUUUCGGUGUUUUCUCCAUGUGGUUGGUACUCUAGAUAUGGCUUUAAUCUUUGACCAUUAACUUUAAACGUGACACCGUUCUUUGGGUCCUUAAUUUCAAUUGCCCCAUGUGGAAAAAUAGUAUGUACAAUAAAUGGGCCAGACCAACGAGAGCGUAACUUACCUGGGAAUAGGUGCAAGCGAGAAUUGAAUAAAAGCACUUUCUGACCUGGAGUGAAAGAUUUUCUCAUAAUUUGCUUGUCAUGGAAGACUUUCAUUCGUUGCUUGUAAAUCUUGGCAUUUUCGUAUGCGUCAUUGCGAAUUUCUUUAAGUUCUGCCAGUUGUAAUCUUCUUUCUGAGCUGGCUUGCUGCAUGUCAAAGUUGAAUUUCUUGAUGGCCCAAUAUGCACGAUGCUCGAGUUCCACAGGUAGGUGGCAAGCUUUUCCAUACACUAACCUGUAGGGUGACAUCCCAAUCGGGGUCUUGAAAGCCGUUCUAUAUGCCCAUAAUGCAUCAUCAAGUCUUAAUGACCAAUCUUUUCUGUCUGGCCUCACCGUCUUUUCUAAUAUGUGCUUUAUUUCUCGAUUGGAGAUCUCAACUUGGCCACUGAUUUGCGGAUGAUAUGGGGUCGCCACUUUAUGAGUGAUUGAAUACUUUGUCAAAAGAGCUUUGAAUGCUUUGUUACAAAAGUGGGCACCACUAUCACUGAUUAUUGCUCGAGGGAAUCCAAAGCGUGAGAUAAUAUUACUUUUCAAAAAUCCUAUCACCACCUUGUGAUCAUUGGUUCUGCAUGGAAUUGCUUCUACCCAUUUCGAUACAUAGUCAACAGCAACGAAUAUGUAUUGAUGGCCAAAAGAAAGGGGAAAGGGUCCCAUGAAGUCGAUACCCCAUACAUAAAAAAUCUCAACCACUAAAAUUGGAUUUAGUGGCAUCAUGUUCCUUCGUAUAAUGCUCCCCAUUCGUUGACACAUAUCACAUGAAGAACAAAAAGUGUAAGCAUCUCGAAAUAUAGUUGGCCAAUAAAAACCACAUUGUAAAACUUUAGUUUCUGUUUUCUUAGCACUGAAAUGGCCUCCACAAGCUUGUUCAUGGCAGAAUGAAAGAAUAUUCUGAAUUUCAUUUUCUGGGACACAUCGUCUAACAAUUUGAUCAGCACAAUACUUGAACAAAUACGGGUCAUCCCAAAAGAAAUUCUUUAUCUCUACAAAAAAUUUAGCCUUAUCUUGCUUGGUCCAAUGCUCUGGAAGUUUACCUGUAACAAGAUAAUUAACUAUAUCAGCAUACCAAGGUAAUACUUCCACACUCAUUAAUUGUUCAUCUGGAAAUGACUCAUUUAAUAUUAAUGGCUCUGUAAUUGUGUCAAAAUGGUGACGAGAGAGAUGGUCCGCCACGACAUUUUCUGUCCCUUUCUUAUCUUUGAAUUCCAAGUCAAAUUCCUGCAAAAGUAAUACCCAACGAAUUAGUCUAGCUUUUGCAUGUUUCUUUGUGAGAAGAUAUUUAAGAGCAGCAUGAUAUGUGAAUAUAAUUAUUUUACAACCAAUGAGAUAAGAUCGAAAUUUCUCUAAUAUAAACACUACUGCUAGCAUUUCUUUUUCAGUAGUUGAAUAGUUCAACUAUGCAUCAUUCAAUGUCAUACUAGCAUAGUAAAUAACAUGGGGAAUUCGAUCAACUCUUUGUCCUAAUACUGCUCCUACUGCAUAAUCAGAUGCAUCGCACAUGAGCUCAAAUGGUAAGCUCCAAUUUGGGGGCUGAAUGAUGGGUGAUGAUGUCAACAACUGCUUUAACUUUUCAAAUGCCACAAGACAUGAAUCAUUAAAGACAAAAGGUACAUCCUUAGCAAGUAAAUUGCAUAAGGGUCUAGAAACAUUGCUAAAAUCUUUAAUGAAACGUCUAUAGAAACCAGCAUGCCCAAGGAAAGAUCUUACUUCUUUGACUAUUUUGGGUGAAGGAAGAUUAGAAAUGAGAUCCACCUUGGCUUUGUCAACCUCAAUACCUUUGCUCGAAAUGAUGUGACCGAGAACAAUACCUUGUUUUACCAUAAAAUGGCAUUUCUCCCAAUUUAAAACUAAAUUCUUCUUGAUACAUCUCUGCAGAACUAAUGUUAGAUGAUGUAAACAUUGAUCAAAUGAAUCACCAAAGACAGAAAAGUCAUCCAUAAAGACUUCAAGGAAUUGUUCAACCAUAUCAGAAAAAAUGAUUAACAUGCAUCGUUGAAAUGUAGCAGGUGCAUUACAUAAUCCAAAUGGCAUUCUCCUAUAUGCAAAAGUGCCAAAAGGGCAAGUGAAAGUGGUCUUCUUUUGAUCUUUUGGUGCUAUGGGAAUCUGAUUGUAUCCUGAGUAGCCAUCUAGAAAGCAAUAAAAUUCAUGGCUUGCUAAUCUAUCAAGCAUUUGAUCAAUAAAUGGUAAAGGAAAAUGGUCUUUACGUGUGACAGAAUUCAACUUUCUAUAAUCAAUGCAUACACGCCAUCCUGUAGUCACUCUAGUUGGUAUCAAUUCAUUAUCAGCAUUCGUAACUACUGUGACUCCUGACUUUUUGGGGACAACUUGUACAGGACUGACCCAUGAACUAUCAGAAAUUGGAUAAAUGAUACCUGUAUCUAAUAGCUUAAGGACUUCAGUUCUAACAACUUCUUUCAUAUUAGGAUUUAACCGACAUUGCAUUUCCCUAGUAGAUUUAGCAUUUUCAUCAAGGUGAAUGUAAUGCAUGCAGUCUACUGGGUUUAUACCUUUUAUGUCCGCUAUGGUCCAUCCUAAUACUCCUUUGUGCUCUUUUAAAACAUCCAACAACUUACCUUUUUGUCCGUCAUUUAGGGAUGAUGAGAUGAUUAUCGGUAGAGUACUUUCUUCUCCCAAAAAUGCAUAUUCCAAUGUGUUGGGCAAUGGUUUGAGCUCGAGUUUUGGUGGUGAUUCUGAUGAUGGGAUGAGUUUCUUCUCUGAUGGUGCUAGUUAUUCAACUCUUGACUUCCAUUUAUUAGUGUCCAUGGAUGGUGCUGAGUCAAGUAGGGCGUUGACCUCAUCGACUGAUCUGUCAAUAUCAAAAUCCAAACCAAAGUGAGUUAAACAUGUUUGUAAAGGAUCAUCACUAAGGUUUGAAAGAAAAGUGUCAUCAACUAUUGUUUCUAUUAAAUCCACAUCAACAAUUCCAUCAUCUGCAUUGUGAGGUUGUUUGACAAUGUUGAAGAUGUUCAGCUCCAUAGUCAUGUUGCCGAAGGACAACUGCAUAUUUCAUGUCCUACAUUGAAUGUGAACAUCCGCAGUUGCCAAGAAAGGUCGGCCUAGAAUAAUGGAGAUGUGCUUCCUUGAAUCCUGUAUUGGUUGAGUGUCAAUUACAAUGAAAUCAACAGGAAAAUAAAACUUGUCUACCUGGAUAAGCACGUCCUCCACAAUACCAUGAGGUAUUUUCGUGGACCAAUCUGCAAGCUGUAACACCACUGGAGUUGGGUGUAAUUCUCCCAGUCCAAGUUUCACAAAUACUGAAUAAGGCAACAAAUUUACACUAGCUCCUAAAUCCAACAAAACAUUCUCAAUUGUGUGGUUCCCUAUACUACAUGAGAUAGUGGGGAAGCCUGGGUCUUUGCAUUUUAAAGGAAUUUUAUGUUGGAGUAUAGAACUAAUAUUUUCUGUUAAAAAUGCAUUCUUUUGAACAUGCAUAUUUCUCUUUUUAGUACAAAGGUCUUUAAGAAACUUGGCAUAAGAUGGAACUUGCUUAAUAGCAUCAAGCAAUGGGAUGUUAACACUUACCUGUUUGAAGAUUUCAAGAAUCUCACCUGUGGAUUUUCCCUUAUUUCCUUUAGCUAACCUUUGAGGAAAUGGAGCUUUAGGAAUGUAUUCCCGUGGGUUGGUUUCUUCUUUCUCCUCCGGUGAUGAGUCCUCAACAUUCACAGGUACAAUUUGAUUUUCUCUUGUCACCGGCAUCUCCACUUUGUUGUCGACUUCUUUUCCUUUUCGCAAGGUCAUGACUGCUUUGACUUCUCCAUGCUGCUGUGGUGAGCUGGUACUUGCUUCAUGUACUCCUUUAGGAUUAGGCACUGGUUGACUUGGAAACUUGCCUUUGUCAACAGUCAUUGCCAAGGUCUGAACUGAAGAAGCAAGCUGUCCCACCAUCUUCUCGAGGCUUGAAACUGAUUGGGCUUGUGAAUUGAAGCUUGCUCUCAACUCAUUUCGUAGUCCAUCAAUGGUGCGGUUCUGUUGCUCAAUCGUGGAGUGAGUAACAUUCUUGAAAUUUUGGAAUGCAUCCUCCCAUGAUCUGGGUUGAGAGUAGUUCUGGUUCUGAUUGUAUGGUCUAAAUGGGGGCUGAGAGGCUUGAGGAAUUUGAGGAAUUGGUUGCAUUGGUGGAGCUGGAGCUGCUGGUCCAUUCUGUUGGAGUCCUUGAGACCAUGAAAAAUUGGGGUGGUCUCUCCAUUCAGGGUUAUAUGUGUUGGAGUAUGGGUUGUAAUUUGAUGGCUUUCUCAUUACACCUAUGGCAUUGGCUUGAUCUGAGUAUGAGUCAGGGUCAUGUGGCUCUGUUGAUUUAGCAGUCGAUAACGAUGCUAUUUGUCGAGCAAGACCUUUAACCAUCUCCUUGACUUCUUUGAUUCCCGAAGUUGACUCGCCAAUUUGAACCUCAUUUACUCCCUUAAUUCUUCUAGUAUUCCUGAGUGAUCGACUCCGUUGUUGGGAAUUAUCCGCUUGUCCCUGGAAGAAUUCCCAAAUCUCUGAUGCACUUUUUGACAUUAGCUCUCCUCCACUUGUUGCCAUUAGCCAUUCUUCCACAUUCGGCAAUAAUUCCUCCAAAAAGUAUUGGCAUUGGUGCCAUUUCUCGUACCCAUGAUGUAGACACUUCAAGAGUAGCCCAUUGAAUCGCUCCCAUGUUUCGAAAAAUUGCUCGUCCUCUCUCUGUGUAAACUCUGAAAUUUCCCUGCGAAUAGCAUUGGUUUUAUGCACUAGGAAAUAUUUAUUCAAAAAUUUUGUUACCAUUUGUUCCCAUGAUGAAAUGCUAUUAGCAGGUAAAGUAUUUAACCAUGAACGAGCUCUAUCCUUUAAAGAAAAUGGGAAUAAUCUGAGUUUAACAUCAUCGUCUGAAAAAUUUUCAUAUUUAAAAGUUUGACAAAUGGCAUGAAAAUCAUUCAGAUGAUUAUAUGGGUCCUCAUUUUCUAGGCCAUAGAAUGUUGGGAGACAAUUUAGCACACUAGGUUUUAAUUCAAAACUCCUAGCAGCUACAUUUGGGUAUCUUAUACAUGAUGUGCUCAAAUUAGCUAAGGGACUGAAAUAAUCCUUAAAUGGCCUCUCCUGUGGUGCUUGUAAAUCCAUUCCAAAUUUAUUUUUAAUGUGCUUGUGUGUGCGGAGUGUUUUUUCUAAUUCAAGGUCUAUAGGUUCAAGAUUAGGUAAUAAUGACCUACGACCAUGCAUGCAAAACAAAUAAAAUAAAAAUAAAGAUGGGAACAAAACAAAUAAAAAUAAAUAAGAGGGAGAAAUUACGAUACUAACCUUAUCGCGAUGUUACAACCUUUCUAUAAAAACACACUAAAACAAAUACGUGAAAUAAAUUAACUAAGAAUAAAUUAAUAAGAUAAAAAAAAUUUACAAAGAAAAAUAAAUUGAAAAUUAAAUUACAGAAUUUUAAAGAAGAGAAAAAGAAAAGAAAUAUUAACCUUUAAAUGUAGAUUCACUUUUUUUUUCUUUUUUUUAAUAAAAAAAUUACAAGAAAAUAAUUAAAAGAAAUUAAUCACAAAAAUUAAUUCUAUGAAUUAAAAUUACUUACCUCCCCGGCAACGGCGCCAAAAACUUCUUGUGCAAAUUUUAAUGAACUCGCAAGUGCACGAAUCUAUUGUAGUAUAGAUCAAUGGUGACGAGUGUCGAUCCCACGAGGAGGUAUAUUUUAAUUAUAUGUAGAAUUAAUUUUGUAAAUGGGUGGUUGGAAUUGUGGUAGAAGUGAUUUAAAUUAUCCUAAAAUUGGAAUUGAAAUGGCGAUAAUAAAUUCUAAAAUUAGAAUUGCAAUGGCGAGAAUAAAUUGAAGCGAAAUCUAUUGAAAUGACGUACUUGGGUAUCUGGAUCCGUAUCAACAUGCACCAUGGGCUAAAUAUUCCUUAUUAAUACCAAUUAAAUCAUGAGGGGGGAAUCCACACCUCAUGAACCACACUCUAAUCAAUAUGGUGCUAAGGGCUUAUCGUGCCAAAUAAUAAUAACGUUGUACUAGGGGGCCGGUGAAACCAAGGCGGUACUAGACAAGAUUAGUAUCAUUUGUCGACGAGAAGUCAAAACAUCCACAAAAAUUAGAGGGGAAGAGAAAAUGAAUUUACCAAAUAAAGCCUAUGACACAUGUUGAGACUUCACCUUCAACCCAAGCUUGAAAGAAAAUUAGCUACUCAUAAUUGAACUAGGGGCAAAAUGGAAAUUUAUUAAAAUAUGAAGAAAAUACAAGAUGGAGAAGGAAUUACAGAAAAUGGAUCCCAAAAAUGGAUUCAGAGAUAACAAAUUAGGGGGGGAGGCCCCCUUUUUAUAGAUACAUGGAGUAAAUCAUGGUCAUCGGAUUAAAAACAGUUUGGACGCUCAGGAUUGUGCCACGUCAUCAGUCAACAGUACGCGGUUUGACCACUUGGAUGAACAGUAACACGGUUUGACCCAGGUUGAACAGUAACGCAGUUUGGUUGAAAAUAAUCCUGUGUGAUGCAUGUACCGUACGCGAGAUUUUUUGUCCACUGAUAUGCUGCCACGUCACCAUCAACAGUACAUAAGAAUUUUAGUCCAACAGGAUCAUGAAACCUCAUCAGUCAAUGCCACAUCAUCGGUCAAUGCCACGUCAUCGAUCCGUCUAUGUGAACAGUGUCGUGAACAGUAACUUAUACAGUACCGCACACGUGAAUAGUACCGUACAUGUGAAUAGUGUCAUUUUUCCUUUUAUGCUCCUCCUAAGGUUUUCGACCAUCCUGAGUUCAAAAGUGAUGUCCGUUUUACCGUCUGAUCUCUCCUUUAUUGUGAAAUGACUAUAAUGCCCCUAAAAUACAUAAAUACUUAAUUAAAAUAAAACACAUGUAAUUAAAUUACAAGAAUGUUAAAUACAUAAAAGUAAAGGUUGUUAGUAAGACUUGAAAUGUAAAAUGACGGGUUUCUCCUUUAUAAAUAUGCAUUUUCUAACACUCAACACCUCUUUCGUCCUAGGUUUUCAAUAAUGGGAGCAAUCGCCUCCAUAAAUUACAUAGAAAUAAUUAUUAUUAGCUUUAAUUUAUUUUAAAUAAUAUGAAAAGGAAAAGAAGUUGAUAAAUAUUUUUUAUUUGUGUCUUAUCUAUUCAUGUCACCGUGACAAAUCUUUAGGGAAUCUUUUUAGUCAUUAAUUAAGCUUUGUUCAAUUGCUUCGUUUUUCAGCUCGCUUUGACUAAAUCAAAGGAACUACAUGGUCAUAAAGCACUUAAGUAUAAUAGCUCAAAGAUUAUCUGCUACCCGCAAAGCUAAUUAAAUUAAUAUGACUCUCCAAGUCAACAGGGCGGAUUUUUCUUUUUCUGCUGUGCAUAUAUUUAGCCAUCUCCUUCACCACAGCGAAAGUGUUUUUUUUUUAAUUUUUUAAAAACUUUUUUCCUAGUGAUGAAGGUUGAAAUUAAGUUAUUAAAUAAAAUAGAAGAGCUUAAGGAAAUUAACAAGAAUGUGCUUAAUCGAUCAAGUAGACGGUUAAUUUAUAAAAAAAAAUGCUCUGUGUGAUUAUCUGAAAAUUGCAGAAACGCUAUCAGUUUGUCAUUUCUAUUAACUUUCUUUCUCUGCAGCAAAAUAAUUAAGCAUUGGAAGUAUGCAUAUAAAUAAGGAGGCAGCAAGGUUAUUGGAUUUUUUUAAGGCAAUGAAUGAAGUCAGUCCCUGCACUAACUACUUGGCUGAUGCCUUAGUAAUUAAUUGCUCAACAUUAUGAUGUAGUUACUGGGAAUAAACUGUAUUUCUUUAGUAUUUGUAAGGAAAUAAACUACAACUUCCUUUCUUUAGUAUUUGUAAGGAAAUAAACUACAACUUCCUUGUUCACUAAUUUUUCUUUGAAAUAACUGAGUUUACUUAUAAAUAGUGUAUGAAUAUUUUUUCUUUAGAACAAAAUAGAUUUAUUUAUAUUAACCAUUGUUUCUCUAAUGGUUGGGAAUUGGCAGCUAAUUUUUUCUCCCUUUUCCAUGUAUGCAGAUUUGCUCAAUGUGUUUGAAGUGUUUAUUCCUCAACUUCACUUGUAUCCUAACCCAUACAGUCUAUUGAAUGGAGAAGCUGCUGGUGUGAUAACGCAAUUAUACUACUCAUAUUCAAAGAGUGAAAGACAGUCAUCAUUAUCAAUUUAGCUUCUAGAUUUAUUAAAUUUGGCCACAAGUAGUAGACAUUUGAUUGGAUGGUGAAAUUUUUAUGUAUUGAAUUUAGAUUAUUUAGUUAUGAGAGUAGGAUAUCUCAUUUUUUGGCUAUUGAAGUUGAAUUUGUAAUAUAUACUAAUAAUAUUUAAAUGUGAAAUGAAAGAUUUUGUGAUAUAAAUCAAUUUCUUUUUGUUAUUUUGUGGUGCUUUUAAUUUUACCAAUAAAUCAAUAGGCAAUGAUCCAAUUCAAUUUUUUAAAAAAAAUAAAUUAACUAGUGAUACCAUAGUAACAAUAAUUAUAGACACAAAAAAAAUAUCAAUAAUUACUAACACUAUGCUAUCAUAAUAUUGGUGAUAUUGUAGUAAUAGUAAUCACUGACACCACUUACAAGUGUCACUAUUUUUCUGACUCCCAGAUUACUGACACAAUUAACAAGUGUCAGUGAAAGUAAUUUCUGACACUAUUCUAAAGUCAGUAAAGACUGUUUUUCUAGUAAUGAGGUCUCACGUAUCGUUUUAUUUUUUUUCUGACAACCGAUCAUCAGAGAGAGAGCAGAGAACAUUAAAGGAUUUUUUAAGAGAAUAUGUUGAUCUGGAAGGCUAACCACACUAUUCUAAAAAGCAAUUAAGCAUUAUGGAUCCAGAUAUACUUCUACAUAUCAUAUUAUUGAUUCUUGUUGAUAUAACAUUAAUGUUCCUAGACUAUAGGUAAUCAUUUUAAGUAUAGGAUUAUUAUCGUUCUAAUAUUUUCUUGUGAAGAGCUUUACUGGGUAUUCUUCCAACAUCUUAUAAUUUAUUUAAAAGGAAGGUAAUGCAAUCUCAUAUUUGUCAAAGGUCCAAUAGAGUGUAGGAGGAUAGCUUCCAUGCUUUAGUGGCAUGUAGAGUUGUUAAGAAGGUAUGGCGAUUAUCAAUCUUGGCAAAUUUUGCGAUUAGUUUUGAAAGCACCAAUUUCUCAUGCUUUGCUCAAUCAUUGGCUGAUUAAAUGUCUAAGGAGAAUUUUGAGUCUUUUGUGGUCUUGCCUUGCUCAAUUUGGAGGGACAAAAACUUGAUUCUUCACAAUGAUGUGGGAAAUGACAUUUUGAGCUUGAUAAUCAGAGCUGAAUCUAUUAUUGAGAACUAUAAGUUAGUGCAACAAUCUCUAGCGACCGUGCCUUCUAUGAAUUAGAAUUAUAAGGAAGAAAAAUAGGUUGCUCCACCAAAUAAUCGGUAGAAACUUAAUACUGAUGCAGCUAUUAAAUCUUUAGAAAGUAUUUCUAGCCUUGGUACUAUUAUUAAAAACUCAAGAGGAGAAGUUAUGGUAGCAUCAGUCAAUAUAAAGUCCUUUUUUUGUAGGGAUGUGGAAUUUGCAAAAGCUUAUGCAGUUGUUCAGGGGGUUAAGCUAGCAAUUGACUUAGGUUUAACUCCCUUGAUUGUUAAACUUGAUUCAGUAAAUGUUGUUACUUUGAUUAAUGGAAGUUUGUCUAGCAAAAAAAAAGAGAUUGGCUGGCUAGUAUGGGAGAUCAAAGGUCUUAUAAUUAAUAGAGCUGCCAUUAAAGUUAAAUUGGUUGGCUAUUAUAGGAGAUCAAGGGUCCUAUAUAGAGCUUCCAUUAUAGUUAAACAUGCACCUAGAUGUUAUAAUGAGGUGGCUCACAUUUUAAGCAAAUUGGAAUUUUCUUUUCCAAAGUUAGCAUAUUAGAAUAGAAGAUUGUCUUGUUGAAAUUGUCAGUCUCUUGUGAUGUUUUGUUAUUCAACAUGUAGUCAGCUUUUCAAAAAGCAAAAAAAUGGCAGUACAAAUAAAGUCCACAUAGUACAUGUUGCUUAAUGCGCACUAAUUCUACAAUCUUGAUUAUGAGUAAUUUAUCUGUCACCAUUUGCAAUAUGGCCAUCAAAACCCAUUUAUAAAUCGAGGCCAGUAAUAGAUUGUCAUCACAACUGGGGAGAAAGCUACGAUUCAUCCAAAUGGAUCCAACGGCUGGAUGCAACGGUGAUACCGUAUCACCGUUGCACUGUAGUCGGACCCCACAACUGGACCCAUGAUGAUGAUAACAAUAAAUAAUAAAUAAUUUUUAAUUUUUUUGUUAUUUAAUAGGUUAGCUUUUAGGUCAAAAUGAUGGAAGGCGCCCAUUGGGUACCGUAUUCAGGGGUGGGUAAAUUAUUUGACCUGACUUAAAAUAUUUCGGGUUUAGAUCGGAUCGAAUUGUAAAAAAAAUCCGAUCGGAUGAAAACGGUAAAACCCGAUCAGGUUCUUUAAAAAAAAAAAUAAACACAUACACGCACGCCAGACAGAGUCACACAAAAUACAAAUCACACUUACAAAUUCAUUUACAAUACACACACAACACAAAUCUCACACACAACACAAAUCACACUCACAGAUUCAUUUACAAUCCACACACAAACACAAGUCAGUGAAAUCACAGUGAUUCAUUUACAAAUCACACAAAAUACAAAUCACACUUACAAAUUCAUUUACUUGAGAUCGUAUUAUUUCUAAGCUGAGGGCAUAUUUAUUUCAUCUUGGUGAGAGCAUGUGAUAUCAUUUCUUUAUUAUUUUCUCUCUCAAUUACCAUUCAUUGGAGUGACUGUGUUUAUUGGGUUUUGAUUUCUUUGUGAGAGUGUCACUACUUCCAGUGAGAUUUUGGGGUUUGACAUGUCAUUCUUGAAAGUAGCUAUAACAAAGUCUACUAGGCCGAUUCAUGUGGAUGGUUGAUGUGGGUGUGAUAUUGCUUUAGACUGGAGAUAAUGCUUAUACUUUUAUUUGAUUGCUAUCAUUAAUCUGAUUGAAUAAACACGAGUGUUUCUAAAAAUAUAUAUAUAUAUAUAUAUAUAUAUUGAAUUUGAAUUUUGUUUUCGCUUUAUUUGCUAGGGACUAGCAAUAAGCUGGUUGGGGGGUGUGUUGAGUGUUAGAAAAUACAUAUUUAUAAAAGGAGAAAACCGUCAUUUUACAUUUCAAGUCUUACUAACAACCCUUACUUUUAUGUAUUUAACCUUCUUGUGAUGUAAUUACGUGUGUGUUAUUUUAAUUAAGUAUUUUAUGUAUUUGAGGGGCAUUAUAGUCAUUUCACAAUAAAAGAGAAAUCAUACGGCAAAACGGACAUCACUUUUGAACUCAGGACGGUCAAAAACCUUAGGAGGAGCAUAAAAGGAAAAAUGGCACUAUUCACAUGUACGGUACUAUUCACGUAUACGGUACUGUCUACGUUACUGUUCACGACACUGUUCACAUAGACGGAUCGACGACGUGGCAUUGACCGAUGAUGUGGCAUUGACUGAUGGGUGUCAUGAUCCUGUUGGACUAAAAUUCUUAUGUACUGUUGACGGUGACGUGGCAGCAUAUCAGUGAACGAAAAAUCUCGCGUACGGUGCAUGCAUCACACAGGAUUAUUUUCAACCCAACCGUGUUACUGUUCAUCUGGGUCAAACCGUGUUACUGUUCAUCCACGUGGUCAAACCGUAGACUGUUGACUGAUGACGUGGCGCAAUCCUGAGCGUCCAAACUGUUUUUAAUCCGAUGGCCAUGAUUUACUCCAUGUAUCUAUAAAAAGGGGGCCUCCCCCCCCCCCUAAUUUGAUAUCUCUUAAUCCAUUUUUGGGAUCCAUUUUCUGUAAUUCCCUCUCCAUCUUGUAUUUUCUUUGUAUUUUAAUAAAUUCCCAUUUUGCCCCUAGUUCAAUUAUGAGUAACUAAUUUUCUUUCAAGCUUGGGUUGAAGGUGAAGUCUCAACAUGUGUCAUGGGCUUAAUUUGGUAAAUUUAUUUUCUCUUCCCCUCUAGUUUUUGUGGAUGUUUUGACUUCUCGUCGACAAAUAAUAAUAAUCUUGUCUAGAUACCGCCUUGGUUACACCGGCUCUCUAGUAUAAGGUUAUUAUUAUUUGGCACGAUAAGCCCUUAGCACCAUAUUGAUUAGAGCGUGGUUCAUGAGGUGUGGAUUCCCCCCUCAUGAUUUAAUUGGCAUUAAUACAGAUUAUUUAGCCCAUGAUGCAUGUUGAUACGGAUCCAGAUACCCAAGUACGUCAAUUUAAUCGAUUUUCUCUACAAUUUAUUCUCGCCAUUGCAAUUCCAAUUUUAGCAUAUUUAUUAUCGUCAUUUCAAUUCCAAUUUUAGCAUAUUUUAAAUCACUUCCACCACAAUUCCAACCACCCAUUUACAGAAUUAAUUCUACACACAAUUAAAAAUCCAUCUCCUCGUGGGAUCGACACUCGUCACCAUUGAUCUAUACUACAAUAGAUUCGUGCACUUGCGAGUACAUUAAAAUUUGCACAACAAGUUUUUGGCGCCGUUGCCGGGGAGGUAAGUAAUUUUAAUUCAUAGAUUUAAUUUUUGUGAAUAAUUUCAUUUAAUUGUUUUCUUGUAUUUUUUUUUUUUUGUUCUUUAAAAAAAAAAAAAAGUAAAUCUACAUUUAAAGGUUAGUAUUUCUUUUCUUUUUCUCUUCUUUAAAAUUCUGUAAUUUAUUUUUCAAUUUAUUUUUUUCUUUGUAAUUUUUGUUUAUCUUACUAAUUUUUUUUAGUUAAUUUAUUUCAUGUAUUUUUUGUUUUUGUGUGUAUUUUUAUAGUAAGGUUGUAAUAGCGCAAUAAGGUUAGUAUUGUAAUUUCUCUCUCUUCUUUAUUUUUAUUUGUUUUGUUCCAUCUUUAUUUUUAUUUUAUUUAUUUUGCAUGCAUGGUCGUAGGUCAUUAUUAUCUAAUCUUGAACCUAUAGACCUUGAACUUGAGAAAACACUUCGCACACAAAAGCACAAUAAAAAUAAAGUUGGAAUGGAUUUACAAGCACCACAGGAGAGGCCAUUUAAGGACUAUUUUAGUCCCUUAGCUAAUUUGAGCACAUCAUGUAUUAGAUACCCAAAUGUAGCUGCUAGGAGUUUUGAAUUAAAACCUAGUGUGCUAAAUUGUCUCCCCACAUUCUAUGGCUUAGAAAAUGAGGACCCAUAUAAUCAUCUGAAUGAUUUUCAUGCAAUUUGUCAAACUUUUAAAUAUGAAAAUUUUUCAGACGAUGAUGUUAAACUUAGAUUAUUCCCAUUUUCUUUAAAGGAUAGAGCUCGUCCAUGGUUAAAUACUUUGCCUGCUAAUAGCAUUGCAUCAUGGGAACAAAUGGUUACAAAAUUUCUAAAUAAAUAUUUCCCAGUGCAUAAAACCAAUUCUAUUCGCAGGGAAAUUUCAGAGUUUACACAAAGAGAGGACGAGCAGUUUUUCGAAACUUGGGAGCGAUUCAAUGGGCUACUCUUGAAGUGUCCACAUCAUGGGUAUGAGAAAUGGCACCAAUGCCAAUACUUUUUGGAGGGAUUAUUGCCGAAUGUGCAAGAAUGGCUAAUGGCAACAAGUGGAGGAGAGCUAAUGUCAAAAAGUGCAUCAGAAAUUUGGGAAUUCUUCCAGCGACAAGCGGAUAAUUCCCAACAACGGAGUCGAUCACUCAGGAAUACUAGAAGAAUUAAGGGAGUAAAUUAGGUUCAAAUUGGCGAGUCAACUUCGGGAAUCAAAGAAGUCAAGGAGAUGGUUGAAGGUCUCGCUCGACAAAUAGCAUCGUUAUCGACUGCUAAAUCAACAGAACCACAUGACCAUGACUCAUACUCCGAUCAAGCCAAUGCCAUAGGUGUAAUGAGAAAACCAUCGAAUUACAACCCAUACUCCAACACAUAUAACCCUGGAUGGAGAGACCACCCUAAUUUUUCAUGGUCUCAAGGAUUCCAACAGAAUGGACCAGCAGCUCCAGCUCCACCAAUGCAACCAAUUCCUCAAAAUCCUCAAGCCUUUCAGCCCCCAUUUAGACCAUACAAUCAGAACUAGAAUUACUCUCAACCCAGACCAUGGGAGGAUUCAUUCCAGAAUCUCAAGAAUCUUACUCACUCCACAAUUGAGCAACAGAACCGCACCAUUGAUGGACUACGAAAUGAGUUGAGAGCAGGCUUCAACUCACAAGCUCAAUCAGUUUCAAGCCUGGAGAAAAUGGUGGGACAACUCACUUCUUCAGUUCAGACCUUGGCAAUGACUGUUGAGAAAGGCAAGUUUCCAAGUCAACCAGUGCCUAAUCCUAAAGGAGUGCAUGAAGCAAGUACCAGUUCACCACAGCAGCAUGGAGAGGUCAAAGCAGUCAUGACCUUGCGAAAAGGAAAAGAAGUCGACAACAAAGUAGAGAUGCCGGUGACCAAAGAAAAUCAAAUUGUACCUGUGAAUGUUGAGGACUCACCACCGGAGGAAAAAGAAGAAACCAACCCACGAGAGUACAUUCCCAAGGCUCCAUUUCCUCAGAGGUUAGCUAAAGGAAAAAAGGGAAAAUCCACAGGUGAGAUUCUCGAAAUCUUCAAACAGGUAAGUGUCAAUAUCCCUUUGCUUGAUGCUAUAAAACAAAUUCCAUCUUAUGCCAAGUUUCUUAAAGACCUUUGUACUAAAAAGAGAAAUAUGCAUGUUCAAAAGAAGGCUUUUUUAACAGAAAACGUUAGUUCUAUACUCCAACAUAAAAUUCCUUUAAAAUGCAAAGACCCAGGCUCCCCCACUAUCUCAUGUAGUAUAGGGAACCACACAAUUGAGAAUGCUUUGUUGGAUUUAGGAGCUAGUGUAAAUCUUUUGCCUUACUCUGUAUUCGUGAAACUUGGACUGGGAGAAUUACACCCAACUCCAGUGGUGUUACAGCUUGCAGAUCGGUCCACGAAAAUACCUCGUGGUAUUGUGGAGGACGUGCUUAUUCAGGUAGACAAGUUUUAUUUUCCUGUUGAUUUCAUUAUAAUUGACACUCAACCAAUACAGGACUCAAGGAAGCACAUCCCCAUUAUUCUAGGCCGACCUUUCUUGGCAACUGCAGAUGCUCAUAUUCAAUGUAGGACCGGAAAUAUGCAAUUGUCAUUCGGCAACAUGACUAUGGAGCUAAAUAUUUUCAACAUUGCCAAACAACCUCACAGUGCAGAUGAUGGAAUUGUUGAUGUGGAUUUAAUAGAAACAAUAGUUGAUAAUACUUUUCUUUCAAACCUUAAUGAUGACCCUUUACAGACAUGCUUAACUCACUUUGGUUUGGAUUUUGAUAUUGACAGAUCGGUUGAUGAGGUCAACGCUCUACUUGACUCAGCACCAUCCAUGGACACUAAUAAAUGGAAGUCAAGAGUUGAACAACUAGCACCAUCAGAGAAGAAACUCAUUCCAUCAUCAGAAUCACCACCGAAACUCGAGCUCAAACCAUUACCCAACACAUUGGAAUAUGCAUUUUUGGGGGAAGAAAGUACUCUGCCGGUAAUCAUCUCAUCAUCCCUUAAUGACGAAUAAAAAGGUAAGUUGUUGGAUGUUUUGAAAGAGCACAAAGGGGCAUUAGGAUGGACCAUAGCAGACAUAAAAGGUAUAAACUCUGCAGAUUGCAUGCAUUACAUUCACCUUGAUGAAAAUGCUAAAUCUACUAGGGAAAUGCAACGUCGGUUAAAUCCUAAUAUGAAAGAAGUUGUUAGAACAGAAGUCCUUAAGCUAUUAGACGCAUGUAUCAUUUACCCAAUUUCUGAUAGUUCAUGGGUCAGUCCUGUACAAGUUGUCCCCAAAAAGUCAGGAGUCACAGUAGUUACCAAUGCUGAUAAUGAAUUGAUACCAACUAGAGUAACUACAUGAUGGCGUGUAUGCAUUGAUUAUAGAAAGUUGAAUUCUGUCACACGUAAAGACCAUUUUCCUUUACCAUUUAUUGAUCAAAUGCUUGAUAGAUUAGCAGGCCAUGAAUUUUAUUGCUUUCUAGAUGGCUAUUCAGGAUAUAAUCAGAUUCCCAUAGCACCAAAAGAUCAAGAGAAAACUACUUUCACUUGCCCUUUUGGCACAUUUACAUAUAGGAGAAUGUCAUUUGGAUUAUGUAAUGCACCUGCUACAUUUCAACGAUGCAUGUUAAGCAUUUUUUCUGAUAUGGUUAAACGAUUCCUUGAAGUCUUCAUGGAUGACUUUUCUGUCUUUUUGAUUCGUUUGAUCAAUGUUUACAUCAUCUAACGCUAGUUCUGCAGAGAUGUACCGAGAAGAACUUAGUCUUGAAUUGGGAGAAGUGCCAUUUUAUGGUAAAACAAGGUAUUGUUCUCAGUCACAUCAUUUCGAGCAAAGGUAUUGAGGUUGACAAAGCCAAGGUGGAUCUCAUUUCUAAUCUUCCUCCACCUAAAACAGUUAGAGAAGUAAGAUCUUUCAUUGGGCAUGUUGGUUUCUAUAGACGUUUCAUUAAAAAUUUUAGCAAAGUUUCUAGACCCUUAUGCAAUUUACUUGCUAAGGAUGUACCUUUUAUCUUUAAUGAUUCAUGUCUUAUGGCUUUUGAAAAAUUAAAACAAUUGUUGACAUCACCACCCAUCAUUCAGGCCCCAAACUGGAGCUUACCAUUUGAGCUCAUAUGUGAUGCAUCUGAUUAUGCAGUAGGAGCAGUAUUAGGACAAAGAGUUGAUCGAAUUCCCCAUGUUAUUUACUAUGCUAGUAUGACAUUGAAUGAUGCACAGUUGAACUAUUCAACUACUGAAAAAGAAAUGCUAGCAGUAGUGUUUGCAUUGGAAAAAUUUCGAUCUUAUCUCAUUGGUUGUAAAAUAAUUAUAUUCACAGAUCAUGCUGCUCUUAAAUAUCUUCUCACAAAGAAAGAUGCAAAAGCUAGACUAAUUCGUUGGGUGUUACUUUUGCAGGAAUUCGACUUGGAAUUCAAGGAUAAGAAAGGCACAGAAAAUGUUGUGGCGGACCACCUCUCUCGUCUCCAUUUUGACACAAUUACAGAGCCAUUAAUAUUAAAUGAGUCAUUUCCAGAUGAACAAUUAAUGAGUGUGGAAGUAUUACCUUAGUAUGCUGAUAUAGUUAAUUAUCUUGUUACAGGUAAAUUUCCAGAGCAUUGGACCAAGCAAGACAAGGCUAAAUUCUUUGCGGAAAUAAAGAAUUUCUUUUGGGAUGACCCAUAUUUGUUCAAGUAUUGUGCAGACCAAAUUGUUAGACGAUGUGUCCCUGAAAGUGAAAUUCAGAAUAUCCUUUCAUUCUGCCAUGAACAAGCUUGUGGAGGCCAUUUCAGUGCUAAGAAAACAGCGACUAAAGUUUUACAAUGUGGUUUCUAUUGGCCAAUUAUAUUUCGAGAUGCUUACACUUUCUGUUCUUCAUGUGAUAGGUGUCAACGAAUGGGGAGUAUUAAACGAAGGAACAUGAUGCCACUAAAUCCAAUUUUAGUGGUUGAGAUUUUUGACGUAUGGGGUAUCGACUUCAUGGGACCCUUUCCCUCUUCUUUUGGCCAUCAAUACAUAUUGGUUGGUGUUGACUACGUUUCAAAAUGGGUAGAAGCAAUUCCAUGUAGAACCAAUGAUCACAAAGUGGUGAUAGGAUUUUUGAAAAGCAACAUUGUCUCACGCUUUGGAUUCCCUCGAGCAAUAAUCAAUGAUGGUGGUGCCCACUUUUGUAACAAAGCAUUCAAAGCUCUUUUGACAAAGUAUUCAAUCACCCACAAAGUGGCGACCCCUUAUCAUCCGCAAACCAGUGGCCAAGUUGAGAUCUCCAAUCGAGAAAUAAAGCACAUAUUAGAAAAAACGGUGAGGCCAGACAGAAAAGAUUGGUCAUUAAGACUUGAUGAUGCAUUAUGGGCAUAUAGAACGGCUUUCAAGACCCCGAUUGGGAUGUCACCCUAUAGGCUAGUGUAUGGAAAGCUUGCCACCUACCUGUGGAACUCGAGCAUCGUGCAUAUUGGGCCAUCAAGAAAUUCAACUUUGACAUGCAGCAAGCCAGCUCAGAAAGAAGAUUACAACUGGUAGAACUUGAAGAAAUUCGCAAUGAUGCAUACGAAAAUGCCAAGAUUUACAAGCAACGAAUGAAAGUCUUUCAUGACAAGCACAUUAUGAGAAAAUUGUUCACUCCAGGUCAGAAAGUGCUUUUAUUCCAUUCUCGUUUGCACUUAUUCCCAGGUAAGUUACGCUCUCGAUGGUCUGGUUCCUUUAUUGUUCAUACUGUUUUUCCACAUGGGGCAAUUGAAAUUAAGAACCCAAAGAACGGUGUCACGUUUAAAGUUAAUGGUCAAAGAUUAAAGCCAUAUCUAGAAUACCAACCACAUGGAGAAGACACCGAAAUAAAUUUGAGUGACCCACCAGAUUUGAAUUGAUUUGUUUUUUUCUUUUCGUUGAUUUGAUUUUUCUUUCUUUCUUUUUAUUAUUCUUUUGCUAAUUGAAAUUAUUUUUGCAUAAGUGUGUUUGUCUAACUAUUAAGUUUUCUCUUAUCAUUUUUAAUCAUGAGUACCUUACUUAGACCGUUCCUCCUGAACAUUCUUAAACCACUUCAACGUGUCAAAACUCAUCUCAAAAGGCAGAUUCAAUUUUGUAAAACACAUCGCAUUUGGGCUCUACAACCACCAGAGUUAGUAGCCUAUGUUGAGGGUUUAGAACGCCAACUCAGAGAUAUUGAGAGAAGUGUUUACGACAUCCAGUUGGAACUUGAGGUAAAUUCAAUAAGAGGACGAUUUUAAUUUUCUUUGUGUGUUUUGAUUUAUUUUUCUGUUUGUGUGAUUUAGUUUGUUACCCUGGUGAAGUGGCGGAUAACGGUACUCCGUGACAAUCAAGUCGGAUACUUCAGUUUCCCAUAAUAACUGACAUUCUGAGGUGAAAGUAUGGACAGAAACGAGAUUCUAGCGAAGCUUCACAAGCGAUUCCCUUCACUUCCUCAGAAUGCCCUCUUUACGAUCUAUAAAGCUCGGUCUGAAUGCAUGCGAUUACUCAUGAAGAAUAACAUACCUGCUGACAUCUGUUGGUUAAUCGAGGCUAAAGUACGAUCGGCAGGUGAGUUACCUCCAAAAUUUAUUGCAUUCAUGCCUGGUUGUGGUAAAGGAAAUUAUGCAAGAAAACGACGAGCUCGAAGAAUUUCUGUUGCUUGUCAUAAGUGUGCCAGAAUGAGUUGCGAUAGAAACCCAUGUUCUUUAGGAAUGGUGUCUGAUAACAGGGAAGAUAAGAUUCAAUUCAUUAGGGAUGGCUUGAAUAAGGAGUCAUUGGAUGAUAUUCUUUUGUCUCUUGAAACGCAUCCCAGUGGAUAUGUGCAAGGAGCGAUUCUCCAGUUGUGGCCAUUAUUCCAGGAAGAGCAUGCACGAUAUAGUCUCGGGAAUCUGACUAUAAACGACCAUGUUUGCCAGUUUAUAAGAAAACUGGAUAGGAAGCCUAUCCUCGACCCAUAGAGGGCGUUCAAGCCGUUUCUGGACGUAAAACUAGAGGAAGAUGUGAGCCACAGUCGCAAUUACGUGUAAAUAUCAUUUUACUUUACUGUUAUUUUAUUUCAUUUCACUGUUGUUUUAUUGUUUGCAUUAUUGUAUUUAAUAAUUUUAUUACUGUUUGCUUUUUCCUUUUUACUGUUUCCUUUUUGACUCGCAAGCCAUGUGCUUCACGCGUUAUUUCACACUGACAUCUUACCUCAUUCACAGCUGUGACCCACUAUCACCAAGAUUCUUAAAUGUGAUUUAUCUUUUGUCAAGCACUCACAAAUUGUUUUUGAGAAGUAUCACAAUGGCAGCUACUCCCAAUAGACAAUUCAAAAACAUUUGUGUGCUUUCUGGAUUUACCUAUGGCAAACAUAAAGAGUUCGUGGAGGCAGCCAUAGAUCUUGGUCGAAGCAUAGCAGCGAGAAAAUUACAUUUGGUGUAUGGAGGAGGUAACCGAGGGUUAUCAAAAAUGGUCUCGGAAGCAGCUUUUAUCAGAGGAAGUCAAGUGUUAAGCAUCAUCCCAAGAGUCCUAAAACCAUUGGGCAGUUCGUCUGACUCAUCAACUGGAGAAGAGUUAGUCGUCUCAGGUAUGCAAGAAAGAAUAACUGAAAUGCUUAAUCAUGCUGAUGCUUUUAUUUUCCUUCCAGGAGAUCUUGCAACACUAGAGGCACUUAUGACACUAGCAUCUUGGGCCCAUCUACACAUUCACCAGAAACCCAUCGGUUUGUUAAAUGUCAAUAACUUUUAUGAUGGCUUUAUCGCAUUUCUUAACCAUGCAAUAAAAAACUAUUUCAUUCCUUCUAAUGUGAAAAAACUCUUUAUUUGUGCUCACACUGCUAAUGAGCUACUUGAUAUGUUACAAGCUUAUAAACCGAAGCCAGACCCCUGGACCUUUGUGUUGGAGCGACCAAAUAAUGAUGGUAACAGUAGCCGCAGUAAGAAGUACAAAUUAGAUUUAACUCUCCGCCUGUAAAUAUUUUCUUCUGUGUUGCACCACCCAGGUGAUGUCUUCUAAACUCUACUUCUUUCCUUUAAAACAUUGAGGACAAUGUUUCGUUCUAGUUGGGGGGAGAGAAUAGUCGACAAUUGUGGAAUCUUAGUUAAGUUUUUACUGAUUUUUUGUUGUAGAAACUAACUGUUGCUAACGUUUUGUGUUGAAGAUGGCUGAAUAUGGAGUGUAGUGACUCUAGAAACGUAUCUUCAUCGUUUUAAAAAAAAAUUAAAAAAAAAAAUUCAAACAUUUUCUUUUUCUUUAUUAUGUGUUUAUGUUUAUUUUUCUUCUUUUUAAUUUCUCCUCUAUAAAUAUACAUUUUCCAACUUUUGAGUCGAAGAUGGCUGAAUAUGGAGUGUAGUUCCUCUAGAAACGCAUCUUCUUAAAAAAAAAAAAAAUCAUUUUCGUUUUCUAUCAUUUUACGUGUAACUUUUCUAAUUAGUUUUUAUGCAUCAUUUUCACAUUUCUGCAUGCAUAUUUUCAUUUCAUGUUUAGAAUAGGUUGGGGGAUAGAAUGUUGUUUAAAAAAAAAAAAAAUUGUGUUAUUUGUUUUAACAUUGGAUGACAUGAUUAAUUUCAAAUUUUAGUAUUUGUAUUAUCUUUGGUCUUAAGUGAUGUUACGCUAUGUUUGCUACUUUACAUGUUGAUGUCGGAGACAAAUAUGAGUUGCUUGAAGGAAUGAACAUGUCAUAAAUAAGUGCCAAGUGAGUUGUUGAGCCUAUCAUUUUCUUGGAGAGUAACCCUUUUGCCCAUUCUCUAUACAGCUUAGUAGUUUAUUAUUUUAUACACGAUCUCUAGAUUUCUUUUGAGUUAACCCUUUAAAAAAAAUGGUAAAAUUAAAAAAAAAAAUGUGUGUUGCUACAUUGGGAGGCCCAUCUAACCAGUAGAUAUGGAUAAUUAUUUAGAGCCCUAAAAGACGAUGGAAAGGCCAUCUUUGAUCCGUUUGAGCCUUUCUAGCCAUCCCUUUUAUUAAAUAUCCAUAGUUACCCCUUUUGAGCCUUUAAAAAAAAAAAAAAAAAACAUUUUCUUUGUCAACUUAUCAUCUUGACCCACUCCGAUUUGGAGUAUUACCCGAUGUCUUAUAAGUUCCAUCACCUAUUUAUGUUUGAGAAAAUGUAAAUAAUUAUGUUGUUCAGUGAAGUUAUGCCAAAUAAAAGCCAAAAAAAAAAACAAAAAAAACAAAAAAACAAAAGUUGUUGUUUCAAAAGAAUAAAAUAACAAUAAUAGGUGAAAUCCACCUUGCAACUUCAAAAAAAAAAAAUAUAUAUUUCUGCUUUUUUCUCAAACAUACACUUUGUUUCCUUAUUUCCUUUCUUUGUUAGCCAUAUCCCUAGCCUACGUUACGUCCUAAUAAAAGUCCUUCUUGAUUUUAGGGAACUAUAGUUUGAAGUAGAAGCUAGUUAUAUGGGCUAAAAAGAUGUAGUGAUGCAUAAUAAAAAAAGAAAAAAGAUAAAUAAAGUGGGUUGACUAACAUUUUAUUUGACUUGAGAUCGUAUUAUUUCUAAGCUGAGGGCAUAUUUAUUUCAUCUUGGUGAGAGCAUGUGAUAUCAUUUCUUUAUUAUUUUCUCUCUCAAUUACCAUUCAUUGGAGUGACUAUGUUUAUUGGGUUUUGAUUUCUUUGUGAGAGUGUCACUACUUCCAGUGAGAUUUUGGGGUUUGACAUGUCAUUCUUGAAAGUAGCUAUAACAAAGUCUACUGGGCCGAUUCAUGUGGAUGGUUGAUGUGGGUGUGAUAUUGCUUUAGACUGGAGAUAAUGCUUAUACUUUUAUUUGAUUGCUAUCAUUAAUCUGAUUGAAUAAACACGAGUGUUUCUAAAAAUAUAUAUAUAUAUAUAUUUUGAAUUUGAAUUUUGUUUUCGCUUUAUUUGCUAGGGACUAGCAAUAAGCUGGUUGGGGGGUGUGUUGAGUGUUAGAAAAUACAUAUUUAUAAAAGGAGAAAACCGUCAUUUUACAUUUCAAGUCUUACUAACAGCCCUUACUUUUAUAUAUUUAACCUUCUUGUGAUGUAAUUACGUGUGUGUUAUUUUAAUUAAGUAUUUUAUGUAUUUGAGGGGCAUUAUAGUCAUUUCACAAUAAAGGAGAAAUCAUACGGCAAAACGGACAUCACUUUUGAACUCAGGACGGUCGAAAACCUUAGGAGGAGCAUAAAAGGAAAAAUGGCACUAUUCACAUGUACGGUACUAUUCACGUAUACGGUACUGUCUACGUUACUGUUCACGACACUGUUCACAUACACGGAUCGAUGACGUGGCAUUGACCGAUGAUGUGGCAUUGACUGAUGAGGUGUCACGAUCCUGUUGGACUAAAAUUCUUAUGUACUGUUGACGGUGACGUGGCAGCAUAUCAGUGGACGAAAAAUCUCGCGUACGGUGCAUGCAUCACACAGGAUUAUUUUCAACCCAACCGUGUUACUGUUCAUCCAGGUCAAACCAUGUUACUGUUCAUCCACGUGGUCAAACCGUGGACUGUUGACUGAUGACGUGGCGCAAUCCUGAGCGUCCAAACUAUUUUUAAUCCGAUGGCCAUGAUUUACUCCAUGUAUCUAUAAAAAGGGGGCCUCCCCCCCCCCUAAUUUGAUAUCUCUUAAUCCAUUUUUGGGAUCCAUUUUCUGUAAUUCCCUCUCCAUCUUGUAUUUUCUUUGUAUUUUAAUAAAUUCCCAUUUUGCCCCUAGUUCAAUUAUGAGUAACUAAUUUUCUUUCAAGCUUGGGUUGAAGGUGAAGUCUCAACAUGUGUCAUGGGCUUAAUUUGGUAAAUUUAUUUUCUCUUCCCCUCUAGUUUUUGUGGAUGUUUUGACUUCUCGUCGACAAAUAAUAAUAAUCUUGUCUAGAUACCGCCUUGGUUACACCGGCUCUCUAGUAUAAGGUUAUUAUUAUUUGGCACGAUAAGCCCUUAGCACCAUAUUGAUUAGAGCGUGGUUCAUGAGGUGUGGAUUCCCCCCUCAUGAUUUAAUUGGCAUUAAUACGGAUUAUUUAGCCCAUGAUGCAUGUUGAUACGGAUCCAGAUACCCAAGUACGUCAAUUUAAUCGAUUUUCUCUACAAUUUAUUCUCGCCAUUGCAAUUCCAAUUUUAGCAUAUUUAUUAUCGUCAUUUCAAUUCCAAUUUUAGCAUAUUUUAAAUCACUUCCACCACAAUUCCAACCACCCAUUUACAUAAUUAAUUCUACACACAAUUAAAAAUCCACCUCCUCGUGGGAUCGACACUCAUCACCAUUGAUCUAUACUACAAUAGAUUCGUGCACUUGCGAGUACAUUAAAAUUUGCACAACAAUGACUCUAAUCCAACGAUUGGGAUUUUAAAACUGAACAAUGAUGUGAAGUGGGCAAUUGUACAAUGACGUGAAGUGGGCAACUGUCCAAACCCGUUUCAGCUACCAAAUUAGUUUUAGGGUUUUAUAAACCCUUGCUCGUAUUUCAACAAACGUCAGUGAAAUUUUUCAAGCAGUAAUAUUUUCUUAAUUCUGGAUAACUGUAACUGAAGCAGUGAUGCCGCGAAUUUUUAAAGUGGAUUAUGGUGACUUGUAGUUUGUUGCGGUAGUAUUGAAUGAAACGAAAGGGAUUGCGUAUACUAAAACUUAAGGUAAGUGUAUUUUUAAUAUGAGAUUUUUUAUGUGAAUCAUUUUUUUAUCAUAAUAUAGUUGGUAGGAAACUAGAUUUCAUACUGAUAAUGGAAAAAUUGGGGAGCAAAAAUUUUUUUUAAAAUAAAUUUAUGGAUAUUUUCUCAACAAUAUAGUAAUGUUUAUUUUAGUAAUUUCAUGUAUUAAAAUGAUAUUCGAAUCCAUAGCAAUAAGUCCCAGUUAGCUUGGGUUUUAUUAAGUUUUACAAUGAACAUUUUCAAAAUUAGGAACAGGAAAAUUAAUAUUCCAACAACCAAUAUAGUAGAGUCCAUGGUUAGCAUUAAGAUGGUAACACAGGCAAAUGAUACAUGCUUACCCUUCGUUCCAGAUCUCCUCUGUUUAUUUUUUCCCCCAAUUUUUUUGUUUGUUUUGGGGUUAAUUAUAUGUAUUUGUUUUGUGCUGGACUAGGAAUGUAAGCUGUAUGAUGCUAUGAACUUUAGUUUGAUUAUAAUAAAUAAAGGUAUCGUUGAAUUUCAUAAAUUAAGUUGGUGGGAAGUAAUAAGCAUAAAUCAUGUGAGAUUGAUGGCGGUGCUAGAGAAGUUGGUGGUGAUCAAAGCAUUAAAGGAAGAAUAAAAUGGCAAUGUCGUGAUGAGUUCAUAAGACAUUUGUAAGCUUAGUUAAAGGUUCAUUAAAAUUUAUAGAGAUACAUAAUUUCGCAAUCAUAUGAUGAUAUUGCAGCGGUGAAGUCGUGCAUGAGGUUAAGGCAAGUGAUGGAAUGACUUGCGUUACAAAAGAGGUAUGUGAAGUUGCACUAUAAAAAUAAAAUGAAUUUGUAUUUUCAAGUAGUGAACGUGUAGUUAGUUUAUUUGCCAUGAUUGUGUACUGGACGGAAUUGAAUCCAUGUUUAAGAAUUUACCACUCGAAAGAAAAUGUCAAUACAAAGUCAAUGCGAAUGAAUAGUGAAGUCAGCAGUCGCAAAGGCAAAGUUCUUAACCAUAUGUACUCCAGAUAGAUUAGCGGUGGCAGUUUCACAGCUGACAGAUGAACAAAGAGUGGCUGCUUGUCAAAUGGGCUUUGGUAGUUAAUUGAGAUGAUUGAUACUGUGAGGUGCAUUUUAGAGUUGAAUGGUAUUAGCUUUCGAACAAGAUCAUCAAAGAAACUUCACCAACCAGGAAAUUUAGACUUAAUCUAUGCUCCGCAAAUUCAAAUAUUCUCUAAUAUGAAACUUCUUUUAUGUGCUUGUAGUAUCUCGACGAAUUAAAACUUGCUAUCAAAGUUCUUCCCCCCUUCUUCUUUCAUUUAUACUUGCUGCACCAUUUACUUCACACUCUGUAAAGCCAGAUGAAAGCUUGUUCAUUUAUGUUCACUUGCCAUUCAAAUGCAGUGUUUAUUUCAACUGUCAAAUUGACUACUUGCACGUAUUGAUUUCAGUCGAAACAAGGUUAUUGGUCGAUCAAGAAAUUGAAUCCAUAUGGCCGUUCCAGCGUUAUUCAACCACCUAAUUUCAAAUAUAUGAAUUAGUUCAACCCACUUCAGUGAUCAAAGGCGUGGAACAAAUCAUGAAAGAUUUUUCAGCUAUCAUAAAUUCGAACGGAUGUAGUUUGUAUCCUUUCAGGCUUAGACAGAUUUUCCUUCCAUUAACCUUACAGUGUUGUAAUUAAAAAAAAAAAAAAACUUACAGUGUUAGUAAUCUUAUUACUUGUUUUACAGCUACAAUAGUAUGCCGAAAUUUUUGGCUUUUGAUACAUAAACUUGUAUGUAAUGUACAUUUUAUUGUUCCUUACAACUUAAUUGCUGCUAAAAUAGUUGUUUCAACUAAUAUAUUUAUUGUUAUAAUAGAUAAACAUUUUCUUGCAACUCAAACAGUUCUGAUGGCAUGAUUUGCCAUCAAACGGCAACUUCGUUACAGACAAAAAGAGGGGUACAGUGCCCGGCGCACCGUAGGCGCAGCCUAAAAAGAUGAUUUAGUCUCUCCAAAUCUUAGCACUUUAACCAAAAAUAUAAUAAUAAUUCUUUACAUCAUCAUUCAUUGCACUUGUAAAUCUGAGGGAUUAGAAUUCUGUACUGAAUUUAUUUUUUAUUAAAUAAAAAAUUAAUGUUAAAAUUUAUUUUAUUUUAUUUUUUAUCUAACUAUCAUUGACUUAAUAUUUUGGAUCUUUAUCCAAAGUCAAGGCACAAAAUUUUUAUUCUAAAUAAAUAUUCUCAAUAUAAAUUUAUCACUUAAAUAAUAAAUGAUACGAUUUAAUAUUAAUUCUGUCGUCAUUACUAAAAUGAAUCACAAAUUUUACAUGACGUGUAAACGUAUCAUUAUGUUCUCGAUAUUUGACAUAUGAAUUAUAAAGCAACAAAUCUAUCAUAUUUUUAUUUCGGUAUUGUGCUUCUCUAAAUAUAACCCUCUCCAAAGCAGCAUAAUUCUUUUCAUUGUACCCAUUGCUUCACUUCCUCUUUUCGUCAACGACAAUGGGUAACUUAAUCUCAACCUUCUUACCAGCAGACUUAUUUGAUCGAACUUCAAACUGCGUUGGUGAACAAGCAAAAUAUGUAUGGGGCCUCGAAAAAAAUCUUCGGGUCUUGGAGACUGAAUUGCACAAAUUGACUCGAGCAAGGGCCGAUCUGAAGACCAAGGUUGAGAUCGAAGAACAACGACCUCGAACCAGACGAACGAACCAGGUCGCAGGGUGGCUUGAAGAUGUGCAAAAACUGGAAACUGAAUAUACCGAGCUGGAACGAGAUAGAGCUCAAGAAAUGGAUAGACUGUGCCUUGGAGGCCUCUGUUCCAAAAACUUCGUUUCAAGCUACAAUUACGGGACUCAGGUGGUCGAGUUGACGGAUCGAGUGAUCAAUUUAAAGAAAGACGGAGAAAAAAUUGAAGUCGUUGUUGAGAAGGCGCCGGAUGGUGCAGCAAUUGAAUUACCUCUUGAUCACACGGUUGUUGGUCAAGAACUAUUACUUGGUCAAGUUUGGAGAUGUAUCACUGAUCAGGAAAAGAAGAGGGGAAUUAUCGGCUUGUAUGGUAUAGGGGGAGUCGGCAAAACUACCCUUUUAAAACAAGUCAACAACAACUUCUGCCAUCAACAGCAUAAUUUUGAUGUUGUUAUCUGGGCGGCUGUGUCAACACUUCAAGAUGACAUUGGAAAAAGGAUUGGCUUUUCAGAAGACAGAAACUGGAAGGAAAAAAGUCUUCAAGACAAGGCUGCGGACAUCGCUAGAAUUUUAAGCGGAAAGAAGUUUGUGUUGUUAUUGGAUGAUAUAUGGGAACGCAUUGAUUUAACACAAUUGGGUGUCCCUCUUCAAAAACUAAAUGAUGGGUCCAAAGUAGUCUUGACAACUCGUUCAGCUGGUGUUUGCGAUCAAAUGGACGCUGAAAAGGUGGAAGUGUAUAGUUUGGCGCAUGAUAAAGCCUGGGAAUUAUUUCAGGAGAUGGUCGAUAGAUCCACUCUUGAUAGUCAUACCAGUAUUCCAGAGCUAGCCGAAGCCUUGGCAAGAGAGUGUGGUGGGUUGCCGCUAGCGCUUAAAACAGUGGGUCGAGCCAUGAAAAGCCAAAGGAAAGUUGGAGAUUGGAAACGUGCAAUUCACAAAAUGACAACAUCAGCUUCUAAAUUCUCAGGUAUGAAAGAAGAGGUGUUUUCGCGUUUAAAGUUCAGCUAUGAUAGUUUGUCUACGGACGAACUUCGUUCCUGUCUCCUGUAUUGUUGUUUGUACCCUGAAGACUCCGAAAUUCCUAAAAGGCAAUUGAUUGAUUACUGGAUUAGUGAAGGAUUUGUGUGUGAUUUUGAUGAUGGAUGCGAUUUUAUUGAUGACCUUCUUCAAGCAUGCUUAUUGGAGGAAGAAGGCGAUGAUCAUGUAAAGAUGCACGAUAUGAUUCGUGAGAUGUCAUUAUGGAUAGCGUGCACGGUAGACAAGGAGGAGCAGAACUUUCUGGUUCACGCUGGAGUUGAAUUGACCGAAGCACCAAAGUUUGAAGAAUGGGAAGGUGCCAAACGGGUAUCUCUGAUGGGAAAUGGAAUUAGGAGCUUAUCGGAAAUUCCCACGUGUCCGCGCCUCGUAACUUUACUUCUGGGUGGAAAUCGGAUUGAGGAGAUUACUGAUGGCUUCUUUCAAUCUAUGUCGACUCUUAGAGUAUUAAGUCUACGAAUAAAUAUUUCCCUAAGGAAACUACCCUCAGGUAUACGCGGGUUGCCGCAAGAGCUGAAGGCGUUGGAGAAGUUGAGAUAUUUGAACUUGGACUAUACACGGUUUUUGUCUAUAAUUCCACAUCAGUUGAUAUCUGGCUUUUCAAAGUUGGAGGUACUCAGGUUGUUUGGGUGCGGUUUUUGGGUUGUAACAGAAGAAGAAGGUAACGUUCUAUGUGAAGAUGCUGAACCUUUGAUGAAGGAAUUGCUGGGUUCGAAGCAUUUAAAUGUUUUAAGCUGGACCUUCCGAAGUUCACUUGGUGUCCAAAACUUUUUGAAAUAUCCAAAGCUGGUGAGCAUCACUCAAUCUGUAUUGG
rnacentral:lncRNA from 1 species